rnacentral:lncRNA from 1 species
UCAUCCAACCUCAACAACCAGCUCAAUUGGAGGGGAUCAGGUCAUUGGUAUUGAAAACUCUUCCAACCAUGUGCAACGUGUAUGUGCCACCUGACUGCUCCACCAUCAACGUACCAUAUGCCAACAUAGACGAUGGCAUUGGUGGCCAAUGAAAAAUGCAAGAUCAUCGUUGCUUAGCUGAUGCACCAAUCGUUGUAGCGAUGACAAAUAAAGUGGUGUGCACCAUCAUGUGUGACCCCGACCAGUGCUAGUUCAAGCUUGGGAAUAAAAGACAAACAAAGUUCUUGUUUGCUAGCAUUGCUUGUCACUGUUACAUUCACUUUUUAUUUCGAUGUUCAUCCCUAACCGCAAUCCUAGCCUUACACGUCAAUAGCUAGCUGCUUGUGCUGGCAGGUUACUAUAUAAUCUAUCAAUUAAUGGUCGACCUAUUAAUCCAAGUAAUAGGCUAUUGAUAGACUGCUCCCAAGCCGACCGAGCAGCUAUCAGUUACGGAUUUCUUGAACAUUGCACACUAUAAUAAUUCAACGUAUUUCAAUCUCUAGAAGUAAAAGGGCAUUUUAGUAGCAAAACAAGCGCCUGAUUAGAAACCAUUCAUCACUCUAAAUGUUAAUCUGGAUAUUUUUGCGUUGGUACAAUUUUGAGUUUGGUGGCACCAAAGCAUUUUUCAAAAGCAAUUCUUUAGGGGACUCCAAAGAGGUGAAAAUCAAACUAAAGUUGCCAUUGCACAAUUUUAUCUAUAUUUUCUUUCCAUUUUGCAAGGUUGCACCGGAGUGAGCACCGGAAAGCAACCGGAGCCGGAAAAUGAAGGUUUCACAAGAGAGCAACACUUUUAUAGAGCGAGGAAAAAAAUAAAGCAAACAUAUAUCAAAGGUUUUUAGAGCAAAAUAGCCCCAACUACCAAAAACUGGCCCUAGGGGUGGCCUAUAUAUAUGGCCCACAUGCCUGACCACCUGCCUUGGGUCCCGGGCAUGGCCUAGGAUGCGUAGGGCUCACAGAAGCCCCAUGCCUCCAUCCUUUUUAUAUACUAAUAUCAUAUGCGCGAAAAACACCCUUGAUUUUCACUUAUUUUUCUGUUACCCAGGUACAGAGAACGUUAUUAUCUUCCUCGCGCUAGUAGGGAAACCCCUUAUAGGAUUUUACUAUUAGGAGCAUCCACAACUAUAUGGACGCUCCUGCUAACUCGCCUAACAGCGAGCAGCGUGCGGGAAAAACCAGAACGCGGCAGUAGUGAGGGACUUAGUGGCGUUCAUGCAUUCGAAACACUGCUAGUUACAUACAUGAAGGUAGACGGUUUGCCAUAGUCCCUGGCAGCUUGCGGAUGGAGGGAAUGCCACCGGUGUCACCUCCUAUAGCAGGGUGUGGCUCUGCUCCACAUGCUGCUACUGUGAUGUCUAACACUCUGUGCACUGACGGGCAUGUGGGUCUUAAAAACUAGCGGCGUUUAUAUACCCGCACGCUGCUAAAUUGUAAACUUUAGUAGCUUUGAGCGGAUGGCAGAAACUGCUAAUUGUUUCGCCCAAUAAUUGAGUACCCCCUUCUUCUCCUUCCACCCCUCUCUCUACUUUUUGUCAGGCAUAAUUUCAUCAGUAGAUCUUUUUCUGCCUUUACUUUCGUGGAUGUUAGCAGCGUGUUCUCUCUAUGGCACACUACUAAGCCGUUUUCUAUAUUCAAUCCCCUUGAAAUUGAAAACAAUAGUGAAUAAAUCCAUAAGUGUACAUGUAAAUGUAAAAUGGUGCAUAUGAUUAGCCAACAAAAUUUUGCAGGCACACUUUUCAGCACUAUUCAGAUUACCGGUGGUGAUAUACCUACCUUCGGUUUGGGAGGAAUCUAUACUAAACUUUGGUUUAACACUUUGUAAUUUUAAGCGCUAGUUCAAGUGGUCAUAUAAUGACAAUACACCAAGUUUCAAGAAUUUUAAAAUGCAUUUUUUUAAAAUUCAAAUGAAAAACUGUUUGUAGCGUUCGCCUGUGUAUGCCAGGCUGCCAGUCCUCAACAUCAUUAGCCAUGUGUCAUUCUUGCACAUAUGGCUUGUGUUUGGUAUACAAACCGUCGUGUAAGCUAGCAGUGUCCCGCGGGCGCACACGCUGCUAGCUUGUAUGCAUACAAACUAUCCUGCCCGGGUUUUAUUAACUUGUUCCUCUCCCCAUCUUUUUGCGCCCUCUCCUUGCCACACCCGGAAUUCUCAUCUUGAAAUCUAUGGCCGACAAUUAUUGGUGGCAUUUAUGCCGCCGGCCGUCAUGCACAUGUCUAAUUAGUGGUUAGUUCAAUCUGGCCACCCUCCUCCUGUUGAUCUGCUCCACAGGUGUGGUGAAUUCAUCUGACCACCCUCAAUCCUACGAAUGUGUAUACCUUAGAUCAUUUAAGUACCAAGUUAAAUUUAGUUUAUUUCUCCACUGUACCUAGUUUAUUAGAUUAGUUAGAUUGAUUAAUUAGUGUCAUAUAUAGUGUAUUGAUUAAUUAGUAUGUAUAACUUGAUUUUAAUUAUCACAACUUGAGUUUAAAGUAGUUUACCAGAACUUGAGUUUAGUAAUUAUUUUACAUAUGCAUUAGCGAGGAAGGUAACAAGUUCAUGGCCGUUUUCCAAAUGGAGCAGGAUGCUAACCUAGUCCUCUUCAUGCGUGCCAUCUUAUACUAGGAGGUUGACGAGUAAGCUUCAUAUAGUCCUCUUAAUGCGUGUUGUUAUUUAGUCUACUUUGUUGUGAACAUAUUUCAUAUCAUGAACGUUUUUCAAAUUCAUGAACACUUUUAUACCUUUUCAAACAUUUUCUUAAAUUGAGAACAUAUUUUAAAUUCAUGAACACUUUAUACUAUUUUCAAAAAAAAUUAGAAAAUUGUGAAUAUUGUUGAAACAAUUUUGUUGAAUCUGUGAACAUUUCUAGAAUCGACGAAGAAUUUGUUUUCACAUAGGUGGAACAUUUUUUGAAAUUCAAAAAACAUUUUUUGAUUUAGCGAACAUGUUUUAAAUUGCAUGAUCAGUUUUUGAAUCACCGAACAUUUUAUGAAUGAAAAAGCUAGUUUGUAAGUCGCAGACAGUUUUUGAAAUUUUAGGAUAUUUUUCCAUUCGGGAACAUUCUUUGUCUGGCGAAAUUUUGUCUUAAUUUACAUAUUUUUAAUAUACAAACUUUUUCAAAAUGAUAAAGAUUUUUUGAUUUCCCGAAUAUUUGUUUUCAAAAUUUCAUAAGUGCCCCACCAAUGGUACCUAUAAGUGAUAAAAAAAACAUUUUACACAGGGAAAUCCCCCGCCUGGGAGAAGAUGUAGCAUAACUCUUUGGGCCGGCCCAUAUCCGGGUGGACAGUUUUUUAUUUAUUGUUUUGAUUGUUCUUUUUAUUUUACGUUUUUGUUUUUUCGACUUAAAUAAUUUGGUACUUAAAAAAGUUCAGAAAUUUAAACAAAAUGAGAUUUUUUUUUAAAAAUCAUAUAAUGUUUGUGGAUUCCAAAAAUAUUUCAGAUUUUGUAAACAUUUUGUUUUGAAAUUUUGGAAAACCAAAUUUUGGACAAUUAAAAAAUGUUCAUUUUUUUUAAAACUUCUAGUAUUAGAAACUGUUAAUGAAAUUGCACAAAAUACAGCCAUUACAGAAAAUGUUAAUUAAUGGAAAAAUAUCCUAAAAGUUUACAAAAUAGUUUUUCAUUCAUUCAUAAAAUGUUCGCUGAUUCAAAAACUGAUCACGCAUUUCAAAACAUGUUCGUUAAAUCAAAAAAAUGUUCCACCUAUUUCAAAAAAAUUCUUCCACGAUUACUAUCAGUAUCGUGUGGUGGUUGCUGGGGACUACACCUGUGGUAGUCUUUAGUUCCGACGAUGCUAAGCCACACCAAUGAGACUUCCAGGCAAAACAAGCAAAAAGCACAAGCAGGCUGAGAGACUCCUUUUUUUUUGCCAGAAACAGAAACACACGGCUCUACAUAGAUGGCCGGAACGCACAACCGACCAAUGGAGGUCACCGUAGGGUUUCGUCUACCCUCCCUCUACUUUGUGCCGGCCACCUUCAUCCAGAUCGCAGGCUCCGUGCUGCGGGUUUGGGCGGGUGGGUUUCGGUGUAGAGGCUGCUAGGGUUUUACCAGGGCACCCGAUUGAAUCUUAUCUCGGGUCAGAGAAAACAAGGAUGGAUACAAGAGCUUCGAGUUCCAGAACAGAGCAGGACUUGGAGGCGAUGAUGAGUGAGUUGGGCCUCCAGGAGGAGGACAUGGAUGAUGUGGUGGUUGAAAAGGAAGAUCCGCUGUAGCCGGCGGCGAGUCGGUGGAUGGCCAUAGCACGUGUCCACACAGAGAAAAGCUAUAGUCAGUACGGUUUCUUCAAGACCAUGCGAGCUGCGUGGGAUCUAGCCAAGCCAGUACAAAUUCGUCCGCUUGAGAAUAAUCUUUAUACUUUGCAAUUCGAGUGUCUAGGAGACUGGGAGCGUGCCAUGGAUGAAGGCCCAUGGAAUUACAAGGGCAACACAGUGGUCCUGGCAGAAUACGAUGGUUUCACAAAACCAUCGCUGAUCAAGCUUGACACAAUGGAGAUUUGGAUGCAGAUCCACGAUCUCCCGGAGGGUUUUUAUCCACUGAUCAAACCCCUAGCAAGGAAAGUGGGCGAAUUCAUAUAUGCAAAACCCAAAUCCCAGGACUUUGAGGGGAAUUUUUUUAGAGUUAGGGUUGGCAUUAAUGUGUUUAAGCCUCUCAGAAACGCUGUCAGCCUGGUGUACGAAGGGAAGAGGCAGAUUUACAAGGUUAAAUACGAGAGGCUUCCAGAUUAGUGUGCUGUGUGUGGACAUCUGGGGCAUCAGUACAAGGAACAUGGAGAUGGAAUUCAUGCGAAAUCAGCGCUCGUUUUCAGAGAUCUACGUGCAGAGUGGUUUAGAGGUGCAGGGCCGGGUCCCGGGCAGAACCGCUACGGCGGGAGAGGCAAUUGUGGAGGCCGUGGAAGAGGUGCUGGGAGAUCUGGACAGGGGGGAAGAAACACUGAACAGGAAGAAUACUCUGAACCGGCGGCAGAGCGAGAGGAGCCCAUGAUGGAUGCUGAAGGUAACCGGAAAAGAACCCAGGCGGACAGUGUUGGAAAAUGUUGGGGAACAUAGUAAUUUCAAAAAAUUUCCUACGUACACGCAAGAUCAUGGUGAUGCAUAGCAACGAGAGGGGAGAGUGUUGUCCACGUAUCCUCAUAGACCGUAAGCGGAAGCGUUAGCACAACGCGGUUGAUGUAGUCGUACGUCUUCGUGAUCCGACCGAUCCAAGUACCGAACGUACGGCACCUCCGAGUUCAGCACACGUUCAGCUCGAUGAUGAUCCCCGGGCUCCGAUCCAGCAAAGCUUCGGGGAUGAGUUCCUUCAGCACGACGGCGUGGUGAUGAUGAUGAUGUUCUACCGGCGCAGGGCUUCGCCUAACUCCGCGACGAUAUGACCGAGGUGGAAUAUGGUGGAGGGGGCACCGCACACGGCUAAGGAACGAUCCGUAGAUCAACUUGUGUGUCUUAGGGUGCCCCCUGCACCCGUAUAUAAAGGAGCAAGGGGGGGGGAGGCCGGCCGGCCCUAGAGGGCGCACCAGGAGGAGGAGUCCUCCUCCUAGUAGGAGUAGGACUCCCCCUUUCCUACUCCUACUAGGAGGGGAAAGGAAGGGGGAGAGGGGGAAGGAAAGAGGGGGGGCGCCGCCCCCCCUCCUAGUCCAAUUCGGACCAGAGAAAGAGGGGGCGCGCGGCCCACCCUGGCCGCCCCUCUCUCUUUCCACCAAGGCCCAUGUUGCCCAUUGUCUCUCCCCGGGGGGUUCCGGUAACCCUCCGGCACUCCGGUUUUCUCCGAAAACGUCCGGAACACUUCCGGUGUUUGAAUAUAAUCGUCCAAUAUAUCAAUCUUUAUGUCUCGACCAUUUCGAGACUCCUCGUCAUGUCCGUGAUCAUACCCGGGACUCCGAACAAACUUCGGUACAUCAAAACUUAUAAACUCAUAAUAAAACUGUCAUCGUAACGUUAAGCGUGCGGACCCUACGGGUUCGAGAGCUAUGUAGACAUGACCUAGAACUAUUCUCGGUCAAUAACCAAUAGCGGAACCUGGAUGCCCAUAUUGGUUCCUACAUAUUCUACGAAGAUCUUAUCGGUCAAACCGCAUAACAACAUACGUUGUUCCCUUUGUCAUCGGUAUGUUACUUGCCCGAGAUUCGAUCGUCGGUAUCCAAUACCUAGUUCAAUCUCGUUACCAGCAAGUCUCUUUACUCGUUACGUAGUGCAUCAUUCCGUAACUAACUCAUUAGCUGCAUUGCUUGCAAGGCUUAUAGUGAUGUGCAUUACCGAGAGGGCCCAGAGAUACCUCUUCGACAAUCGGAGUGACAAAACCUAAUCUCGAAAUACGCCAACCCAACAUGUACCUUCGGAGACACCUGUAGUAAUCCUUUAUAAUCACCCAGUUACGUUGUGACGUUUGGUAGUACCCAAAGUGUUCCUCCGGUAAAUGGGAGUUGCGUAAUCUCAUAGUUACAGGAACAUGUAUAAGUCAUGAAGAAAGCAAUAGCAAUAUACUAAACGAUCAAGUGCUAGGCUAACGGAAUGGGUCAUGUCAAUCACAUCAUUCUCCUAAUGAUGUGAUCCCGUUAAUCAAAUGACAACACAUGUCUAUGGUUAGGAAACAUAACCAUCUUUGAUUAAUGAGCUAGUCAAGUAGAGCCAUACUAGUGACUAUAUGUUUGUCUAUGUAUUCACACAUGUAUCAUGUUUCCGGUUAAUACAAUUCUAGCAUGAAUAAUAAACAUUUAUCAUGAUAUGAGGAAAUAAAUAAUAACUUUAUUAUUGCCUCUAGGGCAUAUUUCCUUCAGUCUCCCACUUGCACUAGAGUCAAUAAUCUAGAUUACAUAGUAAUGAUUCUAACACCCAUGGAGUCUUGGUGCUGAUCAUGUUUUGCUCGUGAGAGAGGCUUAGUCAACGGGUCUGCAACAUUCAGAUCCGUAUGUAUCUUGCAAAUCUCUAUUUCUCCCACUUGGACUUGGUCCCGGAUGGAAUUGAAGCGUCUCUUGAUGUGCUUAGUCCUCUUGUGAAAUCUGGAUUCCUUUGCCAAGGCAAUUGCACUAGUAUUGUCACAGAAGAUCUUCAUUGGUCCCGAUGCACUAGGUAUGACACCUAGAUCGGUAAUGAACUCCUUCAUCCAGACUCCUUCAUUUGUUGCUUCUGAAGCAGCUAUGUACUCCGCUUCACAUGUAGAUCCCGCCACGACGCUUUGUUUAGAACUACACCAACUUACAGCUCCACCGUUUAAUAAAAAUACGUAUCCGGUUUGCGAUUUAGAAUCGUCCAGAUCAGUGUCAAAGCUUGCAUCGACGUAACCAUUUACGACUAGCUCUUUGUCACCUCCAUAUAUGAGAAACAUAUCCUUAGUCCUUUUCAGGUAUUUCAGGAUGUUCUUGACCGCUGUCCAGUGAUCCACUCCUGGAUUACUUUGGUACCUUCCUGCUAAUCUUAUUCCUAAGCAUACAUCAGGUCUGGUACACAGCAUUGCAUACAUGAUAGAGCCUAUGGCUGAAGCAUAGGGAACAUCUUUCAUUUUCUCUCUAUCUUCUGCAGUGGUCGGGCAUUGAGUCUGACUUAAUUUCACACCUUGUAACACGGGCAAGAACCCUUUCUUUGCCUGAUCCAUUUUGAACUUUUUCAAAAUUUUAUCAAGGUAUGUGCUUUGUGAAAGUCCUAUUAAGCGUCUUGAUCUAUCUCUAUAAAUCUUGAUGCCCAAUAUGUAAGCAGCUUCACCGAGGUCUUUCAUUGAAAAACUUUUAUUCAAGUAUCCUUUUAUGCUAUCCAGAAAUUCUAUAUCAUUUCCAAUUAAUAAUAUGUCAUCUACAUAUAAUAUUAGAAAUGCUACAGAGCUCCCACUCACUUUCUUGUAAAUACAGGUUUCUCCAAAAGUCUGUAUAAAACCAUAUGCUUUGAUCACACUAUCGAAGCGUUUAUUCCAACUCCGAGAUGCUUGCACCAGUCCAUAAAUGGAUCGCUGGAGUUUGCACACUUUGUUAGCUCCUUUUGGAUCAACAAAACCUUCUGGCUGCAUCAUAUACAACUCUUCUUCCAGAUAUCCAUUCAAGAAUGCAGUUUUGACAUCCAUUUGCCAAAUUUCAUAAUCAUGAAAUGCAGCAAUAGCUAACAUGAUUCGGACAGACUUAAGCAUCGCUACAGGUGAGAAAGUCUUAUCGUAGUCAACCCCUUGAACUUGUCGAAAACCUUUUGCAACAAGUCGAGCUUUAUAGACAGUUACAUUACCAUCAGCGUCAGUCUUCUUCUUAAAGAUCCAUUUAUUCUCAAUGGCUUGCCGAUCAUCGGGCAAGUCAACCAAAGUCCAUACUUUGUUUUCAUACAUGGAUCCCAUCUCAGAUUUCAUGGCUUCUAGCCAUUUUGCGGAAUCUGGGCUCAUCAUCGCUUCCUCAUAGUUCGUAGGUUCGUCAUGGUCAAGUAACAUGACUUCCAGAAUAGGAUUACCGUACCACUCUAGUGCGGAUCUUACUCUGGUAGACCUUCGAAGUUCAGUAGAAACUUGAUCUGAAGUUUCAUGAUCAAUAUCAUUAGCUUCCUCAUUAAUUGGUGUAGGUGUCACAGGAACCGGUUUCUGUGAUGAACUACUUUCCAAUAAGGGAGCAGGUAUAGUUACCUCAUCAAGUUCUACUUUCCUCCCACUCACUUCUUUCGAGAGAAACUCCAUCUCUAGAAAGGAUCCAUUCUUAGCAACGAAUGUCUUGCCUUCGGAUCUGUGAUAGAAGGUAUACCCAACUGUCUCUUUUGGGUAUCCUAUGAAGACACAUUUCUCCAAUUUAGGUUCGAGCUUAUCUGGUUGAAGUUUCUUCACAUAAGCAUCAUAGCCCCAAACUUUAAGAAACGACAACUUCGGUUUCUUGCCAAACCACAGUUCAUAAGGCGUCGUCUCAACGGAUUUUGAUGGUACCCUAUUUAACGUGAAUGCGGCCGUCUCUAAAGCAUAACCCCAGAAUGAUAGCGGUAAAUCAGUAAGAGACAUCAUAGAUCACACCAUAUCUAGUAAAGUACGAUUACGACGUUCGGACACACCAUUUCGUUGUGGUGUUCCGGGUGGCGUGAGUUGCGAAACUAUUCCGCAUUGUUUCAAAUGUAAACCAAACUCGUAACUCAAAUAUUCUCCUCCAUGAUCAGAUCGUAGGAAUUUUAUUUUCUUGUUACGAUGAUUUUCCACUUCCCUCUGUAAUUCUUUGAACUUUUCAAAUGUUUCAGACUUGUGUUUCAUUAAGUAGAUAUACCCAUAUCUGCUUAAAUCAUCUGUGAAGGUGAGAAAAUAACGAUAUCCACCACGAGCUUCAACUUUCAUCGGACCACAUACAUCUGUAUGUAUGAUUUCCAACAAAUCUGUUGCUCUCUCCAUAGUACCGGAGAACGGUGUUUUAGUCAUCUUGCCCAUGAGGCACGGUUCGCAAGUACCAAGUGAUUCAUAAUCAAGUGAUUCCAAAAGUCCAUCAGUAUGGAGUUUCUUCAUGCGUUUUACACCGAUAUGACCUAAACGGCAGUGCCACAAAUAAGUUGCACUAUCAUUAUUAACUCUGCAACUUUUGGCUUCGAUAUUAUGAAUAUGUGUAUCACUACUAUCGAGAUUCAACAAAAAUAGACCACUCUUCAAGGGUGCAUGACCAUAAAAGAUAUUACUCAUAUAAAUAGAACAACCAUUAUUCUCUGAUUUAAAUGAAUAACCGUCUCACAUCAAACAAGAUCCAUAUAUAAUGUUCAUGCUUAACGCUGGCACCAAAUAACAAUUAUUCAGGUCUAAAACUAUUCCCGAAGGUAGAUGUAGAGGUAGCGUGCCGACCGCGAUCACAUCGACUUUGGAACCGUUUCCCACGCGCAUCGUCACCUCAUCCUUGGCCAGUGCUCGCUUAUUCCGUAGUCCCCGUUUCGAGUUGCAAAUGUUAGCAACAGAACCAGUAUCAAAUACCCAGGUGCUACUGCGAGCUCUAGUAAGGUACACAUCAAUAACAUGUAUAUCACAUAUACCUUUGUUCACCUUGCCAUCCUUCUUAUCCGCCAAAUACUUGGAGCAGUUCCGCUUCCAGUGUCCAAUCUGCUUGCAGUAGAAGCACUCAGUUUCAGGCUUAGGUCCAGACUUGGGUUUCUUCUCUUGAGCAGCAACUUGCUUGUUGUUCUUCUUGAAGUUCCCCUUCUUCUUCCCUUUGCCCUUUUUCUUGAAACUAGUGGUCUUGUUAACCAUCAACACUUGAUGCUCCUUCUUGAUUUCUACUUCCGCAGCUUUUAGCAUUGCGAAGAGCUCGGGAAUUGUCUUGUUCAUCCCUUGCAUAUUAUAGUUCAUCACAAAGCUCUUGUAGCUUGGUGGCAGUGAUUGGAGAAUUCUGUCAAUGACACUAUCAUCAGGAAGAUUAACUCCCAGUUGAAUCAAGUGAUUAUUAUACCCAGACAUUUUGAGUAUGUGUUCACUGACAGAACUAUUCUCCUCCAUCUUGCAGCUAUAGAACUUAUUGGAGACUUCAUAUCUCUCAAUCCGGGCAUUUGCUUGAAAUAUUAACUUCAACUCCUGGAACAUCUCAUAUGCUCCAUGACGUUCAAAACAACGUUGAAGACCCGGUUCUAAGCCGUAAAGCAUGGCACACUGAACUAUCGAGUAGUCAUCAGCUUUGCUCUGCCAGACGUUCUUAACGUCGUCAGUUGCAUCAGCAGCAGGCCUGGCACCUAGCGGUGCUUUCAGGACGUAAUUCUUCUGUGCAGCAAUGAGGAUAAUCCUCAAGUUACGGACCCAGUCCGUGUAAUUGCUACCAUCAUCUUUCAACUUUGCUUUCUCAAGGAAUGCAUUAAAAUUCAACGGAAGAAUAGCACGAGCCAUCUAUCUACAACAAACAUAGAUGAGCAAAAUACUAUCAGCUACUAAGUUCCUGAUAAAUUUAAGUUCAAUUAAUCAUAUUACUUAAGAACUCCCACUUAGACAGACAUCUCUCUAGUCAUCUAAGUGACCACGUGAUCCAAAUCAACUAAACCAUAACCGAUCAUCACGUGAGAUGGAGUAGUUUUCAAUGGUGAACAUCACUAUGUUGAUCAUAUCUACUAUAUGAUUCAUGCUCGACCUUUCGAUCUCCGUGUUCCGAGGCCAUAUCUGCAUAUGCUAGGCUCGUCAAGUUUAACCUGAGUAUUCUGCGUGUGCAAAACUGGCUUGCACCCGUUGUAGAUGGACGUAAAGCUUAUCACACCCGAUCAUCACGUGGUGUCUGGGCACGACAAACUUUGGCAACAGUGCAUACUCAGGGAGAACACUUCUUGAUAAUUUAAGUGAGAGAUCAUCUUAAAAUGCUACCGUCAAUCAAAGCAAGAUAAGAUGCAUAAAGGAUAAACAUCACAUGCAAUCAAUAUAAGUGAUAUGAUAUGGCCAUCAUCAUCUUGUGCUUGUGAUCUCCAUCUUCGAAGCACCGUCGUGAUCACCAUCGUCACCGGCGCGACACCUUGAUCUCCAUCAUAGCAUCGUUGUCGUUACGCCAUCUAUUGCUUCUACGACUAUCGCUACCGCUUAGUGAUAAAGUAAAGCAAUUACAGGGCGUUUGCAUUUCAUACAAUAAAGUGACAAUCAUAUGGCUCCUGCCAGUUGCCGAUAACUUCGGUUACAAAACAUGAUCAUCUCAUACAAUAAAAUAUAGCAUCACGUCUUGACCAUAUCACAUCACAACAUGCCCUGCAAAAACAAGUUAGACGUCCUCUACUUUGUUGUUGCAAGUUUUACGUGGCUGCUACGGGCUUAGCAAGAACCGUUCUUACCUACGCAUCAAAACCACAACGAUAGUUCGUCAAGUUAGUGAUGUUUUAACCUUCGCGAGGACCGGGCGUAGCCAUACUCGAUUCAGCUAAAGUGAGAGAGACAGACACCCGCCAGCCACCUUUAAGCACGAGUGCUCGUAACAGUGAAACCAGUCUCGCGUAAGCGUACGCGUAAUGUCGGUCCGGGCCGCUUCAUCUCACAAUACCGCCGAACCAAAGUAUGACAUGCUGGUAAGCAGUAUGACUUGUAUCGCCCACAACUCACUUGUGUUCUACUCGUGCAUAUGACAUCUACGCAUAAAACUAGGCUCGGAUGCCACUGUUGGGGAACGUAGUAAUUUCAAAAAAAUUCCAACGUACACGCAAGAUCAUGGUGAUGACAUAGCAACGAGAGGGGAGAGUGUUGUCCACGUACCCUCGUAGACCGUAAGAGGAAGCGUUAGCACAACGCGGUUGAUGUAGUCAUACGUCUUCACGAUCCGACCGAUCCAAGUACUGAACGUACGGCACCUCCGAGUUUAGCACACGUUCAGCUCGAUGACGAUCCCCGGGCUCCAAUCCAGCAAAGCUUCGGGGAUGAGUUUCGUCAGCACGAUGGCGUGGUGACGAUGAUGAUGUUCUACCGGCGCAGGGCUUCGCCAAAACUCCGCGACGAUAUGACCGAGGUGGAAUAUGGUGGAGGGGGGCACCGCACACGGCUAAGGAACGAUCCGUAGAUCAACUUGUGUGUCUUAGGGUGCCCCCCUGCCCCCGUAUAUAAAGGAGCAAGGGGGGAGGCCGGCCGGCCCUAGAGGGCGCGCCAGGAGGAGGAGUCCUCCUACUAGUAGGAGUAGGACUCCCCCUUUCCUACUCCUACUAGGAGGGGAAAGGAAGGGGGAGAGGGGGAAGGAAAGAGGGGGGGGGGCGCUCCCUCUCCUAGUCCAAUUCGGACUAGAGGGAGACGGGGCGCGCGGCCCACCCUGGCCGCCCCUCUCUCUUUCCACCAAGGCCCAUGUUGCCCAUUGUCUCUCCCCGGGGGGUUCCGGUAACCCUCCGGCACUCCGGUUUUCUCCGAAAACGUCCGGAACACUUCCGGUGUCUGAAUAUAAUCGUCCAAUAUAUCAAUCUUUAUGUCUCGACCAUUUCGAGACUCCUCGUCAUGUCCGUGAUCAUACCCGGGACUCCGAACAAACUUCGGUACAUCAAAACUUAUAAACUCAUAAUAAAACUGUCAUCGUAACGUUAAGCAUGCGGACCCUACGGGUUCGAGAGCUAUGUAGACAUGACCUAGAACUAUUCUCGGUCAAUAACCAAUAGCGGAACCUGGAUGCCCAUAUUGGUUCCUACAUAUUCUACAAAGAUCUUAUCGGUCAAACCGCAUAACAACAUAUGUUGUUCCCUUUGUCAUCGGUAUGUUACUUGCCCGAGAUUCGAUCGUCGGUAUCCAAUACCUAGUUCAAUCUCGUUACCAGCAAGUCUCUUUACUCGUUACGUAGUGCAUCAUUCCGUAACUAACUCAUUAGCUGCAUUGCUUGCAAGGCUUAUAGUGAUGUGCAUUACCGAGAGGGCCCAGAGAUACCUCUUCGACAAUCGGAGUGACAAAACCUAAUCUCGAAAUACGCCAACCCAACAUGUACCUUCGGAGACACCUGUAGUAAUCCUUUAUAAUCACCCAGUUACGUUGUGACGUUUGGUAGUACCCAAAGUGUUCCUCCGGUAAAUGGGAGUUGCGUAAUCUCAUAGUUACAGGAACAUGUAUAAGUCAUGAAGAAAGCAAUAGCAAUAUACUAAACGAUCAAGUGCUAGGCUAACGGAAUGGGUCAUGUCAAUCACAUCAUUCUCCUAAUGAUGUGAUCCCGUUAAUCAAAUGACAACACAUGUCUAUGGUUAGGAAACAUAACCAUCUUUGAUUAAUGAGCUAGUCAAGUAGAGGCAUACUAGUCACUAUAUGUUUGUCUAUGUAUUCACACAUGUAUCAUGUUUCCGGUUAAUACAAUUCUAGCAUGAAUAAUAAACAUUUAUCAUGAUACGAGGAAAUAAAUAAUAACUUUAUUAUUGCCUCUAGGGCAUAUUUCCUUCAGAAAACUCCAGGAGGUACACUCCCAGGCACAGAUGGUGCCUGCUGGAGCGAACCAUUCGCCGGCGACGACCCAACUCCUGUUAACUGCACCCCCACCCCCAUCAGCCCGUCCUCAAAGCAAGAUCUGAAGCGAACAAAGACUAGAACUGUGUCGGAAAAGGUGACGAAGAAUGUGAUCGAGCGCAAGAACCAAGACCCAAGAACGGCUUCCUCCACCUCGGAGGGUCGCCGGACGCAAUGAAUACCAUAUGUUGGAACUGUCGUGGCGCGGGCAACGCUGCGACAGUCAACGAGCUUCGCGAGCUAGCGAAGAAAUUUGCCCACCCUAUUCUCUAUAUUGUAGAAACUCAAAUAGAAAGAGGUAGGGUAGAAGCACUUGCAGGAACUUUGGGUUAUGACAAUUGUUUUGCUAUAGACAGCCAGGGUAGAAGUGGAGGAAUAUGAAUCUUUUGGAACAAUCUAAUAAACAUUGAUAUUUUGGGUUACUCGGUUUGCCACAUUGACUGCUCAGUUCUUGAUCCUGGUACGGACCCUUGGAGGCUAACGUGUGUAUAUGGAGAGGCUCAAACACAUCUCCGGCACCAGACGUGGACGGUGUUAAAAAACAUAAGCUUCUUGAGCACUUCACCUUGGCUAUGCCUAGGGGAUUUCAACGAAGUAUUGCGUCCGGAUGAACAUGAAGGUAUAGGACAACGCAACAAUGCACAAAUACAGGGAUUCAGGGAUACAAUUGAUGUGUGCAUGCUGAUGGACAUGGGAUACAAGGGGCGCUUUUGGACCUUUGAGAAAAAAGUUGUGGGAGGAACCUUUACAAGAGUCAGGCUGGAUAGGGCUUUGGGAUCAGCGGAGUGGAGUGCACAAUUCCCACGGGCUAGUCUGUCUCAUCUUACAGCAGCAAAUUCAGAUCAUUGCCCCAUUUUAUUAGAAAUCAAUGAUCAAGAAAGACAGCCCUGCAAUCGUGUUUUCAGGUAUGAAACCAUGUGGGAAAAGCAUGAAACGUGGCGUGAUACUAUCCUGGAGAGGUGGUCAGCCAAGCACACCGGAAAUACAGUUGAGCAUAUGAGGCAGAAGCUAUCAGAUUUGGCUACCGAUCUAUCUAGAUGGAAUAAUGACACUUUUGGCAGUGUUAGAAAGGAGAUUAAAUCACUCAAGCUUGAAUUAGAGAGGUUGAGGGGAGCGCCAGGAAGGGCAGGUCCGUCAUAUGCAAAGAUCAAGAUCAAUGAUAAACUGGUUGAACUAUACCAUAGAGAAGAACUAAUGUGGCGACAAAGAUCGAGAAUUGAAUGGUUAGCGGCCGGUGACAAGAACACAAUUUUUUUCACCUGAGAGCUAGUAUACGGAGGAAGAAGAAUAUGGUGAAGGCGUUGGCCAGCUCCCUUGGUGUCCUCAUUGAUGACCCGACUGACCUCAGGGAGAUGGUCAAUGACUUUUAUCAGAGUCUAUACACGUCAGAGGGGGUACAUGGAGUCAGAGACGUUCUGGUGCAUGUACCACAGAAAGUCACUGCGGGGAUGAAUGACAUUUUAUGUGCUCCAUAUACAAACGAGGAGGUAAAAGUUGCUCUCUUCCAAAUGUUCCCAACAAAGGCACCCGGCCCGGAUGGCUUCCUGGCACAUUUUUAUCAACGUCAUUGGUCGUUAUGUGGAGAGGAGAUUUCUAGAGCUGUUCUCAGAAUAGUCAGAGGAGAGGAGAGUGCGGAGUGCCUAAACGACACAGUUCUGGUUUUAAUACCGAAGGUAAUGAACCCAACCCAACUCUCUCAAUUCAGACCUAUAAGCUUAUGCAACUUUCUAUACAAGAUUGCUUCCAAGGUGGUUGCAAACAGGCUUAAGCAGAUCCUGCCAGACAUAAUCUCUGAGGAACAGUCAGCCUUUGUCCCGGGAAGGCUCAUAACUGACAAUAUUAUAUGUGCGUAUGAGUGCUUGCAUUUUAUGAAGAGGUCAAAGGCAAAAGCAAACAGCUCCUAUGCGCUUAAACUUGAUAUGAUGAAAGCUUACGACCGUUUGGAGUGGUCGUACCUGAAGGCUAUCAUGGAAAAGCUUGGCUUUGCUCUGGCGUGGAUUGAUAUUGUGAUGAACAUGGUUUCUUCCAUAUCCUUCUCAGUCCUUUUUAAUGGAGAGAAGCUCGACCAGUUCAAACCGUCAAGAGGUAUUCGACAGGGAGAUCCUAUUUCCCCUUACUUGUUUUUGAUUGCAGCGGAGGGCCUUUCGUGCCUAUUAAAAUCCAGUUCUCAGUCAUCGGUGCUUGGAGGAAUCAAGGUGGCAACCACAGCUCCGGCUGUUAACCAUCUUCUAUUUGCAGAUGACAGCCUGCUGUUUUUCAAGGCAAGUGUUGAGGGUGCGAAUGCGGUAUCAAACCUGCUGAGUACAUAUUGUGGAGCCUCAGGUCAGAGAGUAAACAAAGAGAAAUCUUCUAUCUUUUUUAGUAGAGGGUGCCCUCAGGUGGUUCGAGACAGUGUAAAACAGGCUGUCAAUGUGCACAAGGAGUCUUUGAGUCAUAAAUAUCUGGGCAUGCCAACUGAUGUGGGACACUCCAAGAAUGGAACGUUCAAGUACCUACGUGAUCGUGUGUGGGAGAAGGUCAAGGGGUGGAUGGAAAAACUACUUUCAGAAGCGGGAAAGGAAGUAUUGAUCAAGUCGGUUGCCCAAUCAAUCCCCGUCUACUCAAUGGCUUGUUUCAGACUGCCUAGAGGUCUUUGUGAGAGUGUCACUUCCAUUAUCAGGCAAUUCUGGUGGGGCAGCAAACAGGGACGGCGGAAACCAGCUUGGGUCUCAUGGGAAAUAAUGACUCGACCAAAGCAUAUGGGAGGACUAGAUUCCGAGACCUCGAAAUCUUUAACCUAGCACUUUUAGCCAGACAAGCGUGGAGGCUUUUGAACAAUCCUGAUACACUUAGCUCUGCGAUCUUGAAGGCUGCAUAUUUUCCGGAUUGUGAUAUUAUCCAGGCUGAGCUGGGAACGCAUCCAUCACAGAUUUGGCGUGCUAUCUUGGAUGGGAGGGACAUAAUGAAACAAGGAGUGAUACGGAGGAUAGGGACCGGAGAAGAUACUCUCAUAUGGGAGCAUAAUUGGAUACCGAGGCAUGAUAUACUUCGGCCGAUUACAUCCCUCGUUACUGAUCCACCAACGAGGGCUCAUGAACUGAUAGAUCAAACCACUUCGUCUUGGAAGGAGGAUCUAGUUCGAACAGUUUUCAUACCACUAAACGCUGAAGAGAUUCUCAAAAUACCCUUGUGUACAAAGAAAGUUGAUGACUUCUGGGCCUGGAGUAAGGAGAGCAGAGGCAACUUCACUGUUGGGUCUGCUUAUAGAAUGAUACAGAACACCAAAAUGAUGAGAGAAAGCUGGUUGUAUCAAACAGAAGGCCCAUCGAGCGUUGCUGAGAGCAAUGGAUGGACUUCGCUAUGGCGCACACAAGUCCCAAGCAAAAUUCGAGUGUUCCUCUGGCGGCUAGCAAGGGAAUCAAUGCCCACUAACGAUCUCCUUCACCAUCGCAAUAUGGCGGACUCGCCGGCAUGCCGUUUGUGUGGAGCGGCCAACUCAUGGAGGCAUCUACUGUUGGACUGCAAUAUGGCAAGAAGUACCUGGGCCUUAGCACCUGAAGCGCUGGUGGAAGUUAUGAGUACUAAUUCUGAUCCAAAUGGAAGAAGUUGGUUGUUUAAUAUGCAAAGCCUGUUGAACCAUGCAGAUUUCACCGUCUGGGAGUCACUCUCUGGGCAAUUUGGAGUUCUAGAAGAAAAGUGAUAUAUGAGGACAUACGCCAGACCCCAUAUUCGACCAAUGCAUUUGUUAACUCUUUCAUCAGUGAUAUGGAUGUGUUGGUACAGCCUCGAGGUGCGCAAGUGGCAGCCCAGCCGAGACCCACACGCUGGAUAGCUCCCCCUGAGAACUUGGUGAAAAUCAAUGUAGAUGCGGCAACUGGGAGGAGCAGGAACGGCGGCACUGUCGCAGCAAUAUGCAGAGACCAUGAUGGCCUUUUCUUGGGCGCUUCCACUGUCACUUUUACCGGAACCGCUGACCCUACGACGCUGGAAGCUCUUGCGGUCCGUGAAGGACAAGCAUUGGCGGAUGACUUAUACGAACGCAGCAUCUUCGUUGCUUCUGACUGCAAGACGGUUAUUGAUGAUAUCCAGAAGGGAAGUGCGGCUAGUUAUGGAGCUAUAAUCAGAGAGAUGGUUGAUCGAUCUAGUUCUUUUUUAAGUUGCCCUUUUGGUCAUGAGUUUAGGACCUCGAAUACCGAGGCUCACAAUUUAGCAAAGCAUGCAAUAUCACUUGGGGUUGGCCGCCGUGUGUGGUUAGGCAAUCCGGGUGAUCUCUCGUUCGUCCCUAUAAACGUUGUGACGAGUUAAAUAAAAGCUUUGCGAGGUUGUCUCAAAAAAAAAAGACCAAUAGAGGUCAGACCUCGCACACAAAAAUGACACGAUAGCUUGCUCCACUUCCCCACUUCCGCGGCAUGGACGGCCUCCUUCUAGCGAGCAACCUAGGUGUCCUGUAUAUUUUACGUAUAUCUUUCCCUACUAAUAAAGCACGGAGUGCUUCUGGUCGUACGUCGUCACCAAUUUACAAAAACGUCCCUCUAUUUCUGCAAAAUCAACCCGCAAUCCCUAUUAAGUGGAUUUGGGAAACUAUUCGUUUUAAAAAGCGUCGCGGCGGUGGCCUUGGCCGGCAUGGAGGUGAGCUUGCGGGCGCGCUUGCGGUAGGCGAGCCUAGCCCGCAAGCCCUCCCGUUGCUUGGUGAGGGCCUUGGCCUUCCUGCGCGCCUUGUCGGCCUCGGCGCUGGCCUUGGCGGGCCGAGGCGUCGCGUAACGGGCGGCGGAUCUCGGCUGCUCCGCCGUGGAUCCGGCGGCAAACGGAUCGAGACAGGAGAGGCGGCAACCUCCAUGGCGGGCCCCUGGAGGAGACCAUCGUGGAUUGAGAUGGAGAGGCGACGACCUCCAUGGCGAGCUACGGGGCAGAGGAGGCAGGGUCUUGUGGCGGCGCUCGCCUGAGCUCCUGGCACCGGGAAGAUAUCGGGAACGGACGAAGGACGGCGAGGCAGGCCGGAGAGGGGCCGGAUCCGGCGAUUCCCGACAACGGAUGGGCGGUGGCGGUCUCCAUGCUGCGGGGUCGGCUCGAAGUUCCUGCAGUGGGCAUGGUGGUCUUCCUGUUGAAGAAAAUAGAGAGGGUUCAGAGAGAGAAGAGAGAGACAGGGGAGAGAUAGAGAGGGAGAUAGGAGGCGGGGCAACGUCGCAGUGCAGCUACUGCUCACCUAGGCGACGACGUCGGCAGGGCCGCCGGGGCAUGGGUCGGAGCGGAGGAUCUCGGGCGUCCAUGGCGGCCUCGUGCAACAGAGAGCAAGAGAGAUAGAGGGAGAUGAGAGUAAACUGGGAAAAGAGAAUAAGGGAAGAGGGAGAUGGCGGGGAAAGGAAUGCAGGGGGACGACGGGGGCCCGCUCGGUGGCUUCGGUCAUCGGCGGAAGAAGGAGCUCAGGGACUAGGUGGUUGUGCUCGGGAGCAGCAGAUCGAGCAGGAGAAAGGAGGGGAUAGAAUGAGGUGAUGGAAUAAGAAGGAACUCAGAGAAAGGAGGGGAUAGAAUGGGAUAAGCUUCAACGGCAGAGGAAGGGCUCAGCAAAUUUGACGCCUUAAGACGAGACAUACACGUGACGGUGUACGUGACCUCCACUUUUUUUUAAUUGGGUACGUGGCCUCCACCCGCAUGACAGUGAUGGGCAACAAAGAAAAUUUUGCUUUUUUAUGGUGAUGAUGGGAUGGGGGUGCGUGGUCUUUGGGCCAAGUUUAAAUAGAGCAAAAGAAAAAGAACCAAACAUAAUUUGUAAACCCAACAACCAGCAUUUUCUGAAAAAAUAAUCAACAUAGUAAAAACAUGUUUGAUUUUGAAUAUUAACAACAAAUAAUUCUUUAUAAAUAAUCCCACUUGAAUGCACCACUACUCUUCCAUCCAAAAGAAAUCCUUCUGCAUUUAAAUCCUCUGAAAAUCCGAAGAAUUAAUUUUGAACUAUUUAUUAAACCUCGAAUGGUAUACUAUUAUUUUGUCUGUAUAUCCCGCUAAAAACACUUACACCAUUCCUUUUCCACCUGAUGAUAGUGGUAAGCUGAAGGAGGAGCCAUCAAAGGACAUCCCUAUGACUUUCUCAACUUUAUACUACAUGGUCUAGACACCAACAAUCAUGUUUUAUAUUGCGGACAUUGAGCGUGUAUGUGUUUUUUAAGAUAAAGGGUGUUUCAAAAUCUUCUUGCUUUAAAAAAUCAUGCUUUUAAGUAUGUUCACGUUUUUUAACGAAUGCACAAAAUCCCAAAAGAUCCAGCUUAAACAAAUAUUUAAAAUUUAUCACAAAAUUUUAAAAUUUCAUAUUUAAAAAGACAUGCGGUCAAAACAUGUUCAUCUUCAAAACAUGUUUCAAUUCUAAUAAAAAGAUAAAAAUUUCAAAAUUGUUCAUUUAUUUCAAAAUAAAUAAAUAUUAGUGUUUCCCCGAAGAGUAAAUAAAUAAAACCGAUUACUAGACUACUCCAUGCACCACUACCAUCAUAUUACUCCGAAAAACAAUAGCAGUAUAAACUUAUUACCGAUGUUUAUGAGAACUGCGUAUAAGAAAUGGCGUGUACUGUCACACGGAGUAGGCUUUACGAUAUUUUUCGCCCGUUGCAACGCACGGGCAUUUGUACUAGUAUUAAAAAUAUGUACUGAGAACCAACCAGUGGUCGGAUGGUUUAAAAAAUUGUUUACAUAUAUUGCCUCUGUCUAGAAUUACUUGACGCGAGGGAAAUAAAUUGAGUGAAUAACUACAUUUUACAUUAAACCCCUUCAAUUCAAAAAGUAACACAAAAAUCCGCAGUCCCUAUUAGAUACGAACCCCUUCAAUUUAAAGAAUCGAGGUGGGACUAUUAGAUACGAACCCUGUUUUGUAGCAAAACUGAACGUUAGCUCAUGUGGUUGUUGCCUUCCCUACGGGAGUGGAUGUCCUGAGGUGAGGUCCUGAGUGAAAACCCACUAUACAUAGUCAGACCCCUCACAGAUGCCCCACGGGAAGGUUGUAAGAUGAAAAUCAUCUAAACUUGAAGCAAAACCGCAUCGACAUCACGGACUGAGCAUCAUUCCGCACCCAUCAAGGACGGGGAUGGCGUGCCUUGUGUAGUUCAUGGGACCCUCGGACCAAUGUCUAGAUUCCAAGAAACCCCACAGGUAAGACGACACGCCCUACUAGUGAACAGUGUAUGCGAGAUUAUCUUUAAUCACGUAUGUUGAAAAAUGUCUUCCGCCAUUGGUACCAACAGAUUAUGGUUAAUCAUGUACCUGAAAUAUGUCUUCUUCCAUUGCUAUCAGUAUCUUCUUGUGGUUGCUGGGGAUUAGGCCCACUACUGUGUGGAAGUCUUCAGUUCGACGAUGCUAAAGCACAGAAAUGAGACAUGCAAUCACAUGCACUCUAAUCACAUGGGGUAAACAAGCAAAAAGCACAAGCAGGCAGAGAGACUCCCAGCUCCCCAGAAACACAAACAUACAGCUCCACUUCCCCGCUUCCGCGGCGUGGACGGCCUCCUUUGAAGUUGACUCGAGGGGAUGAUUGACAAAACUUCCGCCAUCAAGUUUGGAACCUAGCGAGCAACCUUGACCACACCCAAAAAUAAUAGAAGUCCUACCGACUUCCAGACCACAAGUCACAACUCACAACAAAGCCUUCUAUCCGGUUCGCACAAUCAGACAUGUAGAUACCUAGUGACUCCAAAGUCUACAGGAGAGCACCCGAGGUGGCAACGAUAUGUAUGGGGGCGAUGCUCGCGACAUACACGAGACUAAAGAGCAGGGCCCUAUUUAGCCCUUGGUUAAGAGUUCCAAUAGUUGAACGUUGUCGGUGUCAAAACCGGCAGAUCUCGAGUAGGGGGUCCCGAACUGUAGGUAUGAGGAUCGAUGGUAACAAGGGACGUUGGGACACAAAGUUUACCCAGGUUUGGGCCCUCUUAAAGGAGGUAAAACUCUACGUCCUGCUUGAUUGUAUUCAAUGAGUAAAGGGAUUACAAGAGUUGAUCUACCAUAAAAUCGUAAUGGCUAAACCUUAGCUAUCUAGCCUAUGGGAAUUCUGAUACCCUACGUCAUGCUUGAUUGUAUUCAAUGAGUAGAGGUAUUAUAAGAGUUGAUCUACCAUGAGAUCGUAAUGACUAAACCUUAGCUGUCUAGCCUAUGAGAAUUCUGAUAGCCUAUACAGACUAAAUCCUCCAGUUUAUAUACACAUAGGAGGGACCUAGGGUUGUACAGAGUCAGUUUGUGAGGGAAGGAAAUAACUUAUCCGGACACUAAUCUUGCCGUCCACGCAUAAAGGAGUCCAACCCGAACGCGGGGGGAAGUCUUCUAUUUGUACCUUCACGGCCCAUCAGUCCGGCCCAUAUCGAAUAGCCCGGACACUCGAGGGCCACCUAAUCCAGGACUCCCUCAAACAUCCACACGUUUUUAUUAAAAGAUAUAUUUCAAAAAUAUGUUCUUACAAAAAUUGUUAAAUCAAGUUUAUAUGCCCAAGCACCUAGGUGUCUCAUAUAUUUUACCUAUAUAUUGAGAAGUGUGUACCAAGAACCAACCAAUGGUCGAAUGGUUUUAAAAAAAUGUUUGACAUAUAUUCCCUCUGUCUAGAAUUACUUGACACGAGGGAAAGAAAUUAAUUGAAUAAGUACAUUUUACAUUAAUUCCCUCCAAAAUUCAAAAAGUAACAUAAAAAUCUCCGAUACCCUCCGUGCGAUCCCCUCCGCGUGGCCCGCCGCGAUCGCCUGGACCUCAAGCUCCUGCCCUGACACUCAGCACCUCCAGCUCCGGUCGUGCCUCCGACAGGUGGUCCCGCCGCCAGACUGCACCUCGAGCUCCCUUCGCGAUCCCCAACACCUCCAGCUCAGGCAAUGUCUCCGGUAGCUGGUGCCGUUGCCGACCAACACCUCGAGCUCCCUCCGGCUAGCACCUCAAGCUCCCACCGGCGACAGCCAACACCUCGAGCUUGUUCUCCAACACCAGGCUCCCGCCGCCGCCGCCACCGCCUAUGCGGGCUCAAGGAAUCCCUCCUGUGGUUAGAUCUUCACCUAGCUUCAUUGUCUCCGAGACGGGUCUGCUGCCGGGCUCCCCACCGAGUGACACCCCUGGUGUAUUACACCGUCACCAUCCACCUCUCCUACUCUCAGGCCCGGGCAGAGGGGUGUGCAACUGGUGCGGCCAAACAGGGCCCCUAGCUCGGAGGGGCCCCGAAUUUCGUCCUUAAGUAUAGGCCCAUCGAUCCAACUGUUGAGUUGGACCUGGACAAGGUGUUCAUUCCUCAGACGGGCCUGCUCUGUUGGGUGUAAGUGGCUGCGUCCAAGCCCAUGUUGGUGCCGCGUCCUGCGAGUGGACGGCAAAUGAACUCAGCGCCCCAACGCCUCUUCGUCUGUUCCCCAAUCAACACAUGAUCUUCUUCAUCCGCACAAAAAUAGGCUAUGGCGGCCGCCGAUCGACCUUGCCCUGCCGAAGCCACCGUUUCAUAGUCGCCUGUUCCGUCCAAUUCGUCAAAGCUCGGUUCGGGCAGACUUCCAACCCGCAUGGACCACCGGUGAGAGUAUGUCAUGGGGGCACCACCGACGCAACCGAGCCACCUUCUCGUUUGCUGUAGACUUGGAACUGUUUUUCUUUUAUAAAAUCAAACUGAACUGUUUUUCUAUAAAAUCAAAUUGUGCUCGGUUCAGCUCUCAUAAAGAUGAUGCUAUGUUUUGUUAAGCGACAUCUUAUAUAAAGAUUUAUAUACAUUAAGCGACAAAGAAAACUAUAUUUUUGCAAUGAGAUAGACCCUAUUUUAGAGUUUGGCACAGGGCCCUGAUUUUGCCGGCCAGGCCCUGCCUACUCUGUUGCCUGCCAAACACUUAGAGUUAAGUACAAGACAAAUACAAACACAAUAUGAACAUAAUCAUUUGCAUGUAACUCAGGGAAACAAGGAAUUUAUAAAGAGAGGGUUGAUUGAGGUUGAAAGAAAUAGUAAGAAGAAUCGGGAAAACAUUUUCAAAUACUUCACCAACCUUCUUGGUUGCAUUUCGUUUUUGCCCCUUCCGCCGUGUUGUCCGUCCAAAGCCGACGAAUGGCUGGGGUGCCAAACAAUAUUCGGCUGACUCGAACGGUAACAACAGGCUUGUUGUGUACAUUGCCUUCUAAUCGCGCAUGGUUCAUGUUUUUUUUAGUCUAAACACACGCUUUAUUGCUCAAGAAUGUUCUGAGGAAUACAUCUCAAGUCUGGAGGAUGUAGCAGCCAGACAUGGCGGCCAAUAGGGAGAUUAAGCGCGUAUCUAGCGAGGCUAUGUGCCUCAACAUUCGAAGCUCUAUUUUCGUAAAUAAAAGAGCAAGACUGUUUUUCUAACUCCAUUAACUUGAUCUCUCGAAUGAUAUGAGCAUCUUUUUUCCUCCGUUGCCUUCAGAGAUAUUGGAUACAACUUCCUUGCAAUUCGACGCAACGACCACAUGUGUCUCCAUGAGAUCCGAUGCCAAAGCCAGAGCUUCUCUGCAAGUUAGAGCUUCAAGAGUCGCCGGGUCUGAAACUCCUUCAAAAAAUAUAGCUGACGCUCCCAAAUAAGAACCAUCAACGGCCUGGCAAAUGUCACCCACUGAGCCGCGUCUAGCUGAUUUGGUUGUGGCCCCAUCCACUUUGAUCUUGCAAUGGCCUAUCGGUGGAGGGAUCCAACGCGCGAGGCCGACGCACAUUCGCGAACAAAGAAGCGUCGCCCUUGGUGACGAGCACGAAGCUGACGACUGGAUGCUUCGAUGGUGGUAGGUAACCAUCCUGAGAAAGUUGAUUCAGCUGGUCUUGGCUCACUAUGGAGGGCCUCCACUUCCCUUUCGUCUUAGACGAGGCCUUGGUUUUCGCUGCAGGCCUCUUGGUGGCACUUGUCUCCUUCACCUCAUGGCUCUGCCUCCCCUCUCCGGACAUGUCAGAAGCAUCGGCAGGGUGAAAUGCAUGACCUCUUUGGGACUAGGCAUGAGAAAAACGCUUGGGUGCUAGAGCUUGAGGAGGAAGAUGAAGGCAGAAGGAGGAUGAUAGCGUAAAGCCCUCCUCCUCGUACCUUCCACGGACGAGCGAUGGCUUACCCCUCGUGCCCACACAUGAAUGUGCAUGAUGAUGUCAAAAGUAGCAGUAGGGCAUUCCAGAAAAAGCGCUACUGCUACGUUGAAUUAUUAUUAUGUGCAAUGUUCAAGAAAUCGGUAACUAAUAGCUGCUCGGUCGGCUUGGGAGAAAUAACUAAUAUCAAUCGGCCUAUUAAUUGGAUUAAUAGGUCAACCACUAAUCGGUAGAUUAAAUAGUAACCUACCAGCACAAGCAGGUAGCUAUUGAUGUGUAAGGCAAGUAUUGCAGUUAGGGACGAACAUGGAAAUAAAAAGUGAAUGGAACAGUGGCAAGCAAUGCUAGCAAACUAGAACUUUAUUUGUCUUUUAUUCCCAAGCUUGAACUAGCACAGGUCGGGGUCACACAUGAUGGUGCACGCCACUUUAUUUGUCAUCGUUACAACGAUUGGUGCAUAAGCUAAGCAACGAUGAUUCAUCUACCUAUUAGCAUAACUCUUGCAUUUUUCAUUGGCCACCAAUGCCGGCGUCUAUGCUGGCAUAUGGUACGUUGAUGGUGGAGCAGUCAGGUGGGACAUACACGUUGCACAUGGUUGGAAGAGUUUUCAAUACCAAUGACCUGAUCCCCUCCAAUUGAGCUGGUUGUUGAGGUUGGAUGAUACCCAGACCCUGGGCGAGCUGAAAUAGUGGUCGCAGGAUCUGCACGCCUUGUUGUUGUUCUUGCUGCAUGAUGAUGGAAUGCGCGACGCUGUGGAUGGCUGCGCACUGGAGCUGUUGAGGAAUUUGUGCUAGUUGUUGGCAACAUUGUUGCUGCAUCACCUGGCAAUCACUUCGUGGCAAGAUUAUUGACACGAGAGAUGACACCAAUGACAUAGGGUUGCAUUGCUGCAAGAGAAAAUUCUUGCAGGGGUUCAUCUGUUGUUGUAGAAAUGACUGAAUCAUCAGUUGUUGUUGUUGGGGGAAUGAUUGUUGUGGUUGUUGGGGCUGCGGAAAUUGUUGUUGGGGUUGGGGAAAAGGUUGUUGUGGUUGCUGUGACUGGGGAAAUGGUUGUUGGGGUUGUUGAGGCUGGGGGAAUGGUUGUUGUGGUUGUCGGGGAAAUGGUAGUUGGGGUUGUUGGGGCUGGGGAAAUGGUUGUUGUGGUUGCUGGGGCUGGGGAAAUUGUUGUUGUGGUCGAUGGGGGAAUGUUUGUUGAGGUUGGGGAAAUGCUUGUUGUGGUUGAUGGGGGAAUGUUUGUUGGGGUUGGGGAAAUAUUUGUUGUGGUUGCUGGGAGAAUGGUUGUUGGGACUGGGGGAAAGGUCGUUCUUGUGGCCAUUGUACUCGGCUGCUAGGGUCGACCUGCAUAUUGGCAGUGGCGAUUGUUGUUGCCAUCGCAAGGAUUGUUAGGAUGAGUAAGGUCUUCAUGGUGGAUUUGCGUUAAAUACUACUUACUUGGAUUUGAUGCUUGUGCUCUAGUUGUGUGAAGGAUGGAUGAUGGUAUGGAGUCUACAUAUUGUAGGCUUUUUAUAGCUACCAUGGUUAGGUUUCUUUUUAUUAUUGCUUUCCUUUUUUAAAUGAUUCGAUGCUUAUCAAACCGGUUAUUUGGUGUGUUGUGUUUGGUGGCACUACAUACAAAAGUAGUUUGGGAGUGGUCAUCAAAGAUGCCUUUUUAUUGUACAUAUCAUCUAAGAGUGACGAAAACCUGAUAAUUGGCACUGACUCAUCUUAUCGACUUUACAUGUCAAACAAUUAUCUGGAUUGCAUUCCUUUUGGAUCUAAGUUUAUCAUGUUGUACAAGUUGUUAGACAUAACCAAAUCUUUAUAGCUUGCGGGGGACUAAAUUUGUAUCCUUGUGCAUGUUGUUAAAGACAGGUCAGGGAAUUCUAAUGUUCAUUUUGGACUCUUAUUCUUUUUCAAAACUAGCUUGCAGUAUUGUAUAGUAUGAUGGCAAGAUGACAAGCUGACACGACUCAUCAAAUUCUCCUUUUAUGUCAAGGGUAGUAAUGUUGUACACGUUAUCAAUACAUGACUUAUCAUAUUCCGUUUUUAUGUUAAUGGUUGUAAUUCUGUGCAAGUUAUUAAUUAAUAUUGGACUAGUACUAGCUUUACUUGUCUUAAUUGAUUCACUCUUUAGUACAUUUGAAGGUUUGUUCUCGCUUUAAUUAAUUAAUUUAUUGAACUAAGUUUGUAUGUAUUAUGUGUAACAUUUGAUGCAUUUAGUCGAAGUUGUUCAUGACAACCAUUGUUACUAAGAUUUCUGAGAAUGAUUUAAAGCAUUUAAAAAAUAAAUAAUUGCAUAUUUGUAUCCUUAGGGCAUUUUCAACCGAUCCUUUAAAAAUAGGGACAAUUAGAUUUAUGCCCCUAGUUGUGUCACACUCGUCUGUUUUACCCCUAAUUCCCAAAAGUCACCGGUUCUGUCCAAGUCACUUUGCUCCUCUUAUGCUUUUGCCCUUUGACCGUUUGACCGUCAUUUUGAAAACUUCGUAACUAAUUCAUAUUAAAUCAGAAAAAUGUAAAUAAGAUACCAACAUGUUUAGAAAAACAUCACCUAUAUGUCACUGUCAUUUGCAUUCAUGAAAAAAGUGUUGAAAGUGCCCAUCCGAGUUUUAACUCUUAUGCUACCACCAUGAAUAGUAAAAUCUAAAACAAUUCAAAAAAAAUUGGUGGCAAAGAAUGACAAAUGUUUUAAGUGCCUGCCAAGUUUCAUCAGGGAAUAACAUUCGUGGGUGUCGCGACAAAAAAAACAAUCAACACUCCAAAAUAGAUUAUUUUUUUGCCACGACUUCCACGAAUGUCGUUCCCUAAUGAAACUUGACAAGCACUUAGAACAUUUGUCAUACUUUGCCACCAUAUUUUUUUGAUUUUUUUAUUUUUUUUAGAGUUUACUAUUCAUGGUGGUAUCAAAAGAGCUAAAACUUGGAUGUGCACUUUCUAACAGUUUUUUCAUGAGUGCAAAUGACACUGACAUAUAGGUGAUGUUUUUCUGAACAUUUUGGUAUCUUAUUUGCAUUUUUCUGAUUUAGUAUGAAUUAGUUAUCAAGUUUUCAAACUAACGGUCAAACGGUCAAAGGGCAAGAGCAUAAGAGGAGCAAAGUGACUUGGACAGAACUGGUGACUUUUGGGAAUUAGGGGUAAAACAGACGAGUGGGACACAACUAGGGGCAUAAAUCUAAUUAUCCCUUAAAAAUAACGCAGGAUCCGACUGACUAAACCUAUAAUGGAGUAUUUUUACUCCAUUAACUUUUGGUCGGAUCUAACCAAACUCUGAAAUUUAACAAAGUAAAUACAAAAUUUGCAUAAGUUAAAACUAGAUUCAAUUGAAACAACCGAAAUUCGACACAUUUGUCUUGACAUCCCGCGGGAGAACCGAAAUUGAUUUAAACAACCUAAACCUAAACCUAAACUUGAAAUUAAUCUAAACUACUCAUCAUCAUCAUUAUCAUCGCCAUGGUAGAGGUCGAGCCAAUCUUGCCUUAAAAUUCAACACCCAUUGGGUCCGGGCCGGUGUCAUCAUCGUCAGAGUUGGGUAAGGUGCCCUGCCAGUCCUUGGCGUUGAACUCCUUCUCGUCAUUUCCGCUUUCAUCGCUGCCUUGCACCUCGUCGUCGGAGGUGACGAUGACCUCCCCAUUGACUGCCCACGCCGCCUCCACGAGCUUGGGGUAUGGGCGGCGGAGGUCUACCAUGUACUCCUCGCCAGCGGCCUCUAUCACUAUGUGCUCCCUCGCCACCCGGUCCUCCUGAGCCAUCGCCGCAUCCACCACCCCCGGUGGCAGCGGGUUGAGGUGGGAGAGCGUCGUCCCCCAUGGAAAGUUGAGACGCGUGUCCGUGCCAUGGAACCGGGCCUGCCACCGGUCAUAUUCCAGGGCGGCGAGCUCUGUCAUGUGGAACAACCCGAUCCACUUAUUCUUGUGGGUUUCCUGGUCGGUGAUCUCCGCCACCCACGUCCCCCAUGCUCGUUGGUGAAGGCCAAGGUAUUUCCUCUCCGGCUAUUGCGGUAGAGGAAGGUCCAGGAAGUCGGAGAUGCAGGUGGGGGCCGCAUCGGCCGGGCGGCGACGGCUCGAAGACACGCGGCGGGCAUGGCGGCGUGGAUCCGCUCUACGGAUUGGCUGUGAGGAGUACCAGUCAUGCGGUAAGGCCAUUGGGAAGAGGGGGAGGAAGAGAGGCAGAGGAGGCGCCUAGAGAGGUGAGGAAGUUUUACUUGGCCGUCGAAUGGUGGAGUAAAAAUAGACAUGUGAGAUGCGGCUAAGGAUAUUUUUUUACUCCACUAGCCCCGAUCGGGGAUCGGCCAGGUCCCGGUUAGAGGAGUAAAACUUGGUUUUUACUUCUCCGACCGGUUAUAGUGGAUUGGCUAGAAAUGCCCUUAGAUCACUAAAAGCAUAUACUAAUUACACCAUCUUCUAACAUACCUUUAAUCUACACAGACUUGUCAAGAAGUCCUUCAUUCGUGUGUUUAUCCACCUGAACAAAAGCCCGUCAAGUUCUAGUGUUGUAAAAGGAAGCAAGAAGAGGUGGUAAAAUUGCUCAACAAGUCAAUCUUCUUGUUUGUUCAUUAAUACCCUAGAACCGACGGUUGACUCCUGAUCUCUUGUGAGCAUAUAUAUUUUUCUAAAAUAAAAACUGCACUCAACUUUUAAUAUGUUUCAAAUGGUUCACAUUUUUCUCCGAGGGUGGGGGUGAAAUAUGAACCUAUAUGUUGCCUGGUCUUGGUGUGUCUUCAGCGGUUUCUCUUGCGACGGGAGCACGCGGUUGCAGCACUUAUCUGCUAGCAUCAGCAUGGCCCUUGCUGCUGGAUUCCGCGCCAGCGCUCAGUCUGCUAUGGCUUAUGGCGUCGACAUCACCCCUUGCCUCAGCGUGCUUCCUAGCUAAUCCGUCGCCCUUCUGUUACCUUGCUGGCAUUUCUGUUGACGACCAAUGUAUGUAUUUUCUGUUUCUACUAGUAAGAUGCCCGUGCGUUGCACGGAACAUCUAAAUGCAUUCAUCCAGGUGUAGUUUCAUGUUGGGGUCACUCGUGUAUAACAAAUAUUGAUAGGCUUCAAUUCUUCAGAUAUUCAUUCUGCUCACAAGUACCCUUGUGAAUAGUAAAUGCAGACAAAUAGCAAACAAAAAUAACUAUCUUUUGCACACAAACAUGUUUGAGUGUUCAACCUGCAUGCAAAACUUCAUGAAAAAAUAACACUCGUGGUGCUUUGAAAAGAAAAUGCACAAAAAGUUUUUUAAAAAGCUUUUUCAGUAUCAAUUUUGUUUAUUUUCUAGUAGAACACAGUGAGGGUCCCUACCUCGACGGCGUUUUCUCCUGACCUUCUUUGCCUCCCCUGCAGGUGGUGGUGUCCCAUCCCACUAAACAUAGAUACUGCUCCGAGAGGCUACUAUGUGAAUUAGUACACAUUAUUGUUUCAGAAACAGAUGAUUAAUAUGUAUCCAAAAUUCCAAAUACAGAUGAGAUUCUCUGCAGCGGCACAAUAGACGCAGAGUCCCUGAAAUUCCUGUUUAUGAACCCAUUCCUCUAUUCCAAAAGGCUCCAAAAAUAGUUCCUCAACAGAUUACAAAUAUAGCAUUACAGUGACAUGCGUGAAUUUACACUUUUGCAUAAGAAUGUAAUUAAAAUAGAUUAAUCUGUAGGAUGUAAAUAUACAAGAAUCUGGGCAUAAAACAUUAAAUAGAUGGAGAGCACGUGUUGAAAUCAUGAGAAAGCAACCGUGCACUGGCUAUCAUUAUUCAUCCUUCUUAGACCACAUAUCAGAUGGUGAGAUGGAUAUUAUACUGUUGCACCCAUUUCUACAUGUCAUUCUCAAUUAGAACUUCUAGAGAAGAAACCUUCUGCAAGUGGAUACUAUAGAGACAAUUUUGCCGCAUGCCCUCCUUGCUCCAUUGUUCUCACAAAACUGUACAAAGAUAUUUUUUUAAAAAGGAGAUUAUUUCAGUUUGCAUUCAAUCUAGUGACAACAUACGACUACAUACUUGAGUUGCAGUUUUCAUGUAUCUGUACAGUUUUUAUCAUGUAUCCAGUGACAACUUCCAACUGGUAAUUCACACUAAAAUUGAAUUGUACAGCUAAUGGACUUAUUCUCUACACACAUCACAUUUUCAUGUAUCCGUGCAAAUUUAGACUCAAGUUGUAGCCUGAAAAAAUAAUCUUUGCUGGGAUCUAGGCGGCUCCUGACCAUUGACAAGGCGGAAGAUUGAAACUACUUCUCUAUAUAUAUUUACAAAAUGGCAUGGUGUAUAUUAUCUCUGUUAAUGUCGAUGUCAAGAUCAAGGUCUGUGUUAGCAAUAAAGAUCCUUGAGAUAAGGUCACGUCACUCUAGAGAUAUGUGAACAUAGUCCGGAAUCGAGUACUGAACACCCAUUAUUUUUCAGCAAUUUGAGCUCAGUACUUAGUUGUUUGGCUAGAACUACACCUUAUGGAAUUACUAAGCUGAACGACUGACAACAUACCUGCAUUGUCAUUUGAAGUUCUUGGGAUCUUCUGGAUCCUCGAAAGGGUAGGCACCAACCAACAUCACCGAAAGGGUUACCACACAUCCACACAUUGGGUAUGCCCAUUCAAAUAAAAAUUAUUAGUGCUUGAGCAGAAAACAUAAGGUAUUGAAAUAGUUACUCCUCAAGAUCAUGCAUCACUUAUGGCAACAAAUGUGGAUGGAAGAUUCAGAAAGCAAGUAAAGCUUCUAUGGCCGAGCAAAAUGAAUUAAGUUAGGAGUAGUAACCUCCAUAGUCAACCCUGCAGCAGUAACCGCAAAGCAACACCUUGCCGAUUCCUACAUUCCUUGCGAUCGCCCAUCUUUGUGUGACGCUCAUGCACCUCGCCCUUGUUGUCGCAACCCCAUAAUUUAGAAAUAGUUGAACCCUACAAUGCAGAUUUCUUUGAGAAAAUUCAGAAGUACAAUUGCCCUACACACAUCAAAAUUGAUGGGACGCUCUUAUGCAGUAGUUUGCAAUUACCAUCUGACACAUCAAGCUGCUCAAAGAUUACCAUUAAUCCUAACCAAAAUUCUAGCUUUGCAUAAGUAAACCACCCAGCAAAAAUUUGUAGCCAAAUAAUUUCCACUACUCUUAAAAGGUGGCAAAUUCCAUUUGGUCAGUUUGAUAUCAUACAGGGAACUAAGUACUUGGUCGGUUUCUUUCUGGCAUGAAACAUCAAGCCUCCUGACCAUCACAGCAUGCGCAUAAAGGAAGGAAUAAUUAAUAGUUUUACCUUGUACCAGAAUACACAAUUUUUAUGCACGUGUAAAUGUUUGAAGUAUGAAGCAACCUUAAUAUGCAUUGACAACCACAUUGCAAAGAUAAUACUUUCUCGCAAAUUAAACUAUCCUGCAAACCAGCCACUAAAUCACUUCAGUAUGAACACAAAAAUGACCAAACAACACACUUAUCAAGUGAAAGCAAUGAUCCACUCACAUUCAGGGCUGUAACAUUUUGGCGUAAGACAUGCAUGCUUUCGCCCAAAAACAAAAGGGAAGGUUAACGAAAAAAGAAUCAAAAUCUUAAAAUACAAAAGCAUUUCGGAGUAUUUGCCAAGAGCCUGUCACAACAAGCAGGCCUAAUAAUAAGGUUCAAAACUUGUAGUAGCUAGUAGUGGGAAAAUAAUAUACACCGACAACAUGUCAAACACCAUGAAGUAUGAAGCAUGCUGCAGUUAUGCAGUAGAUGACGCCACCAACACCAAGGAUGAGCACCGCGCAGCCGGCGGCAUACUUGUAGAGGUCGCUGUCGGCUCCUGCUGUAAGAAAGGGUAGAAGCAGGGGAGGCGUUGGGGCACGGACGACGCCCACAGCGUACGUACGUGCGGUGGCUGGUAAUACAGGGGGCGGUGGAGGGGGUGGAGGGGAUGAAGACGAGGACGGGGAGAUGGAGGUGGGAGCGCUGGAACGGAGGCAUCAGUAGAGGAUGCAGGAGAGGCAUCGGCAGGCGGACGACAUCGGCGCAUGCUUGCCGAGGUCAGCGCCGAAGGAGACAUGCAAGGGAUGGAGAGGAUGUCGAGCUGGAGGGCCAUCAUGGUGGUGGGCGGUGGAGUUGAGGGGCAUGAGAGGCACUGGGGAAGGACAUCGGCGGCAGCGACCACCCAGCCAGAUCGAUUCCAGCGCUGUCGAUUUGUUUCCAGAUGGUUGGAGGACUUGGGAGAGAGAGGGCCGAACGGGAAAGAUGGGGCUGAGAGGGGGUUAUCUGCAAAUGAGCGGCGGGCAUCUUUUUGCAAAAUUGCACAGAUUGUUUCCUGUGCGUUCGAUGGAGAUCCGACGGUCGUAAGCGACGGAUGGCAGGCACGCCAUCACCACCAACUCGUAUUUUUAUAGGAGUAGAGAGUAGAGAUAUCCAGCGAUUCUACAGCAUCCCACAACUUUGUCUUAGAGACCAAAGCGCAGGGCAAGUUUCAGGAUUCUGCACUCCAGGUUUGUUCCAGUGUACAAAACAUCAAACAGUUACACUGUACCAAACAUCCCACAAUCGGUUACACUGUACCAAACAUCAAUCAGAAUUCUGAUUCUUAUAAAUGUUGCUAGAACAUGUGACUGGUGAUUGGUAGUCAGCAUUCGAGGAGCUUUACUCGUUGUUUGGUUACGAACACUCGGAUGUGAUUCACUAUUCCACGGAUCUCUAGUGAGAAGCUGAAUAUCUUCAGCUUAUAACUAAUUAGUACUCCCUCUGUAAACUAAUAUAGGGAAUGCUUAUCAUGCUAAAUCUCAUUAUGUGUUGUGCUAUUUUCUAAUAUUCUGUUCCCUGAACUUAAUAGCUUCUUUUUCUUUUCUGAAGGAGACAUAUUCUACGCCCAUCCUUCUGUUGGAUAUUCUCACUGAGAAACCUCCGCAGCAGAAGUUUGAAUUGGUUAGUUAUCAUAUCACUGCAUUCAGUCCAAAACGAUGAUUCUAAUGUUUGGAUGCUAUAUCUUUGGUGCUGACACUUCACAUCUGGGUAUCCACCUUAAUUUGGCACAUGGAACUUUUCAGGCUAAGGUAGUUUCACUAUACUCUGUUCUUGGACCAACUUAUCUAGUAUUACAUCCAAAUAGGAAGCCUGAGUCAACCAUCAUUUAGCAACUGAUGGAUCGACCUUUCCUCUGCAGAGCAUUGUUGGGAAAUAUGGGCUGCUGGCAUCUGUUGUUUCCUUUGUUGGCGUGUUUAUCUACCUGGUGGCAAGCCCAUCGAAAUCUGGUGCUGCAAAAAGCAGGCAAGAAGAGGCGCUGAAACUGUCUAGUUAUACUCAAUGUACCCUAAAAGCUAAUGUAACCAGGAUCGUACCAGCAACGCAAUUUUGGCUGUUCUACUUAUACUCAAAAUUUUGGCUAAAUUUAGACAGAGUUAUGUUCUGUAGAACAUAGAUUUUUUUUUAAUGGACAGUUGCACAAUAUCCUUUCAGUAGUGAACAGUUGCACAAGAUAUGUGACAUGCCGGGGAUAUUUUCUGUCCACUUAAGUUUUUUUUUUGUGGAGAAAUUUUUAUUGAACACAUUUUCAGAAAGGAAGAUGGUGGAGGAUAAAGAUAGACGCAGCUCAUCUUUACCAAUGUAAAUAUUCAAUAAAAUCUAACAUAUACUACUCCCUCCGUCCCAAAAUUCUUGUCUUAGAUUUGUCUAAAUACGGAUGUAUCAAGUUACGUUUUAGUAUUAGAUACAUCCGUAUCUAGGCAAAUCUAAGACAAGAAUUUUGGGACGGAGGGAGUAUUUGUUUAGAAUCAGAUACAAGAUGCAGAUCAGUCAAGAUGGUCACACAACUCGUUAGCAUUGCCAUCAAAGAGUUGAAUAGCAAGUAGUCUUAUACUUUAAUAGUACAAUAUUUAUAUAUAAAAAAGAUUGCUACAGACUUACCUAUAUGCACUACAUUCCUUCCUAUUGCGUGCAAUAAAAUCAACUAGUAUAUACAGGCUGAUUAGUGUAGAGUAAAAUUAACUAGUACAAUCAUCAAGAGGGAAAUUAGAUGGGGAAGAUGUGCAAAAGAAAAAUGAUGGAUUGUAGUUUCUAUUAGAGAAUACCACUAGACACUAGGUUGAUUUUUUUUGUAAACGUAGGUUAACCUCUGCGUCAUUGCGAUGCACACAACCAUAUUAUUAAUUAUUCAAAAGAGUACAAAACAAAGGCAACCAUGGUUCAACCGUUACAAGAUAUGAAAUAAAACAAAGUCGACUUCCUCGGCGGUAGCGCCUUCAAGAAGGGAUAUAUGUCCUCCCUAUCGUCGCCAUGUCCGACCGGAGAGGACCUAGACAAGAAUUUUCAUCAGGGUUGGCAAUACUAGCCAAUGAGGACCAGCACAUUAGCAAGUAGAGAAAGUCUUCAACAAGGUAACGACGCAAGUUCAUCACCACGGAGCCUGACCAAUAAAGGUCACUUGACGAGUUUUCACCACCGACAUAAAGCAGGGUUCGGGUCAGCAUCCUGAACGCAGAUCAUUCCAUAGCCUCCUCCGGCAGUACUCCACGGCAGGGUUAAAAGGCACUAGCAGAUUGGUGAGAUUGCUUCCCACUUUAGACCGCUGUCAUCACCGUAAACCGGACAGGACACCCAUGUCUCUGUGGGGGUUAGUCCACUGCCACUCAACACAGAUACGAGUCACACUGCAGCAUCCACCAUAACGCAAGAGCUGCUGCUAUGGAGCUAGAAGUUGAAGGAGAACCAUGAGUACAUCCCUUGCUCGUCAGUGCGAGACUCUGUCGCUGGCACCUCAAGCAUCCUCGUGCGAUGGCCACUGCCCUCACACCGGAAAAAAAAUCGCUCUUUGCGCCGCCAGCAAGUGCCGCACGCGACCAUCACCUAUGCCGACGCUCCUGCAGGAUAUGUACUGUUGCAACGCUUGAUCUCCUUACCGCAGUCCUCAAGGGCCUCCACCUCCACAGCAAUGAGUAAUGGUGGCCACCGCAGCCACCUCCAUGACUACCAACGCAUCCGUUGUUGUCACCACCAGCUUCACCUCUGUCGCACUACAAGAUGACGUCCACACUGAAGCGGCAUUGUCCAGAUCUUCACUGUCCCUGGGCGCCCUCGAUACAACGAUCAUAGAUGUCUGUGCACUAUUCUAUUCCCUGGUCACCUCACCCGAGUGGCCGAGUCCAACGAACGCACCCUUCACCAUAGGUGCCCGUCAGCAGCACCGGCGUAGUCGCAUGUCGGCGAUGGCUUCAGAUCUAAAACGAAAGCCGCAUCCAAGACGACGGCAUCAUGGUUUGUCCAUGUGACCUCCACAGCCACGUAUGACAAAGUGUCAAGACGCGGUGUUGGGAUCUUCAUGGCUGCACACACACGCUUUGACACACUGGUGACGAUAUCCUUCAUCAAGGAACUCGCCUCCCAUCGUUCACGGGUCGCGGUAAUGUUGGCGCCGCCCUCCUCACAGCGCCGCUUCUUCUUCCUCCUCCUCUCGACAACUCUCUUGUUUUCUCUCACAAGCACACAUAUGAAAAACUCAAAAGAAACACACACGCACACAUGCAUUCAACAUCUGAUGGAUGCCCGUGCACCCUCUUUAUUUUAACCAAGACUAUCUCAACUAACUAAACUUAGCACUAAUAACAAGAUUAAUUCCAACAGGCAAUGUAUUGGAGGCGGCCAGCACGGUGGUUCAAUCAGGAGACGCCCUACGACAUGACCCCCACUCCCGGCCACAGCAGUUACGGGCGGCCAUGCCAAUGGCUGCAUGGGUGAGGAUGGGUUGGGGAGGAGGAGGUGCCUAGGCUAGCGUAGCAGCCAGUACUGACGAGGGACGGCUCAGUACUAGACGUACACGAUGACGCACACGAGGAUGGGUUAUGGACGCACACGAUGACGCCGUAGCCAUGACCACGCUCUCCACCACAAAUCCGCGAUUGAGCCAUUGUGAGCCCCUAGACGUCUCCCUCCGCUCCAUCGCUGAGUGUCACGAUCGACCCGGUAAUUGGAUGGAUCGAGGUCGCACAAAUGAGCUCAGUAUUGGGAUAGAUUUGGGAUAUUUUGGGACAUUUGGGGUGAGGAAUCAGAGGNNNNNNNNNNNNNNNNNNNNNNNNNNNNNNNNNNNNNNNNNNNNNNNNNNNNNNNNNNNNNNNNNNNNNNNNNNNNNNNNNNNNNNNNNNNNNNNNNNNNNNNNNNNNNNNNNNNNNNNNNNNNNNNNNNNNNNNNNNNNNNNNNNNNNNNNNNNNNNNNNNNNNNNNNNNNNNNNNNNNNNNNNNNNNNNNNNNNNNNNNNNNNNNNNNNNNNNNNNNNNNNNNNNNNNNNNNNNNNNNNNNNNNNNNNNNNNNNNNNNNNNNNNNNNNNNNNNNNNCAGAAGAACACGACAUGGGAUUCAAAAUCUGAAGAAGCACAUGGUCCUGGACUUUAAAGCCGUUUGCGCACGCACUGCCCUCUGGGCCCCAUUCCUAUGCACUGAAUCCACACACGGACAUUUUUUUUCAAUGGCUAGGGGCGAUUAUGGGCACGAGAUCUCCGAACUAAAUUUUCCGGACUAGGAGGUUCCUUUUUUCACAUUGCAUGAUAUACUUGUGAAAAAUUGAUAUAGAAUCGAUGGAUUCCUAUCGAAUUAGAUGGGCAUGACGUGCAACAUUUUAUUUGCCUUUAUUCCCAAGUUUGAACUUGUAUUGGUUGGAGUCACACAUAUGAUGGUGCAUGACAUUUUAUAUUUUUUUCAUUGCUACAUCGAUCGUCCAAUCGAGUAAACAAUGAAGGUCCAUCUAUCUAGUAGUACAACUGUUUUCAUUUCACUGUCCACCGUUCAUGGCAGUCAUGCUACCAAAUGGUGCACUAGUGGUGUAGCAGUCAGAUGGGACAUGCACGUUGCAUAACAUAGGCAGGGUCUGAAUCACAAGUAACCUAACCAACUUGAACUGGGCUAGUUGUUGAGGUAGGAUAAAGCCCUGGCCCAAUUGAUAUUGAGGCUGCAUGGGCAUUCCCUGGCCCAACUGUUGUGGUUGAGGCUGGCCGAAACCUCUAUCCACAUGUUGUUGUUGCAUGACGAUGGCAUGCACAAUGUUGUGGAUGGCCGGGCAUCGGGACGGUUCAUUGAUACGUGCAAGUUGUCGACAACAUUGUAGACGCUUCAACUGGCAGCUAUUCUGUUGCGAGGUCUUUGGUCGGAGGAACGGGAUCACUGACUGGAUUAAUGACAGUUUCUCCUCCGGGUUGCACUGUUGCAGGAGGAACUCCUUGCACAAGUUCAAUUGUUGUUUUUCCUCCACAGAAGGUUGUUGUUGUGGCAAUGGUUGCUCUUGCGGGUAUGGUUGUUGUGUUAAUGGUUGUUGAUAUUGGGGAAAUGGUUGUUGUUGCGGGAAUUGUGGUUGCUGUUGCUGUUGUUGCGGGAAUGUUUGUUGUUCAUAUGGAAGUGGCAUCUGCUGCGGAAAUUGUUGUUGUGGUGGCUGCUGCGGGAAUAGAUGUUGCUGGGGAAGUUGUUGUUGGAGAAGUGGCUGUUGUGGAUAUGGUUGUUGUUCCUGGGGUUGUGGUUGCUGCAGCGAAAAUGGUUGUUGUGGCUCUUUUUGCGGGAAUAGUGGUUGUUGUGGUUCUUGCAGCGGCAAUGGUUGUUGCUGGGUAAGUGGUUGCUGCUGCAGAAAUGAUUGUUGUGGCCUUUCUUGGACAUGGACACUAGGGUCGAGCUGCACGAUCGCGGUGGUGAUGGUCGUUGAUACAACGAGGAGGGCAAAGACCAAGAGGAUCUUCAUGAUGGAUUUGUGGUUACUCUGUAUUGUUUAGUUUGAAUGUUUGUGCUCUAAAUGUGUGAAAGAUGGAUCAUGGAAGGGGGUCUUCACGGUGUAUGGCUAUUUAUAGAUGCCAUGAAAUGAUUUCUUUUCGUCUUCAUAUUUUCUUUCUUGUAAAGUUCUGAUACUCUUAUCAAACUAUCUUCGCAGGGCUACUUGCAAGUGUAAUUUGGAUUAAUCGCCAAAGUUGCUUUCUUGUAGCACACAUCCAUGGAGUGUCAGGAAAGCUUGAUAAUCGUAAUGACUCAUCAUAUUCAUUUUACAUCGGAAACACUUAUCUAGAUUACACCCCUUUCAAAAACUAAGUUUGUAAUUUUCUACACAUUGUUAGGCACAUCCAGGUUGGCAUAACUUGUGGGGAACUAAGUUUGUAGUCUUGCUUGCGUUGUUAAGAUAGAUCAUACUAGUAAUGUGAAGAUUGUUCUGGACUCCUUCUUCCUAAACUAACUUCGUAGUUUUGUGUAAUAUGAUGGUAAGAUGAACAAGCAUACAUGACUCAUCAAUUCUUUCUUUAUGUCAAUGUUAUUAAUGUCAUAUGAGUUGUUAAUACACACUAGGUGAUUCUCACGCAUUUAUGCAGGACCACCAUGCACAUGAUAUUAAACCCUUUGAAGAAACUUUAUACUUGGUUCGAUAGUACAUAUAUAGUCACCAGAAAAAAACAUAUUGCACACGGUGUAUCAAAUACAACGACACCUACAAUAGCAUGCUAUGUGAAUUAUAGAGUGCGUUGAGUAUACUAUGGAAUAGCAUACGGCCAACUCCAAUGUAGUGACCCAAGCAGACGCGGAUUUUAUCUGCAUUUUUCCAUUUGGGUUGCCAAAAUGGACAACGGACGCAGACGAAAAGCCGGACACCACCGAUGUACACAACAGACCCAACUGAAAUGGACACCGUUGUUGAAGGCUCGGUGUCACUCGUCGAGAGGAUCAACGCCACCGCGCCGGCCAAUGACCUCCAGUUCUACGGACACCUCCGUGUGCCCGCAUAAUAGCUCGAGCCACCCGGCACCGCCGCCUUGGCUCCUCCUGUGACCCGUAGCAGCACCAGGCUGUCGUCGCCUGCUCGCUUCUCCUCUGCUUCCUUCCAUCUCUCUCUUCCUACUCAUCUCACCUCCCUCUCACUUCUCUUCUCGAGCAGGAAGGGGCACGGCCGCUAACCAUAGGACGCCUCCACUGGUCGAAGCCGCCAUCGAUGCACUAGCAUCCUCAACCUCGCCGCCGCCAACCGUAGACGCAUAGUUCAUGCAUAUAACAAACAAUAAACAUAAUUGGCGAUUGUUUGUUGGGAGAGGGGUGUGGCAAACAAAACUCUUUUGAUGGCAAUUUUGGUUCUGAGGUGAAAUCAAACGAUGGCAAUUUAAAACGAAAACUUUCCCUCUCAAUCAGAAACUGCCAUUUCGCUCUGAAGAAAACUGUCAUCCCUCAAACUAAAACUGCCAGCGAAAUAAUUCGCAAAUGCCACCCGCUCCUGGGGACUAUUUGCUAGCUAAGGGGAUCCAUAACAAAAGUGUUCUGCCUGCAGGCAAGUAGAAGUACACUAUUUCGGAUAAUGGAAAGGCAGCUUGUGUAUAAAUAUUUGAUAAAUUACAACAUGAGAUCUAGCAGACGUGUAAGGGGGUAGGAAAAACUUUGUCCGUCAAAAUUGACAUUAUUACAUGUAGGAGAGUGGCACUAGUAGAAAAACCCCUAUUAGUCCCGGUUGGUGAGGGCCUUUUGUCCCGGUUCUUGAACCGGGACUAAAGGGUCGUUACUAAUGCCUCCCCCCUUUAGUCCCGGUUCUAACACGAACCAGGACAGAUGGGCCUCCAUGUGGCCGGUGCGCCAAGCCCAGGCAGGAGGGCCUUUGGUCCUGGUUGGUGGCACCAACCGGGACCAAAAGGCAUCCAUGCGUCAGCAUUUCAGUGGCUGAGGUUUUUUUNNNNNNNNNNNNNNNNNNNNNNNNNNNNNNNNNNNNNNNNNNNNNNNNNNNNNNNNNNNNNNNNNNNNNNNNNNNNNNNNNNNNNNNNNNNNNNNNNNNNNNNNNNNNNNNNNNNNNNNNNNNNNNNNNNNNNNNNNNNNNNNNNNNNNNNNNNNNNNNNNNNNNNNNNNNNNNNNNNNNNNNNNNNNNNNNNNNNNNNNNNNNNNNNNNNNNNNNNGGUUAAUUUAGGUGUUUCAUAUAUUGUGUUAGCUAGCUAAUUAAUAGAGAGAAGUGUCAUCUCUUAUGUCCGUGCUUGGUCGAUGCUACGUACUAUACAUAGAGAGGCCCUCGACACGCUAGCUAGUAAGAAAAUGAAGGGAACCAUUAAGUACAGAAGUUCGUCAUGCAUACCGAGAGAAGUGAUCGAUCGACCUCGCCUUCUCCGAGAGAUUGGUCGAACAACAAGUUUUCAUAUUAUCUAUCCGACGCUAUUGGCUACAUACAUAUACAAUAUGUAAGAUCUCUUAAUUACAAUCCCCUAGCAAUUGAAAUCAACUUCCACAUGGUAUUCUCUGGCUUUAUUGAUGACGUGGUCAAGAAAGAAUCCCGCCAAUUCCUCUUGAAUUGCUUUCAUGCGAUCUUGUUCUAGGAGUUCAUUCCGCAUCUGCCACGUCUAAUUUGAAGAAGGGGGUUAAUUAAUACAUAUAUAUGAAUGAAACUCAACAGAAAUGAUGGUGUAAUAAAAUGAAAUUGUGAAUAUUAUUGCUUACGCCCUUCAUAUUGUCUUUGAGAGUAGCCCCGCUUAUUUUUCAAAGUCACGUUGUAGAUAAACUCGCACACGUAGUAUCCACAGAAAUCAUUCCCUUGUUCCUGCCACAAGCACUUUACGAGAAAUAGAGGUCAAUCAAACUGAUAAUGAAGCAUUAUAAAUGGCAUUGAUAAAAGUAUAGCUAUAGAAUCAACGGAAGAUGCGCGCAACUAGCUAGCUAGCUAGUAGUACUUACUUUCGGGUAUGUAUAUCGCAGCUCCUUGGGCAGUCCCGGAGCUUCUGCUGUGAACUGUUUCCAAACCCUACAAGACAAAGAAAAUAAUUAUUAUUACUUGAGAUAUCAGGAAAUGAACAAAAAGUUACCGAUAUGGUGCGAAAAUGAUCGAUUGAACUUACUUGUUGAGCAAUUUAGUCAUGUCCGCAUAGGUUUCGGGAUCUUUUCGUCUCGAGUUUAAGAUGGUUACUAGUCCCCGCUCAAGCUUAAUCUCCAGAAGAACAUAGUGGAAGCUGCGCACGCAUGCAUAACUCAUCAAUUACAUUACUAUAACCUCGCUCGAGUAAUAAGGGAAACCGAAUAUGCACACAACAGUUACACUCACUCGAAGUUGUAAGGAAAGAGUAUUAAAUCUUUGUUUUUAUUUUUGAUCAACGAUUGUAGCAAGUUGGCCUCGGCCUCGUCGGCGUGCUUUUUAACCUAAAUUUCAUCUAUGAUAUUUAUGUUAAUGAACCCAAUAUCAUAUAUUUCUUGUUUUCUGCACUCGACGAUCUUCAAUCUGCAUAAUAUAGUAAGGAUAAUUAAUUAUAAAUACAUGCAAUGAAAGAGCUGAGCUAUAUAUAGAGACUUAAUGACAGCAAUAGUACUUACAGACAGUAGCAAAAGACCGUUAAUUUAUCGAGGGCCUCUUGAUUGAAGAACUCGAAGAACUCCUCAAAUGGAACAUGCAACAGAUCAGUUCCAACGAGGCCGUGCUCCUCUUUAAUGUACAGAUACAAAGUAUUCGUCCCCCAGACUCUCUGCAGGUUUUCAUGUACCAAUUAUGGAAUCUUCGCAUCAUCGUUGUUAGAGAUUUUUCAUCUUUGACAAGAGGCUUCCCGUACUCGUAUCUGUGUUCGUCCACCUCCAUGAAAUCAGGAAGUUGAUCGUCAGGCAGGUAAUCUGCAUGAUUGCCAUAACCGGCCACCGGCCCCGGAGCAUUAGCGACGAUGUCACCGCUAGACACAUUGAGCGGGGGGCACGAUUGAUUUGCUUGUUUGCCGAGCUGGACAAGUUUUUUCGCAGCUGCUCGUUCUCUUGACCUUUGAUGCCUGACAGUACUUCCCGACCGCUCCGCUUGGAGAUAUGUCUGUUCAGUAAUGUGCUCAUAGUUGCUUCUCGGCGGAGACUUUACUGGUUUCCUCAGGGCAUCGAGAGUGCGCUUUGCUUUCACCGGAUCUACCUUCUCCUCCGGAGGUGGAUGUCUCUUUUCUUUCAACCCUUCAAAGAAGUCGUCCACUUUGGCCCGCACGAUCUUCGUGUUUUCCUCCUCGGUCCUCUCGUACGGUAACUUCUCUAGAGGCUUGAGAGAAGGACCGUAUCUGUAUUGCCUCCCGCCUCUGGCUGUACUGCUAGAUGUCGGAGUAGACAGAGCGGCCGCGGUGUCUGUCUACUUUCAUGCUUGCUUACAAGGCGGAGGAGAAGGACUACGACGCACCGGAGCAGCCGGGGCGGCGGUGGGUCUCUUCCUGCCCCCUUGCUUGCGAGGCGGAGAAGGAGGAGGCUGCUGGCUGCUCGGGCGCACCGACGCAGGCGGAGAUGGAGGCGGAGUGCCGCUACGCGCUGGAGAAGUAGGCCCAGUGCCCUGAUCAUCACUUGCCGGAGGAGGAGGCGGUGGAGGAGGCAGAGUGCCCUGACUCGCCGGAGGAGGAGGAGGAGGCGGAGGCGUCCAGUUCGGAAGGUUGAUGAGCUCCUUCCGCCAUAGGCAUGGAGUCUUCAGAGCAGAACCCAGCCUAGUCUCCCCUUCACCGGUAGGGUAGUCAAGCUGGAGGUCCUCAAAUCCCUCCGUUAUUUCAUCCACCAUAACCCUAGCAUAUCCUUCUAGAAUCGGCCAGCAGUGAAAAGUUGUGCCGUGUUCAGUAGGAUAAACUGAGCCAACAGCGGCCUUGACCUUCAAAUUCAUCCAUCGCGUAAUAAUGUGGCAAUUUUGAGACUCCGUGAUAGCAUCCACGGGAUAGCUGGCAGGAGCCGUUAAGACAUGUUCCGGCUGAAGCAGCUCGGUGGAAGCCACGCUGCUUCUCCGCUGAGAUGGCGGGGUAGCUUCGGGGAAAGCUUCGGCCGAUCGUUUGCUGCGAUCUGCUUCUCAUUCCUCUAGCCCUUGUACCUUUUCGUGCAGCGCCUGCAGUUGGCUCUGCUCCAGUUUCUUCCUCCUCUCCUGAGUUUUAUAACCCCCUGCGUCUGGAAAACCAACCUUCCACGGAAUGGAGCCUGGCAUGCCUCUUGUCCGUCCAGGGUGCUCAGGAUUCCCGAGGGCCAUUGUGAGCUCGUCCUUCUCCCUGUCUGGAAUGAACGUCCCUUGCUGCGCUACAUCGAUAUACUGCCGAAGCCUUGUGACUGGUGUUUUCAGUUGCUCGUUCGUCCGAUGGCACUUCCCUGAUACAGGGUCCAAGGUUCCGCCAGCCCCGAAGAACCAAGUCCGGCAACGGUCUGUCCAUCUCAUUGUCUCUGGUUCGAUCCCUUUAUCAAGCGGAUCAUUCUCAGCCUUGGACCACUUAGGCCGGGCUUUGAGGUAGCCACCUGACCCCGUGCGAUGGUGAAACUUCUUCUUCGCAGCAUUUUGCUUGUUUGUCGCCGACAUCUUCUUACUCUUUUCUGAUGUCGUGUGGGCCACAAAUGCAGGCCAGUGAUCUCUGAUCUUCUCAUAUUUGCCGAUGAAUUCUGGUGUCUCUUCUUUGUCGACAAACUUUUUCAGCUCUUUCCUCCACCUCCUGAAUAGGCCUGCCAUCUUCUUAAGAGCACAAGACUUGAUUAAUUGCUCUUUGACUGGAUUCUCCGGAUCCUCCUCUGGCGGUAGGGUGAAAUUUGCCUUCAGCUCAGUCAAAAGAUCAUCUUUCUGCAUAUCAUUGACAUAAUACACCUGAGGUUCCUCCUCCUUAGGCUUAUACCAUUGGUGGAUGCUGAUCAGGAUCUUGUCCCUAACAAGAACCCCACACUGAGCAGCAAAUGCGUUCUUUGUCCGGAUGGGUUCAAUCGGUUCGUCGUCGCGCGCGAUUGCUGUGAUCUCAAACCUUUUCAUCAGAGCUCAACUUUUUCUUCGGGCCUCGUCUCCUUACCGAAGUUGUGCUCGAUCCGGAGGGCUAGAAAAAAGAAGAAAGACGAGAGUUAAUUAAUAUGUGUACAUAUACCAAAACAAUGAAUGCAUCAAUUAGCUAGUCAGCACAGGCUUAACUAAUAUAUAUACCUGGCCAGACUCGGUUCGGUCAUCGGAGCUGUCAUCACGGUCUCCUUGCACCGUCAUUGGGUCAUCGGAGCCGUCCUCAUGGUCUCCUUCUUGCACCGGCAUUGGGUCAAAGGAGCCAUCAUAAUUUCCUGCUUCUUCACUCUGUCCUUCCAGACCAUCGGUGUCGUUCAGAAACGAUAAGCCGGCACCACUUCCAUGUGCGAUUAUCUCCUCCAACAUCACUUUUGUUGCUUCGUCUCCGGGGGUGUCCAUAGUUUCUACAAAUAUGUACAACAUGGCAAUUAUUAUUCAAACAUGAAAGAUAUGGAUAUAUUAGUGGCAAACGUAGAACUAGCUAGCUAAUCACAGUAAGGAAUCAUAUUAAUUAGUGGCCUCGACGCUGCCUCGAGAGAGUUUGUCGGGUAGGGGCGCGGCGGGAGGGGGUAGUAGACCAACAUCGUUUUUUCUCUAGGGUUUGGGUGUCCUCGAGAGUUUUGGUCGAGCGAGAGGGCCGAGGGGGGUGUUGCCGUGGUAUAAGUUAUCACGGUCGAGAGGGGGUAUAUAUAUCGACCGCCCCUCAUGUCGAAGUUAUCCGGGAGGGGUUAUAUCGACAACGACGACAUACAUACAUAGGAAAAUAAAGUUAUCGGGGAGGGGGUAUAUCGACCCUCCCCCCUCAUGUUGAACUUAUCGGGAGGGGGUAUGGACAACGACAUACCCGAUAAAAAAUAAGAAGACAAAAGAAGAAAUAAAAAGAGGAGAAGAAGAAAGGAAUAGAAGAGAAGAUCGAAGAAAAAAACAAGAAAAAAAAGAGGAGAAGAAGAAAGGAAUAGGGGAGAACAAGAAAAAAUAGAAAAUAUUCUAUUUUCUCUUCUUCUCCUCUAUUCCUUUGUUCUUCUCCUCUUCUUUUUCUUCUUUUUUCCUCUUCUUAUUUAUUUCUCCUCUUCUCCUCCUUUCUUCCUCUUCUUAUUUUCCUUUUUCCUCUCAUUCUUUUAGUAUUGCUUGUUUUUAAAAAAAAUGUUCAAAUAGAAAAUUUCGAAAAAGUAAAGGUUUUGCCUAAUGCAUUGUUCAUAUGAAUAUACGAACAUUUGUAUAUUCUACAAUAAUUAAUAUCACCAAAAAAAAUCUAUGAACAGAAAAAAAUCCUAACUUUUCUAAAAAUCUAUCUUUUGCAUAUAUGAAAACAUUAAUACACAUAUGAACAAAAAAUACAUAUAUGAACAAAAACAUGCUCUGAACAAUUUAUUUAUAGAUUUUGAACAUCUACAUACAUACACAUGUACAUUAUAUAUAUAUGAACAAAAAAACUAAACUAAUAAAAAUGAAAAAAACAGAGCCGCAUAGCCACAUACAUAUACAUAUACAUUAUAUAUAUAUAUAUAUAUGAACAAAUAAUUAAACUAAUAAAAAUGAAAAAAAUAGAGCCGGGGCGGCGUGGCGGCUCACAGCGGAGGCGGCUAGCGAUUACGAUGGCGACAGCGGGGGCGGGACGGGGCAGGGGCUUGGGGCGGCACGCGGUGACGGGGACGGCGGUCUCGGGCGGCACGCGAUGACAGGGACGAGGAGGGUGGGCUCGGGGAGGCAGGCGGCGAUGGGGACGAGGACGGCGGGCUCGGGUAGGCCGGCGACGAGGACGGCGCGGUCUCGGGGAGGCCGUGACUUGGACGGCGCGGGCUCGGGGAGGCCGGCGACGAGGAUGGCGCGGGCUCGGGGUGGCUGGCGACUUGGACGGCGCGGGCUCGGGGAGGCGACGGCCUUGGCGGCAGCGACGGCGACAGCGAGGUGGAGCAGCUUGACGGCAUCGAUGAGCUCGGCGUCGUCGGGGGAUGGGGGCAACUGGCAAUGAAAACUGAGAAUUUUUCACAAGUGUUUCUUAUAUAGUCGAAGCAUUGGUCCCGGUUCGUGGCACCAACCGGGACCAAUGCCCCCUUUAGUCCCGGUUUGUGCCACCAACCGGGACCAAAUGCCAGUUUUCGGCAGCCCAAAGGGCGGGAAGCUGCGGCCUUUGGUCCCGGUUGAUGGCACCAACCGGGACUAAAGGGGGGGCAUUGGUCCCGGUUGGUGCCACGAACCGGUACCAAUGCCCCCUUUAGUCCCGGUUGGUGCCACCAACCGGGACCAAAGGCGCCUAUGCUGCCCGCGUCGCGGCCAAAGUUUAGUCCCACCUCGCUAGUUGAGAGGGCUCGAGAGUGGUUUAUAAGCGCUUCUGCGCCCAUCCUCUCGAGCUCCUCUCAACUGCAGGCUUUCGGGCCUAAUCUCACACUAUGCUGUUGUGGGCCUAUUGGGCCUUCUGCGGGCCUGAAUCCUGGCCCUGGUUAGGUUUCUAGUCGUAUUCAGGCCGUGGUGGCCCAAUAGGUGGCAGUUUUUUUUAGUUUUUUUCCAGUUUUUUUGUUUUGUUUUUUGCAUUAUUAAUUUUCUUUUGUUUUUUGCUUUAUUUUUUAAUUCUUUUUGCUUUUAGGUCAAAAAAAUUAUAAACUUUCUUUUAGUGCCAUUAGUUUUCAAAUUUGAAUAGUUAAAAUUUGAAUUCUUUGAAAUUUGUGUGAAUCACCAGUUUGUGAUUAACUUUACUAAAAAAUGAGCAUAGAUGUGCCGAUAGAGAGUGAUGGAGUUCCGGACUAGGGGGUGUCCGGACAGCCGAACUAUCAUGAUCGAUCGGACUCCAAGACUAUGAAGAUACAAGAUUGAAGACUUCGUCCCGUGUCCGGAUGGGACUUUCCUUGGCGUGGAAGGCAAGCUUGGCGAUAUGGAUAUGUAGAUCUCCUACCAUUGUAACCGACUUUGUGUAACCCUAGCCCUCUCCGGUGUCUAUAUAAACCGGAUGGCUUUAGUCCAUAGGACGAACAACAAUCAUACCAUAGGCUAGCUUCUAGGGUUUAGCCUCCUUGAUCUCGUGGUAGAUCCACUCUUGUAACACACAUCAUCAAUAUUAAUCAAGCCGGACGUAGGGUUUUACCUCCAUCAAGAGGGCCCGAACCUGGGUAAAACAUCGUGUCCCUUGUCUCCUGUUACCAUCCGCCUAGACGCCCAGUUCGGGACCCCCUACCCGAGAUCUGCCGGUUUUGACACCGACAUUGGUGCUUUCAUUGAGAGUUCCUCUGUGCCUUCACCGAUAGGCUCGAUCGCUUCUUCGAUCAUCAUCAACGACGCAGUCCAGGGUGAGACCUUCCUCCCCUGACAGAUCUUCCUAUUUGGCGGCUUCGCACUGUGGGCCAAUUCGCUUGGCCAACUGGAGCAGAUCGAAAACUACACCCCUGGCCGCCAGGUCAGAUUUGGAAGUUUGAACUUCACGGCUGACAUCCGCGGGGACUUGAUCCUCGAUGGAUUCGAGCCACAGCCGAGCGUGCCGCACUGUCACGACGAGCAUGAUUUAGCUCUGCAGCCGGACAGUACCCUGGAGGCCGCACUCGAACCCGCUCCGAUCUUCAAUUCGGAGCCGGCUGCGCAGAUCGAGGACGGAUGGCUAGACACCGCCUCGGGGGCUGCAACCUCUACGGCGAUAGAGCCGAACACUGACCUUGUCCCUCAUAAAGCUCGUGACUCCGAGGUGCCGGACUCCGAACCUCCCGCGCCCCCUCCGAUCGAAUCCGAUUGGGCGCCGAUCAUGGAGUUCACCGCGGCGGACAUCUUCCAACACUCACCUUUUGGCGACAUCCUGAGUUCGCUAAAGUAUCUCUCGUUAUCAGGAGAGCCCUGGCCGGACUGCGGCCAGGACGGUUGGGAUGCGGACGACGAAGAAAUUCAAAGCCCACCCACCACCCACUUGGUAGCCACUGUCGACGAUCUAACCGACAUGCUAGACUAUGACUCCGAAGACAUCGACGGUAUGGACGACGAUGCCGGAGACGACCAAGAACCAGUGCCUACCGGGCACUGGACAGCCACCUCAUCAUAUGACAUAUACAUGGUGGAUAUCCCAAAGGAUGGGAAUGGCGAAGGAGCAGCGGAGGAUGACCCCUCCAAAAAACAGCCCAAGCGCCGACGUCAGCGGCGCCGUUCUAAAUCCCGCCAUAGCAAGAAUGGCGAUUCCGGCACCGGAGAUAAUAAUACCCCGGACAGUGCCGAAGACAACCCCCUCCAGCAAGAUUCAGCGCAGGAGGACGGAGACGCCAGCCCUCAUGAGAGAGCGGCAGAAGCAGAGGUAGAGGAUUAUAUGCCUCCCUCCGGAGACGAGGCGAGCCUCGACGGCGACGAAUUCGUCGUGCCUGAGGAUCCCGUCGAACAAGAGCGUUUUAAACGCAGGCUUAUGGCCACGGCAAACAGCCUCAAGAAAAAGCAGCAACAGCUUAGAGCUGAUCAAGAUCUGCUAGCCGACAGAUGGACUGAAGUCCUCGCGGCCGAAGAGGAUGAGCUCGAACGCCCCUCCAAAGGCUACCCUAAACGCAAGCUGCUCCCCCGAUUAGAGGAGGAGGCAUAUGAACCUGCAUCACCAGCAGACAAUACGGCUGACCGACCACCCCGUGGUCGCGACAGAGAGGCCUCUAGGCCCUUCACUAGAACCGUACCCCGGCAUCGCUCGAAAAGCACAAGGCCACAGGGGAACGCUCCGGACUUGCGAGAUAUAUUGGAGGAUAAGGCAAGACAAUCAAGAUCGAUCUAUGGAUCGCGUGGGCACCCCAUGAUACGUGACGACAACCGUCGCGCCGGACACAGCAAGUCCGGCUGGGCCGAACAAAAUAGACAAAGCUCUCUUGAGCUCCGUCGUGACAUCGCCCAGUACAAAGGCGCUGCACACCCGCUAUGCUUCACAGAUGAAGUAAUGGAUCAUCAAAUCCCCGAAGGGUUUAAACCCGUCAAUAUCGAAUCUUAUGAUGGCACAACAGACCCCGCGAUUUGGAUCGAAGACUAUCUCUUUCACAUCCACAUGGCCCGCGGUGAUGAUCUUCACGCCAUCAAAUAUCUCCCCCUCAAGCUUAAAGGACCAGCCCGGCAUUGGCUUAACAACAUGCCAGCAGAGUCAAUUGGGAGUUGGGAAGACCUAGAAUCCGCAUUCCUCGAUAACUUCCAAGGCACGUAUGUGCGACCACCAGAAGCUGAUGACCUAAGCCACAUAAUUCAGCAGCCAGACAAAUCGGCCAGACAAUUCUGGACACGGUUCUUAACCAAGAAAAACAAAAUCGUCGAUUGUCCAGAUGCGGAGGCCCUCGCGGCCUUCAAGCAUAACAUCCGCGACGAGUGGCUCGCCCGGCACCUGGGACAGGAAAAGCCGAAAUCCAUGGCAGCCCUCACAUCACUCAUGACCCGCUUCUGCGCGGGUGAGGACUGCUGGCUAGCACACAGCAACAACCUCAGCAAAAAUUCUGGCAGUCCGGAUUUUAAGGACCGAAAUGGCAGGUCGCGUCAUAACAAAAACAAACGCCGCACUAACAGCGACAUUAGUGAGGAUACGACAGUCAAUGCCGGAUUCAGAGGCUCUAAACCCGGUCAGCGGAAAAAGCCAUUCAAAAGAACUACUCCGGGUCCGUCCAAUUUGGACAGAAUACUCGACCGCUUGUGCCAGAUACACGGCACCCCCGAAAAACCAGCCAAAAACACCAACAGGGACUGUUGGGUAUUCAAGCCGGCAGGCAAGUUAAUUGCCGAAAACGAUGACAAGGGGCUGCAUAGCGAUGACGAGGAAGAGACCCGACCGCCGAACAAUAGAGGACAGAAGGGUUUCCCCCCACAGGUGCGGACGGUGAACAUGAUAUACGCAACGCACAUACCCAAAAGGGAGCGGAAGCGUGCACUCAGGGAUAUAUACGCGAUGGAGCUAGUUGCCCUGAAGUUCAAUCCAUGGUCCUCCUGCCCGAUCACUUUUGACCGAAGGGACCACCCCACCAGCAUCCGCCACGGUGGAUUCACCGCAUUGGUUCUAGACCCAAUCAUCGACGGAUUUCACCUUACCAGAGUCCUGAUGGACGGCGGCAGCAGCCUGAACCUGCUUUACUAGGAUACAGUGCGUAAAAUGGGCAUAGACCCCUCAAGGAUUAAACCUACCAAGACGACCUUUAAAGGUGUCAUACCAGGUGUAGAAGCCAAUUGUACAGGCUCAGUUACACUGGAAGUGGUCUUCGAAUCCCUGGAUAACUUCCGAAGCGAGGAGUUAAUCUUCGACAUAGUUCUGUUCCGCAGCGGCUAUCAUGCCCUGCUCGGACGUACCGCGUUUGCAAAGUUCAACGCGGUGCCGCACUACGCAUACCUCAAGCUCAAGAUGCCAGGCCCUCGAGGAGUCAUCAUGGUCAACGGAAACACCGAACGUUCUCUCCGUACGGAGGAACAUACAACAGCUCUCGCGGCAGAAGUAUAAUGCAACCUCUUAAGGCAAUUCACUAGUCCGGCCAUUGAGCGGCCGGACACAGCUAAGCGCGCCCGGAGUAACCUACAACAAGACCACCUAGCACGUUUCGAGCACGUGUAGCAGUGCGGCCCCAACCCCAGCCCUCGCAAAACGUCAAGACUGGUCCUUCGCGUACAUCACUAUGCUCUGAAGAUACCAUGGGCAUGGGGAGAGGGGCACGACCACGAUAGGCCCAGACUGCGGCUCAACCACACCAGGGGCUCUCAAGUGUGUCGUUCUUUUUUUUCUUUUUUCUUCUUUUAUUUUUACCCACAGGACUCCGUUCGUCAGAGGCCCUGUCCGGCAACAGACCUGCCGAACUCACGAUGCAACAGCCAGGGAAGGAUAAAGGCUACAACGAAUAUCCAGGUGGUCUCCAUUACGAGCAUUAAAUAUGUUUUAUACACCACUUCGUAGCCUACCCCUGGAGGGGGACAUGCUUAAACAGUCCCUUCCCUUGCUUAUCGCACUAUUUGUAUCGUUCUGCGUUCAUAGCAGCACUUCUUGAAUAAAACAAUGCAACACCUUUUUGCUUAUAAUUGCAUUUCCUUUUUAUAUAUAUGUUCAUUUACGGCAUGUUGCAUCCGUACACUUUGGUACGGUUAAAAUACACCAGGGGCUUAUGUUUCCCGCGUCAUGGUGUGAUAAGUCCGAACACUUUCACAAGUGCGGCACCCCGAACUUAUAGCAUUAUAUGCAUCGGCUCCGAAUCAUGUCUUGGGUCAAUAGUUGGGUUUGCCCGGCUCCCAUGUUUUGGUACCUUACGUUUCGUUAUAUCGGCUAAGGUAGCACUGGGAGAACCACUGCGAUUGCGCCCCAGUUGAGCUGGGUUAACGCCUUAGUGGAGAAAGCUAAAACUGACCGUCAUGAUGAGGCGAGAGCGGUCGCUAUUCGAGAGGUUUUUUGCGAGUCCUUAAAGACUUAUGCCGCUUAGAGCGAGGAGCCGGUUUUUGUCCGGCCCAGGCGUGGAUAGCGCCCCAAAUUCGGCCUUCCGAAGACUAGGGGCUUCGCCGAAAUUUAAAAUUAUAGAAUUCUAUGGCUAAGUGAGAGUGUUCAAGCAUUAUAAGUCCGGUUGCCUUGUUCGUCGUGUUGAGCGCCUCCCUAGAUGGACCCAAAUAUGAGAACAAGAGUGCUCAAAUUUAUCCCGAACACCCCAGCACUCGUGGCAUGGGGGCUGAAGCUGACGACUUGUAAUCUCUCAAAUUUGAUAAACAGCCGAACAGAAGGUAAUAUUUUAAAUAAACAAGCGUUGCUUAGCGCAUAUGAACAAAGUUUUCUGCGCACAGGAUAACAAAAUACGAGUCUACUCAAAUAUUACAUUAUUGGAGCACUCACCCGCAAUAGUGCGGGCACCCUUCAGGACACUCUUAUAAUACAUCUCGGGCAUGCGAUACUCCUUGCCCGGCGGUGGUGCGUCCGUCACAAGCUUCUCAGCAUCCAUCUUGCCCCAGUGCACCUUAGCGCGGGCAAGGGCCCGACGGGCACCUUCAAUACAUGCGGAUCGCUUGAUGACCUACACCCAUGGACACGCAUCCACCAACAGCCGCACCAGGCCGAAGUAGCUCCCAGGCAUGACCUCAUUGGGCCACAGCCGAACUAUGAGGCCCUUCAUGGCCUGUUCGGCCACCUUGUGGAGCUCGACCAGCUGCUUCAGCUGGUCGCUAAGGGGCACCAGAUGUCCGGCCUCAGCAUACUGAGACCAGAAGACCUUCUCCGUCGAGCUCCCCUCCUUGGCCCGGUAGAAUGCGGCAACAUCGGAUACGCUGCGAACGCUCCUGGAGAGCUCCGAAUUCGGGUAAGUGAUAGGGUAAUUCACACUCACAUGCUUACUUUGCAUGAAAAAUGCCUUACCCGCCGCUAUCUUCUUCAACGCCUCGAUUUCCUGGAGGGCUUUAUAGGCUUCUGCCUUAGCGGCUUUGGCACUCUCAAGAGCCGUCGCAAGCUCGGACUCUCGAGUAUUCGAGUCACGCUCCAAACUCUCAUGUUUUUCCAUGAGAGCCUGGAGCUCUUGCUGUACCUCCGCCACCCGCGCCUCAUGCUUCUCUCGCUCGGUGCGUUCCGCGGCCGCACUAUGUUCGGCCACGAACACCGCCUCCUUCAGGGUCGCCACCUCAUUCGUGGCACCUGUUACAUCCAUGUUAUCCUUGUCAUUUUUCUUGCAACCAAAAUCCUUUUCUAUAAGGUACAAUUUUAAUAAGGUGUUACUCACCUUCCUUGUCCUCAAGCUGCUUUUUGGCAUGGCCGAGCUCGUUCUCGGACCGCUCGAGGCUUUCCUUCAAAGUAUUGACCUCCGCAGACAAUGCGGCAGAGGUCAGCAGCACAGCCUGCAAUCCCAUAUUGACAUAUUUUUUAUGACUCCUGCGUAUAUCUUUUUAGAUCCUCAGUCCGGCUUUUCUUUCCGAACACCAAACCGAGCAUCAGGGGCUACUGUCUAUGCGGUACCAUUUUAUAUAUAUCGAAGUUCUUACCUCAAAGCCUGUUAGAAGGCUGCUGCAGGCUUCGGUCAGCCCGCUCUUGGCGAGCUGAACCUUCUGAAUCACCGCACUCAUAACAGUGCGGUGUUCCUCUUCAAUGGAGGCGCUUGGCGCCUCCAGCAAGUUAUCCGGCGCCUCCAGUUGGACGGAGGCUGCUGGCGUCACGGUCUUCCCCUUCUUACGAAGGGGUCGCCCGCCGGACUCCGGAGCCACUGUAGGUUUCGAGGCCGAGUCCGGUGCAAAGUCCGGGAGGUUAUCCUGCGACACCUCCGGGUCCUCCUCGUCCUGGUGGGUCCCUUCCUGGGAUCCCACCUUGGCAUCGUCCGCAUCACGGAGGGUGGAGGCAGUCGGAAGGGAAUCCAUGUCCGACGCACCCAAGGACCCGCUCGACGAAGCAGGAAGAUCAUCCUUGGGUGGACUGCAGGGUUGUAUGCGGCAUUAGAAAGACAUUAUGUGGCGAAAAGAAAAACCAUGAAGUUAUUCGGGAGUCCGGAUACUUACGAUCUCGCCAGGGGCUUGGCCCUUGGAGGCCAGUCCUCGUCGUCGUCACUGGCGUUGGCAAAGCAGUCCGAGGAAAGAGUUUUUCCCUUCUUGGACCCUUCGGCCUCCCUUGUUGGGGAGGCCUUCCUUUUCUUUCCUCCCCCCGCUAGGGGAGAGGCUUUCUUCUUCUCCUCCUCGCCUUUGUGGGAGGAGUCGGCCUCGGAUUCAUCAUCCGAUAACACUUGAAAACGGGAACUCUUUCGAGUACCCGUGGCCUUCUUCUUGGCCUUCUUCUCUGGCACCACGUGGGGUGCCGGAGCCAGCAGCCUCAUUAGGCAGGCGUCCGCUGGGUCCUCUGGCAAUGGGGCCGGAUAGAUAGUCUGUUCGGCCUUCGCUAGCCAGUCCUGUCAAAGGUAAAGGGAGUUUAGAUCCCGCAUAGAGUCAAACUAUGGAAAACAAGUGACAAAAUCACUUACCUCGUCAACUGGACGCUGCGAGCUGAAUCCGCGAUCUUCAGUAGCGGAUGCGGGAGCCUCGGCGCCCUUGAACAACACCCUCCAGACAUCUUCAUACAUAGUGUCGAAGAGCCCUUUCAGAGUCUGGUGCUGCGCCGGAUCGAACUCCCACAUGUUGAAGCCCCGUCGUUGGCACGGGAGAGUCCGGCGGACGAGCAUGACCUGGACUACGUUGACAAGCUUGAGCUUCUUGUCCACCAGCUUUUGGAUACAGGCUUGGAGUCCGGUCAGCUCCUCCGAAUCACCCCAGAUCCGGCCGCUCUCUUUCCAGGAGGUGAGCCGUGUGGGGAUGCCGGAUCUGAAUUCGGGGGCCGCCGCCCAAUCAGGGUCACGCGGCUCGGUGAUGUAGAACCACCCCGAUUGCCACCCCUUAAUGGUUUCCACGAAGGUGCCCUCCAGCCAAGUAACGUGGGACAUCCUGCCCACCAUGGCGCCUCCGCACUCCGCUUGGCUGCCCUUCACAACCUUCGGCUUGACACUGAAGGUCUUGAGCCACAAGCCGAAGUGGGGCUGGAUGCAGAGGAAGGCCUCGCACACGACGAUAAACGCCGAGAUGUUGAGGAUGAAAUUCGGGGCCAGAUCAUGGAAAUCCAGGCCGUAGUAGAACAUGAGCCCCCGGACAAAGGGAUGAAGUGGGAAGCCCAGUCCGCGGAGGAAAUGGGGAAGAAAUACUACCCUCUCAUGGGGCCUGGGGGUGGUGAUGAGCUCCCCCUCGUCGGGGAGCCGGUGCGCGAUGUUGCUGGACAAAUAUCCGGCGUUGCGCAGCUUCUGGAUCUGCCCCUCCGUGACGGAGGAGGCCAUCCACUUGCCUCCCGCUCCGGACAUAGUUGGAGAAGGUUGAGGUGAGAAGUGCGGACUUGGGUGCUGGAGCUUGAGUUCGCGGAGAUGGAUAAGCCAACGAGGAAGAAGGCGCAGGUAAAAGGGUUGGAUCUUUAUCCCCUUAUAUGGGCGGACAAAAACAUGUGUCCCCACCGGCAUGGUAAAACUCGCUUAUCUCCCAAGCGCUGCAAUCAAUGGCGCGGUUGGGUUACCCACGUCCGUAUUAUUGGGAAUCCUGGAAUAAGGGGAACACGAUCUCUGCUUCGACAAGACGUGCCAAGGAAACCGCUUCACUAAACGCGCUGAGGUGGUACUAUAAAAACGAGUAAAGGCUUGGUAGUGGUGCGACGUCACGCCACAGAAUACGUCAGCAGAUUGAACUUGUGUAAUAUUAUUCUCUCUAUGGUGGUACGUGGAAUUUAUUUUUUGCAGAGCCGGACACUAUCCUAGUGUUCACAAUCUUCUAUAAAUUAUUCGGAGGAAGAACCCGCCUUGCAAUGUCGAAGACAACAUGCGCGCCGAACUCGUCGUCAUUGAAGCCUGGUUCAGGGGCUACUGAGGGAGUUCUGGACUAGGGGGUGUCCGAACAGCCGAACUAUCAUGAUCGGUCGGACUUCAAGACUAUGAAGAUACAAGAUUGAAGACUUCGUCCCGUGUCCGGAUGGGACUUUCCUUGGCGUGGAAGGCAAGCUUGGCGAUAUGGAUAUGUAGAUCUCCUACCAUUGUAACCGACUUUGUGUAACCCUAGCCCUCUCCGGUGUCUAUAUAAACCGGAUGGCUUUAGUCCAUAGGACGAACAACAAUCAUACCAUAGGCUAGCUUCUAGGGUUUAGCCUCCUUGAUCUCGUGGUAAAUCCACUCUUGUAACACACAUCAUCAAUAUUAAUCAAGCAGGACGUAGGGUUUCACCUCCAUGAAGAGGGCCCGAACCUGGGUAAAACAUCGUGUCCCUUGUCUCCUGUGACCAUCCGCCUGGACGCACAGUUUGGGACCCCCUACCCGAGAUCCGCCGGUUUUGACACCGACAGAGAGAAUUCAAUCUAAAUUCAUAAUAAAUUUCUAUGAAUUGCAGAGAAAUUUAGUAUUAAUUUAGGUCAAAUUCCCUGUAUAAGGGCAUCUAUUUUCACUUUGAGAGGAGCUCAACAAGGCAGAGAGGGAGGGGCUUAUAAACCGGUGUGAGCGCCCUUCGGUUGGCGAGGUGGGACUAAACUCUGACCGCAACGAGGACCAACCCUUUAGUCCCGGUUUGUGGCACAAACCGGGACUAAUGGUCAUGGGCUAGGGGUGAGGCACAUUGGUCCUAGUUCGUGCGUGGAGCAGGGACCAAAAGGUCCAGACGAACCGGGACCAAUGGCCCACGUGGCUGCCCUCUUGAGUGUUCUUUGUGAGAACAUAGUUGACAAGGAGCGAACCGGGAUUAAUGGUAUUACGAGGGCCGAACCAUAAGACAUUAAAGCAUUUCAAAUGAACUCUGAAAAAGUUGAAAAUUGGCAUGGUAUCAUAAUUUCACCCACAUAGCAUGUGCAUGUACAAAACGGACAAUGGUAUCAUACUCGUCUGUUACAAAGUUGGCAUGGUAUCAUCAUAAUAGUUGCGGGAGAAAGUCUACACUUUUUCUUCGCUUGUGUCAUUUGCUUAUUGCGCCGUAACCAUGGAUAAUCUUCAUCGUUUAUCAGGAUGCUUGGGUCAUCCUUGACUUUGAAGGGAGGAACUUCAUGAAACUUUUCAUAAUGUUCAGACAUGUCUGUCUUGCCCUCCACUCCCACGAUGUCCCUUUUUCCUAAAAGAACUAUGUGGCGCUUUGGCUCAUCGUAUGAUGUAUUCGCUUCCUUAUCUUCUCUUUUUCUCGGUUUGAUAGACAUGUCCUUCACAUAAAUAACCUGUGCCACAUCAUUGGCUAGGACGAACGGUUCGUCAGUGUACCCAAGAUUUUUCAGAUCCACUAUUGUCAUUCCAUACUGUGGGUCUACCUGUACCCCGCCUCCUGACAGAUUGGCCCAUUUGCACUUAAACAAAGGGACCUUAAAAUCAUGUCCAUAGUCAAGUUCCCAUAUGUCCACUAUGUAACCAUAAUAUGUGUCCUUUCCCCUCUCGGUGGCUGCAUCAAAGCGGACACCACUGUUUUGGUUGGUGCUCUUUUGAUCUUGGUCAAUCGUGUAAAAUGUAUUCCCAUUUAUCUCGUAUCCUUUCCAAAUCGUAACAGUCAAAGAUGGUCCCCUGGACAACAAGUACAGCUCAUCACAAACAGUGUUGUCACCUCUGAGACGUGUUUCCAACCAACUGCUGAAAGUCCUGAUGUGUUCACAUGUAAUCCAGUCGUCGCACUGCUCUGGGUGUUUGGAGCGCAGACUGUUCUUGUGUUCAUCGACAUAAGGGGUCACCAAGGUAGAGUUCUGUAGAACUGUGCAGUGUGCUUGAGACCAAGAAUACCGUCCCUGCAUAUUAUUGAGUCCCUUCCAAGCAUGCCUUUUCCAGCCAGUCUCCCCUCAUACCGCGAUUUAGGGAGACCUAUCUUCUUAAGGCCAGGAAUGAAGUCAACACAAAACCCGAUGACAUCCUCAGUUUGAUGGCCCAUGGAGAUGCUUCCUUCUGGCCUAGCGCGGUUAUGGACAUAUUUCUUUAGGACUCCCAUGAACCUCUCAAAGGGGAACAUAUUGUGUAGAAAUACGGACCCUAGAAUGACAAUCUCGUCGACUAGAUGAACUAGGACGUGCGUCAUGAUAUUGAAGAAGGAUGUGGGAACACCAGCUCGAAACUGACAAGACAUUGCGCCACAUCACUCCUUAGCCUUGGUACGAUUUCUAGAUCAAUCACCUUCUGAGAGAUUGCAUUGAGGAAUGCACAUAGCUUAACAAUGGCUAAUCGGACGUUUUCCGGUAGAAGCCCCCUCAAUGCAACCGAAAGCAGUUGCGUCAUAAUCACGUGGCCGUCAUGAGAUUUUAGGUUCUGAAACUUUUUCUCAGCCAUAUUUAUUAUUCCCUUUAUAUUCGACGAGAAGCCAGUCGGGACCUUCAUACUAAGAAGGCAUUCAAAGAAUAUUUCCUUCUCUUCUUUGGUAAGAGCGUAGCAGGCAGGACCUUCAUACUGCUUUGGAGGCAUGUCGUCUUUUCCGUGCAAACGUUGCAGGUCCUCCCGUGCCUCAGGUAUAUCUUUUGUCUUCCCAUACACGCCCAAGAAGCCUAGAAGGUUCAUGCAAAGGUUCUUCGUUACGUGCAUCACGUCGAUCAAAGAGCGGACCUCUAGGUCUUUCCAGUAGGGUAGGUCCCAAAAUAUAGAUUUCUUCUUCCACAUGGGUGCGUGUCCCCCAGCGUCACUCGGAAUAGCUAGUCCGCCGGGACCCUUUCCAAAGAUUACGUGUAAAUCAUUGACCAUAGCAAGUACGUGAUCACCGGUAUGCAUGGCGGGCUUCUUCCGGUGAUCUGCCUCGCCUUUGAAAUGAUUGCCUUUCUUUCGACAUUGAUGGUUGGUCAGAAGAAAUCCACGAUGGCCCAGGUACACAUUCUUCCUGCAGCUUCCCAGGUAUAUACUUUCGGUGUCAAGUAAACAGUGCGUGCAUGCGUGGUAUCCCUUGUUUGUCUAUCCUGAAAGGUUACUGAGAGCGGCUGAAAGGUUACUGAGAGCGGGCCAAUCGUUGAUGGUCAUGAAUAACAACGCCUUUAGGUCAAAUUCCUCCUGCUUGUGCUCAUCCAAUGUACGUACACCGUUUCCAUUCCGCAACUGUAAAAGUUCUUCAACUAAUGGCCUUAGGUACACAUCAAUGUCGUUGCCGGGUUGCUUAGGGCCUUGGAUGAGAACUGGCAUCAUAAUGAACUUCCGCUUCAUGCACAUCCAAGGAGGAAGGUUAUACAUACAUAGAGUCACGGGCCAGGUGCUGUGAUUGCUUCUCUGCUCCCCGAAAGGAUUAAUGCCAUCCGCGCUUAAAGCAAACCAUACGUUCCUUGGGUCACGUGCAAACUCAGCUGAGUACUUUCUCUUGAUUUUUCUCCACUGCGACCCGUCAGUGGGUGCUCUCAACUUCCCAUCUUUCUUACGGUCCUCAAUGUGCCAUCGCAUCAACUUGGCAUGCUCUCCAUUUCUGAACAGACAUUUCAACCAUGGUAUUAUAGGAGCAUACCACAUCACCUUUGCAGGAACCCUCUUCCACGGGGCUCGCCGUCAACAUCACCAGGGUCAUCUCGUCUGAUCUUAUACCGUAAUGCACCGCAUACCGGGCAUGCGUUCAGAUCCUUGUACGCACCGCGGUAGAGGAUGCAGUCAUUAGGGCAUGCAUGUAUCUUCUGCACCUCCAAUCCUAGAGGGCAUACGACCUUCUUUGUUGCGUAUGUACUGUCGGGCAAUUCGUUAUCCUUUGGAAGCUUCUUCUUCAAUAUUUUUAGUAGCUUCUCAAAUCCUUUGUCUGGCAUAGCAUUCUCUGCCUUCCACUGCAGCAAUUCCAGUACGGUACCGAGCUUUGUGUUGCCAUCUUCUCCAUUGGGGUACAACCCUUUUUUGUGAUCCUCUAACAUGCGAUCGAACUUCAGCUUCUCCUUUUGACUUUCGCAUUGUGUCCUUGCAUCGACAAUGACCCGGUGGAGAUCAUCAUCAUCGGGCACAUCAUAUGGUUCCUCUUGAUCUUUAGUAGCUUCGCCCGUUGCAGCAUCAUCGUGCACAUCGUAUGGUUCCUAUUGAUGUUUAGUAGCAUCACCGUAUUCAGGGGGCACAUAGUUGUCAUCGUACUCUUCUUCUUUGUCGUCUUCCAUCAUAACCCUUAUUUCUCCGUGCCUCGUCCAAACAUUAUAGUGUGGCAUGAAACCCUUGUAAAGCAGGUGGGUGUGAAGGAUUUUCCGGUCAAAGUAAGACUUCGUAUUCCCACAUAUAGGGCAUGGACAACACAUAAAACCAUUCUGCUUGUUUGCCUCAGCCACUUCGAGAAAAUCAUGCACGCCCUUAAUGUACUCGGAGGUGUGUUUGUUACCGUACAUCCAUUGCCGGUUCAUCUGCGUGCAUUAUAUAUAAUUAAGUGUGUCAAAAAUCAUUACAGAACAUCAUGAAUAGAUAAUUAAGUGACCAAAUUAAUAGAAGUUCAUCAUCACAUUAAAACCAAAGUACAUACAUAGUUCUCAUCUUCAAGCGAAAAUCAUUACAGAACAACAUAAAGCUCUGCAGAGCAUCUAAAUUAAUUAAACCAUACAUUGAAACUAUGUAAAACAUUUCAAUGUGAAAACAAAUGCGAUCAUAAUCGCAACCAAGGUAACAACUGAUCCAACGGCAUAAUGAUACCAAGCCUCGGUAUGAAUGGCAUAUUUUCUAAUCUUUGUAAUCUUCAAGCGCAUUGCAUCCAUCUUGAUCUUGUGAUCAUCGACGACAUCCGCAACAUGCAACUCCAAUAUCAUCUUCUCCUCAAUUUUUCUUAUUUUUUCCUUCAAGAAAUUGUUUUCUUCUUCAACUAAAUUUAACCUCUCGACAAUAGGUCGGUUGGAAUUUCUGGUUCAACAACCUCCUAGAUAAAUAAAAUCUAUGUCACGUUGGUCGGCAUAAUUUUCAUAAACAAUAAAUGAACCAAAGGUUAUGAAAAGAUAAUAUAUAUAUACCACAUCCGAAUCAUAGACAGGACGAGGGCCGACGGGGGCGGAUACCAAAACCAUCGCACUGUAUAAGAUGCAAUAAUAAAAGUAAGAAAAUAAUACAAGUAUCUAUCUAAACAUACAAGUAAGAAUAUUUUUCCUUUCAGAAAGAAGAUAAGAACAAGAGGCUCACCAUGGUGGUGCCGGCGAUGAGAUCGGCGCGGGCGAUCGACGGCGAUGAAGACGGGGACGGGGCGUGACGGACCGCUAAACCUAGACAAAUAUUGAGGAAAAUGGAGCUUGGAGGUCGAGCUUGGAGAGGAGAAAGCUUAAGUAGUGUGGCUCGGGCAUUCCAUCGAACACCUUGUGUGCAUAGGAGGUGAGCUAGAGCACCACCAAGCCCUCUCCCCCUUGGCUGCCAGAAAAAACAGAGCGGUGUGCUCUGCUCUUACGCGAGGGGGUAUAUAUAGGCACCUCAUUGGUCCCGGUUGGUGGCAUGAACCGGGACUAAAGGGCAGCCUUUGGUCCCGGUUCAAUCCACCAACCGAGACCAAUAGUGGUGGGCCAGGAGCGAGGCCCAUUGGUCCCGGUUCGUCCCACCAACCGGGACCAAAAGGUCCAGACGAACCAGGACCAAUGGCACACGUGGCCCGGCUGGCCCCCGGGGCUCACGAACCGGGUCCAAUGCCACCAUUGGUCCUAGUUCUGGACUGAACUGGGACUAAUGGGCUGACCCGGCCUGGACCAUUGCCCCCUUUUCUACUAGUCUGGGUCUUCAGCUCCCGGAUGCCUAGGAACAACAACAAAGCCUUUAGUGCCAGACAAGUUAGGGUAGGCUAGAGGUGAAACCCAUAAGAUCUUGCGAACAACUCGUGGCUCUUGCACAUGGAUAGCAAGCUUCCACGCACCCCUGUCCAUAGCUAGUUCUUUGGUUAUACUCCAAUCCUUUAGAUCUUUCUUAACGUACUCCUGCCGUAUCAAAUUCGGUCUACCCGACCUCUCUUGACAUUCUCCGCACGCUUUAGCCGUCCGCUAUGCAUUGGAGCUCCUGGAGGUCUGUGCUGAAUAUGCCCAAACCAUAUCAGACGAUGUUGGACAAGCUUCUCCUCAAUUGGUGCUACCCCAACUCUAUCUUGUAUAUCAUUCCAGACAUGAUCCUUCCUCGUGUGGCCACACAUCCAUGUCAACAUAUGCAUCUCCGCCACACCUAACUAUUGAACAUGUCUCCUUUUAGUCGGCGAACGCUUAGCGCCAUACAACAUUGCGGGUCGAACGGCCGUCCUGUAGAAAUUGCCUCUAAGCUUUUGUGGCACUCUCUUAUUGUAGAGAAUGCCAGAAGCUUGGCGCCACUUCAUCCACCCCGCUUUGGUUCGAUGGUUCACAUCUUCAUCAUAACCCCAUCCUCCUGCAGCAUUAGACCCAAAUAUCAAAAGGUGUCCUUCUUAGGCACCACCUGCCCAUCAAGGCUAACCUCCUCCUCCUCAAACCUAGUAGUUCUGAAACCGCACAUUCUGUGCUCGGUUUUAGUUCUAGUAAACCUAAACCCUUUUGAUUCCAAGGUUUGUCUCCAAUACUCCAACUUCCUAUUCACCCCCGUCUGACUAUCGUCAACUAGCACCACAUCAUCCGCAAAUAGCACAAACCAUGGGAUAUCUCCUUGUACAUCCCUUAUGACCUCACCCAUCACCAAGGAAAAAUGAUAAGGGCUCAAAGCUGGCCCCUGAUCCAGUCCUAUCUUAAUCGGGAAGUCAUCAUUGUCAACAUCACUUGUUCGAACACCUGUCAAAACAUUAUCAUACAUGUCCUUCAUAAGGGUAAUGUACUUUGAUGUGACUUUGUAUUUCUCCAAGGCCCACCAAAUGACAUUCCGCGUCAUCUUAUUAUAGGCCUUCUCCAGGUCAAUGAACACCAUAUGAAAGUCCUUUUUUGCUCCAUGCAUCUCUCCAUAAGUUGCCGUACCAAGAAAAUGGCUUCCAUGGUCGACUCCCUAGGCAUGAAACCAGACUAAUUUUUUGUCAUGCUUGUCAUUCUUCUUAAGCGGUGCUCAAUGAUUCUCUCCCAUAGCUUCAUUGUAUGGCUCAUCAGCUUAAUUCCACGGUAAUUAGUACAACUCUAAACAUCCCACUUGUUCUUAAAGAUUGGUACUAAUAUACUCCAUCUCCAUUCUUCUGGCAUCUUGUUUGCCCGAAAAAUGAGGUCGAAAAGCUUGGUUAGCCAUACUAUCGCUAUGUCCCCGAGGCCUUUCCAAUACAAUCAGGGCCCAUCGUGUUGCCUCCUUUCAUCUUUUUUAAAGCCUCAUUGACCUCAUACUCCUGGAUUCGCCACACAAAACGUGUGCUGGUCUCAUCAAUGGAGUCAUCCAGUUCAACGGUCGAACUCCCAUUCUCCCCAUUGAAUAGCUUGUCGAAGUACACCCACCAUCUAUGCUUAAUCUCCUCGUCCUUCACCAAGAGUUGGUCUUCUCCGUCCUUGAUGCGUUUGACUUGGCCAAUAUCCCUCAUCUUCCUCCCUCUGAUCUUGGCCAUCUUAUAGAUGUCGCUUUCGCGUUCCUACGUACCUAACCGUUGGCAGAGGUCCUCAUACAACCGACCCCUUGCUUUACUGAUAGCUUGCUUUGCGGCCUUCUUCGCCAUCUUGUACUUCUCUAUUUUGUCGGCACUCCUAUCCAGGUAUAGGCAUCUAAAACAAUCUUUCAUAUCUUUAAUCCCUUGUGGACAUCAUCAUUCCACCACCAGGUAUCCUUAUCCCCGCUUCUCCUUCGCCUGCACACUCCAAACUCCUUCGAGGCCACCUUAAAAAUAUAAGUCGCCAUCUUCAUCCACACAUUUCCGCAUCCCCUCCUUCGUCCCAAGGGCCCUCCUUAAUGACCUUCUCCUACCUCCCCCUUGAGCUUCCACCACUUCGUUCUAGCGAUUUUGACACGCUUAUCCCGCUGGACACGAAUGCGAAAACGGAAGUCAGCAGCCACCAGCUUAUGCUGAGGUACAACACUCUCUCCAGGUAUCACCUUACAAUCUAGGGAUGCACGUGUAUCUAUGAACAGUAAAAUAAAAAAAAUGUGAAACUACGCAACAUCAAAGGUGAUCAAACUUUGUAGGUGAUUGCAAGUUUUCAUGCCAAAAUACCAUUCGAGGAGCUCUAUACACGAAAAAUAUUUCAGUGCUUGAAGUUUUGAGCACUUUUAGCACUGAAAUCUGAAACUUGUUUGUACACCUUUCUCUACAUGAUAUUCUGGCAUGAAAACUUGCAAGAACCUACAAAGUUUGACCAUCUUUCAUGUUGCAAAGUUUCAGAUUUUUUAAUUUAAUGUUCAUAAAGGGUGCCUAGGCACCCGGGAGCUAUCAUGUCUUUUUGUUACAUGUAGCUAGUCAAUGACAAUAUUGGUCGUGUCAGAAGGUUUCAGCAAACCUACAACAAAAUUGAGAGGAUUCUUGCAAGAGAACAACAGACAACAAAUAAAAGCCAUGAAACAAUGGUAAACCUUCAAUUCAAGAAUAUUUAGUGGAGGCAUACAAAGUAUCAAAUUGAUUGAUAGACAGAUCAACUUGAGAGAUAUUUUCGCAGCAACAUUUAGUAAAAUCACUAAUCAAUAUGUUGCUAAGCAUCAAACUGAUAUGCAUAGGCAAAAAUGAAUCGACAAAUAGAAAGGAUAACCAAAUAUUUCAUCACAUGCUCAGUGUGGAGGAGAGAAAAUGAGAAAUACCGAAUACAUAUAUGAAGGUGUUGUGGCCUUAGCAGCACCAUUGACACGGCAGGGGAAGCGCAUGCGGUUUUUGUACCAUAUAUUGAAAUAGAAUUCCAGAACAUGUGCUCAAUCAAGCAAAAUAAGAUUCAGGUCUGGAUCAAGCGAACGAAAUCCAUAAUAGGUGAAGAUAUGCAAUCCUGUGUAUUCGAUCAAGCAAGAUUAAAUUUAAAUAUUAAGCCAGCACAGAAAAUUCAAAAUUAGCAAUGGAUGGGAACAAUAUGUACAUAUAGGAGCCGUAAAUCCGUGGCAUAUGUAUGUAGCAAGGGGAGAAUAACCAAGAUGACGGCCUUGGCGUUCAAGUCAUCGAGCACCUGAGGAAAUCCAAUUUGUUUGUUCAACCAGCAAUAUGUCAUCGGGAAUGUCGAGGAAUGGGGAUGGAGUUGCUCACCAAAGGCAGAAGUAUGAGCGUCCUAUGGCAGAUGUCCACCCAUAAUGGAGGACGAUGGGAACAAAGUGAACUGAAGUGUGUGGGUGCGACUCUAAAUGGCAACCUGUUAGUUACUUGUAGAGAUUGUGGGAAGAGGAAGUGGAGCGUCAAGCAUCACUUGCCUGUAGCAGAUGAUAAACAGUGUGAGGCAUUUUGAGAAUUGGGCUGCAUAGGGGUUGAAGCAGUGGGUUAUGUACAUUUGGUGUGAGCAAAGCAAGAAAUACCGAAAAACAACAGGGGCACGGGAGCUUCAACUGUAGAAGCGUUGUUGCCCUAGUCCAUAGUCCAUAGGUCGCCAUUCUCGCCCAGUUGAAGCUAAAGCACCUUGGAGCGAUCAUCAAGUGCCAAGAAACAUACGUAUAAAUACUUGCCUGGUUUGACAAGUUUCUUUCCCCUCUUGCUAGGCGAGUAGGGAAAGCCUUCCCCUCGAUCUCCGCCGACCAGCCCGUGGAUUCACCUCCCCUCCACCUGCCGCUCUGGUGGCCGAUGGCGGGGAGAGGAGUUCUGGUGCUCGCCUCCAACUAGUAGAUAGGCAGGGUUUUAGUUCUGGAUGGCGUUUGGAUGGAUGACGACGCUUCUUCUUCAAGUCACUCCUCCGGGCUCCGAUCCUCCUCAAGUUCGUCUGCUGGGACGGACUAAACUGAGCUCUAGCGUAGAUUGCUGCCAGCUCCUUGGGGCGGCGAGGUUAGGGUUUCUUGCCGUGCGUAUGCAACAGUGAUAUUUGGUGUCAAAUUCUUCAGAUCGAUUAAAUGAUUCAACCGCGACGAUGGCGGCUCUGGAUAGAGGCACGUGCAUGAAGACUUCCCGGCUGUCACCGACAAGGUCAAACCAGACAGGGCAACCCAACAGCCAAACUGAAUGAAAGGCCAACCACACACCGAUGACAAAUGACCUCAACCAUCAGAAGGCCAAGCAAGACAGAGGUCGGAAACGCUCCUUGGCGUUGCUCGUUGGAGCGAUUGAUUCGAUCCAAAGCAUGAUGUGGUGAAAAGGACGGACCGUCGGGACCGCACAUAUCAGGCGAUCACUCACAUGGGUCGUACCUGAACCAUGCCCAACCAAACUCCGCAGAGAAGCUUGGCUUGAAGGACAGAGUGAUUCAUCUAAUGCUGAAAGGGAGGAACAGUCCUGGAGUCAACUAUGAAAAAUCCAGGUCCCUUCAAAGAUCAGAAUCUUUCUUUGGAGAUUGGCGCAACAGUCUAUACCUUCUGCAGAUCUCCUUCAUCAACAGAACAUGGCAACAUCAAGCCGGUGUGCUCUUUGCGGCAACGGGGAUUCAUGGCGCCACUCUUUGAUGGAGUGCACUAUGUCAAAAUGCGUGUGGGCUUUGGAAGAGGAAGAACUGACUUUGGCCUUAACCGCUGUCACAGAUCCGAAUGCACGUAGAUGGAUUUUUACCAUCAUGGAGAAAUUGUCUGCUACAGAUCUCACUAGAGCACUUGUUACACUUUGGGCCAUUUAGCAUGCUCGUCGGAAGGCCAUACACGAGCAUAUUUUUCAAAGUCCUUCUAGCACGCAUGGCUUUGUGGACCGAUUCAUAUCAGAAAUCUCAGCAACCAGGCCUACUUAUCAACAUAGUGUGCAAGCUGUGAGAGCAGAUACGCGCAACCGAAUGGGUGUGUUUUGUAACUUAUCUUGUUCACGGUCUUGGCUUCCCGAUUCACCCCUCCCUGUGAGGCCUCCUUCACUUUUACGGCCUUCAGCUUUACCACCUUGCUCCUAACUCCAUUCUACAUAUCGCCUGCUUCGUCACUUUCUGCGAGGCAACAUUGCUGCUCAAAUUAACCUCUCUGACUGUAGGUCAAAGCGAUGGACGAUGACCUUGCGGGCCCACAGAGAGCGUCACACGCGAGUGAGUGUCCUAGGACAACCACCUAUUGCAUGUGGCCCAAACAUGUAUAUAUAAAAGGGUUGUCUAAUGUUUUAAAUAACGAAUUUACGACUUUGAUGUGGCACCUGCCUCACAAAACGGUCAAAACGGUCAAUCCCACACGGUGACUCAUGACUCGUAGUGUACUGCCAGACCUUCUGUGCUGCGAGCCGUACUUCCGGCUCUAGUGCGAGUACUUCAACGUGAAGCUUCACAGCAAUGGCCUAGAGCCAUUCGAGUGCGGCGGCGCUUGAUCAUCGGUUCCGCCUAUCUAGACCGAACUUUAUUGAACCCAACAAAAACUGAAAUGAGAAGUGAUUUUAUAUCUCCGAUCCACCGCUGCAAAACCCUACUCGGCUGGGACAGUCACCCCCUCUUCUGCAACCACACCGGCUAAGAUCAAUUCUUGCACACCAAGGAGCCGCACAUCAGAAGAUACAGAGGAGGUGAUCAAUUGAAGCGAGAAGGUGACUCGCUAGAUUCAAAGGGAAAGCCGCUAACUUUCCAAAUCACAAGGAGCUGGCGUAUUCUUUUGCCAUUGGUCAACCCGAAUUGUCUAAUCCAAUCGAGUUUUCUCUAAUGUUAAUGUCAGAAUGGUGUGGCCCUUACUGCUGGAUUGUGCACCAGCGCUCAGUACGCAGCGAACACAAUGGCUUGCACAACACAAGAGCGAGGGGCCUUUUUUCGUGAGAACCAAGAUUUGAACCCUGGUUAAUAGCCCCACUCCAGGUUGUCUCUACCACCGUGCUAGACGCACAUUCUCAGACCCGGCAACAUGUAUGUAGGUUCAUAUUUUACCCCCACCCUUGGAUAAAAAUGUGAAUAAUUUGAAACAUAUUAAAACUUGACUGCAAUUUUUUAAUUUUGGAAAAAUAUGCUCACAAAAGUAGUCAACCCACGGUUCUAGGUAAAGCAAGGUGCGUUUCUCUGAUUUUUUCAUCCAUUCACCGCUGAAAUGUUUUUUUCCAAAUUUCUGUGCGUCUGUUUGCUAGAAAAGACAUAAUAAUUUUCAUACAUGGGGCGUGCAUGUUGUGGCCUGUCGAAACCAGCCCACUUAUUUCCCUGCACACACAGUUGGGAAAACCCUAUUUACCGUACAUGGCUACAAAUACUCUGACCUUCACAUAAGGCGCAAGGCAGUGCCUGCCCAAUCUCUUUUUUUCCUGAGUUUUAUUGCGAUUUUUAUUUUUUUUCCUUUUUCUAUUUCUUGUUUUCCUUUUUCCCUAUAAACUUUAGAAAAAAUAUCUGAAUAUCGAUUUGUGUUUUUCAAUUUUUAGAAAAUAAGUCCGAAUUCCAAAAUUUUCUUUCUGUUUUAUAAACUGUUCAAAACUUGAAAUUUUUGUUCUCAUUCCAAAUUUGUUCUCAAUUACAAAAACAAUCCAAAACUUAUAAAAAAUGUUUAUGUUUUCCAAAAAGAUCGAGAUAUUAAAAAUUAAAUUGUAUUUUAGAAAAUGUUCCAUUUUUUCUAAAAAAAUUAUGCUCUCCAAAAAAAAUUGGGAUUUCAAAAUAUGUUCCAGAUUCUAUAAAUAUGCGUGAUUAGUGAAAUGUUCACAAAUUAAAAAUAAUGGUCGUAGUUAAAAUAAACACAUUUUCAGAAAUUGUUAUAAAUGUUCAAAACGUGUUCUUGUUUUAAGCAAAUGUGCCAAAAUUCGAGAAAAGUUAGUGUUUUUCAAAGGUUCAUGUUUUCCAUAAAUGUGUGAAUUUUAAAAAAUAUUCUCCCUAUUUCAAAUGUUGUUCAUCUUUUAACAAAAUGAACGAAAUUUUCGAAAAACUUUUCGUGAUUUCAAAAAUUGUUCAUGUUUUAAAAAUAUUUUGUAAUUUAUAAAUAUUAAUUUAUUUUUGGAAAAUUAAAAAAAGGAUUUGAAUAUUGUGAUGCAGUAUGUUCUUAAACGUUCGCGCUAGUCAUUGGUUAGCAGGACCCAUUUAUUCGAUUGGACAGCACCGAGUGAUCGAGUUUUUAGGUCGUUAGUUCGAUCCUUUAACUUGUCUUUUUUUGGAUUUAUACUCGUGCCUUACAAACACAUGUUCUUUUGGUGCCUGCCAGUGGGCUGGCCAAGAUGCAAACUAUUGUGCGUCCCAUGCGCUAUUUGAUGAUAAAAGAAUAUGCUUUUUGGCUAUAAUUGAAAGAAAUUGUGGGCACCAUCCAAUAAAAGAGAAUAUGCUGAAUUGGCUCUAAUGAAAAGAACUGUAGGCACGUGACCGCUAAAAUAAUCAAAGAGAAUAAACGCCGGUAAAGAAGGGACUGCCUGGUUAUGCGUGGAUUAUGCUAAUAAAAAUUGAUUUAUGCACUGCAAUUAUUAUCCAUUCAGUUACAUCGUAGUAGGAGAGAGUGACGAAGCAACCGUGCCCUGAAGGUCGCCACGCAGCCACCAAACGAGGAGGGAGCCACAAGCCCGACACGAGGGCGAACGCAAAGGAAAAAAAGGCACGAGUUGGUUGGUUGUCGCCACGCCGACUAACCCCACCACUAUCAUGAUCUCGUAGGCCAAACAUGAUCCGAGAGAAGACCACGACUCCUCGCUUUGUCGCCCCACUAUUGCGCAAACUAUUUUUGGUGCACACGUCAAUUAUCUCUCCUGUUGCUUCUCAAAAGAAUAUCUCUACCGUUGCAACGCACGAACAUAUGUGCUAUUUUUACUAAUAAAGCAGGCUGCGUUUCGCCAAUUUUUUCAUCCUGCACCGCUGAAAAUAUUUUUUUUCUAUCCGAAGUGGUACUAAAUUCUUAUGCGUUUGCCAGCUAGAAAAAGUUUCGUAUGUGGGCCGCAUGCUGUGGCCCAGCGAAGCCAGCCCAUUUGUUUGUGUGCCCACCCAGCUGGGAGAAUUCUAUUUUCCGCAUUUGGCGACAAAUAGUCAGAGUUUCGCACAGGACAACCAAUAAUAGGCCGGCCCAUUUUUCUAUUUUCUGUAUUCUACUUCUAUUUUUAUUCUCCUUUCCACAUAUAUUUUUUUCUUCCAAGUUUAUUUAUAUUUUACAAUUUAUUUCAUAAAUUAAAAUUUUCAAAAAACGUUUAGAAUUCGAAAAAAAAUUGAAAAAAAUUUCAGAAUUCCAAAAUUUUGUUCAUAUUUUGAAAAAUAGUCAGAACUUGCAAAAAGUUUCCCAUUUUUCUUAAAAAAUAUUAUUUUUCAAAAUUGUUCGAGAUUUCUAAAAAUAAAAUGGCAUUUCAAAAAAUUCUCCAAAUUCGAAAAAUAUUCUUGUUUUAGUGAAAUUUUCAAAACAGAAAAUAAUGUUCGUGUAUAAAAGAUACACAUUUUCUUACAAAUCUUAUAAGUUUUCAACACAUGUUUCUGUUUUAAAAAAGUGUUUUCACAAAAUGUUUGUUAAUUUUAAAAGGUGUUCCCUUUCAUAUUUUGUUCGCUUUUUUUAUGAAAGUGUACAUAAUUUCAAAAACCUGUUUAGGAUUUUAAAAAUUGUUCAUGUUUCCUAGAAUAUUUACAACUUCAUACCUUAAAAUCCCCUCGAUUAAAAGGAUUGGAAGGAAGAGUAUAUUGAAUAACUCAUGGGCCUUCUCUGGCGUACGAUGACGUAACAAAACUCUUAAUGCCCUCCAUCAAUGAAUGGAAAAAUAGCGGAUUGAUUCCUUCACACGCGGCGAAAUGAAGCAAAAUGUUCCUUUUUCGUGUGCACACAGAGUUUUGCUUGCACAUAUAAUUCUCACUGAGUUUAAAAGCAUACUAUUUUAUCUCCCCUUGCAACGCACGGGCAUAUGUGCUAGUUAAACAAACAAGAAGAUGAGCAAUUUUACCACCUCUUCUUGUAUCGUUUUUCAACACUAGAACUUGAUGGGAUUCCUGCCAGGUAGAAAAACAUGCGAACACUACUGCAGGUAUGCCUAGCAAUGGCGGGCGCAAAAAGGCCAGCAGUGGCGGGCCAGGCUACCGAGGGCACAUGCCACUGACCUCCUGCCGCUUCCAUAACCGCAUCAAUGGAGGGCGUCCGCCUGCCACUGGUAGAGUCCUGCAGUGGCGGGCGAUGCAUACUGGCCCGCCACCGGUUGAGUCUCUUCAGUGGCGGGAAGAGCUUACCUACUCGCUACUAUUUAUUCAUGUUGCAAUGGCGGGCGUAGUAGAAUGCCCACGACUGCAAGCUUAGGAAUGCGAAUUAAAAAAAUUGCAGCCACGACACCAUUUUUGCUGCCCAUGGCUAUGUUUUGCAUAAAUCCAAUUUAAGAAAUUCAAUACUAGAAGCAAAUAAAGCACCAAUUGUAAGCUUAGGCAUGCAAGUUCACUAGGUAAUUAGUACUCUUCAUAACAGCUACGAACACUUCAAAUUUGUUCCAGUGAACAAACCAACAUCAAAAUAUCACACGCAUCUUAAGUAAGUAACUAAAAGUUCAUCGGCUUUGAAAUAUUAGACUUGGACCUUAUUCUCAAUAAGAUCUACAACAACCAUCAUUUGGAAGUUGUUGUUCCCGUUGUUUCUUAUCAUGAUGACCACUGUUGUGUCAACCGUUGGUCGUCUUCUUUUUCCCUUCAGGAAUUCCCUCCAGCCGAUUUCAUAGAACGAUAUGCGUCCAUUUGUGUGUGUCUUGUAUCCAACGCUGGUGAUAGGAUCUGCUUCUCCAAGCUGUACUCCAGCUAUGCCGGCAGCAGGGGUGUCCUCGCCACAAAUCAUCUUCAUAGGUAAUUUCUAUAAUCCGAGUGAUUAAAAGCAAAAUAAAACACGCAAUGUUAGACAUCUUGCCAUAUAGUGUUAUGAACCAAAAAGAAAGAUACAAAAUAUAACAUGGUGUGUUUCAGGAUGUUGGUCUUAGUAAAACGGUGCACAAAUGGCCUCCCCUAGUAGUGCACACUUGAUGGAAGGAUCGCGAUGAUAUUGGCCUUCUCAUCCUCAUUAAGCUCUUUCAUUCUUUGAGAGAAAAUUGCAUAAUUGUAUGGAUCAUCAUCUUCCUCAUCCUCAUGCUCCUGGCUAUCAUCAUGAUCCUCGCUAGCAUCAUCAUCAUCCUGGCUCUCAUUAUCCUCAUCAUCCUGGGAAUCCCCUCAUCAUCAUCUUCGUCAAGCACAUCAUCUUGGUCGAAGAAAUACUUAAUCCUUAACUUGUUGACCACUUUCUUCAAGUAAAAGCCUAUGUAUUCUCCCCCGGUAAGUUUGAAAUGUACUUGUUCCAUCCAUCGCCUCCUAUGAUGGUUUUAUCCUUUUGUUUACAAACAUCAAUUUUGGAUGAUUGUCCUUGACCAUCCGAAAUGUUGAAACUGUCAUCGAUUAAAUUAUUGAAUUGGACCCUUACGUUGCAUGGGAUACACUAUGUAACAAUUAAGAAUAAUGCAGUUAAUAACUAAUGGUAUGCAUAGUACAAGAAUCCAGCAAAUGGUUAGAAUUGAAUGAUGAACAUUGUUAUCACAAAUUUUUCGAAUCCCUCCCUCGAGAAGAGCCUGAAUUCUACUGCAUGGGAUAAACUAUCCCUACAGGGAUUUUCGCAGACAUUGCAGACCUUAAGCACCAUAAUCCCCUCCUUCAAGAAGUUAAGCACUGUUAUCAUUUGUGCUAUGUCAUGAAAGUAAUAUUGAGAAGGGGCAUAAAAAAUGUCAUCAUGAUGAGGUAUGAUCGCAGAUUACCAACACUGCUACAACUAGGUAGUACGACUAUAUAUAUAGGUAGGUUUGUCACGAAGUCGCGGGCAUAUAUAGCAUGCCAUAGAAAGUUUCAUAAGUACUACAUUAAAGGUUCAAACAUCUGAAGCACAGAGUUAUACGACUAGGAAUGGUGGAGAGAUCAACUCCUAAUCUAAGUCAACGUCAGAGCCGAAGUUUUCAUCCUCGCCGGAGUCCUCAGCGAGAUCGUCCCAGUCUAUUGGGUCAUCAUCGGCAUCCUUCUGGUUGCCUACAAAUGCUGAUCCUCCCGAAGAUACCAUUCCACCAAGGGAUUGAUAUGUCUCCAAUGUAGCUAUAAUUUUUUAUUGUUGCAUGCUAUUAUAUUAUCAACCUUGGAUGUUUAUAUGCAUUAUUAUGCUAUUUUAUAUCAUUUCUUGGGACUAACCUAUGAACCUAGUGCUAGUUGAUUGUUUUUCCUUGUUUUUGCCUUUACAGAAAAUCAAUACCAAACGGAGUCCAAAUGGAACAAAACUUUUUGAUGAUUUUUCUUGGACCACAAGACACCCUAGAAGCUUCAGGAGGAGGCAAGAAGGUCCACGAGGCGGCAACAAGCUCAGUGGGCGGGCCCUAGGGGGGGCCGCGCCCUCCAUGCUUGUGUCCCCCAUGGCUCUUCUAACCCUAAUCUUUCUUCUAUAAAUACCCAAAUAUUCCUCGUAGACCAGAAGGCACACCAAAAAUACUUUUCCGUGGUCGCAAUCUCCCGUCCUCGUAAGAUCCCAUCUAGAGACCUUUUUCAGUACUCCGCCGGAGGGGGAUUCGAUCACGGAUGGCUUCUACAUCAACCUUGCUACCCAACUGAUGAUGUGUGAGUAGUUUACCACGAACCUAUGGGUCCAUAGCUAGUAGCUAGAUGACUUAUUUUCUCUCUUUGAUCUUCAAUACAAUGUUCUCCUCGAUUUGGUUUGGCCAACUAGGUUGAUUCUUCUUGCAAUGGGAGAGGUGCUUUGUAAUGGGUUCGAUCUUGCAGUGCUCAAUCCCAGUGAUAGAAGGGGACAUGACACAUAUUUGUAUUGUUGCCAUUAAGGAUUAAAAGAUGGGGUUUGUUCAUAUUAAUUGGAUCCAUCCCUCUACAUCAUGUCAUCUUGCUUAAGGCGUUACUCCGUUCCUGUUAAAUUAAUACACUAGAUGCAUGCUAGAUAGCGGUGAAUAUGUGGAGUAAUAGUAGUAUAUGCAGGCAGGAGUCGGUCUACUUGUCACGGACGUGAUACCUAUAUACAUGAUCAUUGCCUUAUAUAUCUUCAUAACUAUGUACUUUUCUAUCAAUUGCUCAACAGUAAUUUAUUUACCCAACAUAUGCUUCUUUCAGGAGAGAAGCCUCUAGUGAAAACUAUGGCCCCUGGGUCUAUCUUUUAUCAUAUUAUUUUCAUAUCUAAAAAAUCAAAAACACAAAAAUAUCUUGCUGUAAUUUAUUUACCUUUAUUUCAUUUUGCACUUUUACUUAUCUUUUACAUCUAUCACUAUCAGAUCUUAUCCUUGCAAGUAACCAUGAAGGGAUUGACAACCCCUUUAUCGCGUUGGGUGCAAAUAUUUGUUUGUUUGUGCAGGUGCGGUUAUUGGAGACUUGUGUGUUCCUCCUACUGGACUGAUACCUUGGUUCUUAAUUGAGGGAAAUACUUAUCUCUAAUUUGGUGCAUCACCCUUUCCUCUUUGAGGGAAGAACCAAUGCAAGCUCAAGAAGUAGGAGGAAGAAUUUAUGGCGCCGUUUCCGGGGAGGAUCUACAUCAAGCCUACCAAGUACCUAUCAUGAACUCUCAUCUCUUGCAUUUACAUUAUUUGCCAUUUGUCUCUUGUUUUCCUCUCCCCACUUCUAAAACGUUUUCAAAAAAAUACAAAAAUAUUUGCAUUCUUUCGGUUUGCCUUUUUUGUUUGCUUCUUGUUUGCUUGUGUGCUAGAUUGCUUACUUUGUGAUGAUGUCUCAAGAAAAUACUAAGUUGUAUGAUUUUUCAAACACUAAUAAUAAUUAUUUUAUUAGUACUCCAAUUGCUCCCACCACUAGUGCGGAGUCUUAUGAAAUUAAUGCCUCUUUGUUGAAUCAUGUUAUGAAAGAACAAUAUUUUGGUAGUUCUAAAGAAGAUGCUGCAUCCCAUCUUAAAACUUUCAUUGAAUUGUGUGAUAGGCAAAACAAAAAAGAUGUGGAUAUUUACAUUGUAAAAUUAAAGCUAUUUCGGUUCUCACUACGAAAUCGUGCUAGAACUUGGUUUUCGUCCUUGCCUGAAAAUAGUAUUGAUUCAUGGAAUAAAUGUAAGGAUGCUUUUAUUUCCAAGUAAUUUCCUCUCGCUAAGAUCUUCUUUCUUAGGAAUGAUAUAAUGAAUUUUAAGCAACUUGAUCAUGAACAUGUUGCACAAUCAUGGGAGAGGAUGAAGUUAAUGAUAAGAAACUGCCCUACUCAUGGUUUAAGUUUAUGGAUGAUCAUACAAAAAAUUUAUGCUGGAUUGAAUUUUGCAUCUAGAAAUCUUUUAGAUUCCGCCGCGGGUGGUACUUUCAUGGAAAAUCACUUAGGAGAAGCUACUAAACUCCUAGAUAAUAUUAUGGCAAAUUACUCUCAAUUGCAUAUAGAAAGAUCUUCUACAAAUAAUAAAAUGCAUGCUAUUGAAGAAAUUAAUACUAUGAGUGGAAGGAUGGAUGAACUUAUGAAAUUCAUUGCUAGCAGGAGUGCUCCUAUUGAUCCUAAUGAUAUGCCUUUGUAUACUUUGAUUGAGAAUAAUAAUGAAUCGAUGGAUGUGAAUUUUGUUGGUUGGAACAAUUUUAGAGGCAAUUUUAAUCCUAGGACGUUUCAUAGUAAUUCCUCUAAUAAUUAUUGUAGUUCCUACAAAACUUAUUAUGGAAAUUAUAAUAAGAUACCCUCUGAACUUGAAAAUAAUAUUAAAUAUUCAUUAACUCUCAAAAGAUUUUCAUUGCCAUGAUAGAAAAAAAAUUGCUUAAGUUUGAUGAUGAGGCUAGAAAGGUUGAUAGAAUUUCUCAUGAGAUUGAUUCCCUUAAGGUAGAUAUAUGCACCAAGCUUGAUAUUAAUAAGUCUUUGAAAUUUAUUCAAAUUCUAUUAAUGAAAGUAGGGAGAGAACAGCUAGAAUGCGAGCUAACAUAGAAUGGCUAGAAAAAGUAUGUUCUUCUAGUUUUUGCGAUAAUCAUGAUGAAGAUCUUAAUGUAAUUGGUGUGACUCCUAUUGAAUAUUUGUUUUAUAUUAUAUCUUGAUAAAUAAGGGUCUGGAUAGGAGUCAACUUUUGCUAGAAGGCGUCCCAAGAAUUCGGCGGGUGAUGAUCCUAAUGAAAAAUUGAUAAAAGUAGGUUUGGCGAGGUCAGAACUAGUGAUGAGCCCACUCUUUUGGAUUUCAAGGAGUUUAUUUACGAUAAUUGUUCUUUGAUUGUUAUUGCCAUCCAUGUUCAAUUCACCCCAUGCUUGUAAUCAAAAUAAAGCUUUUAAACAUAUCGUUGAUGCUAUGAUUAAAUCUUUUGAAGAAAAACUUGAGUUGGAAGUUUCAAUCACUAGAAAGCUUUAUGAUGAAUGGAAACCUACUAUUAAAAUUAAGAUUAAGGAUUAUGAGUGCAAUGCUUUAUGUGAUUUGGGUACUAGCGUUUUUACUAUUUCGAAACCUUUAUGUGAUGCGCUAGGCUUCCAUGCAUAAACUUGAUGGUUGUUUUUAAAAUUUGCACUUAGAGGAUUCCAUUAUUAAGAAACCUAUGGGAAGAAUUAACGAUGUUCUUAUUAUUUCUAAUAGGAAUUAUGUGCCCGUAGAUUUCAUUGUGCUUGAUAGUGAUUGCAAUCCUACAUGUCCCGUAAUUCUUGGUAGACCUUUCCUUAGAACGAUUGGUGCAAUUAUUGAUAUGAAAGAAGCAAACAUUAGAUUUCAAUUUGCAUUAAGUAAGGGCAUGGAACACUUUCCAAGAAAGAAAAUCAAGUUACUAUAUGAAUCUAUUAUGAGGGCCACUUAUGGAUUGAAUACCAAAGAUGGCAAUACCUAGAUCUAUGCAAUAUGCCUAGCUAAGGGCGUAAAACGAUAGCGCUUGUUGGGAGGCAACCCAAUUUUUUUUCUUGUUUUUCUUAUGUUUUUUAAUAAAUACACAAUUAUGUUACUGUUAUGAUUGUGUUUUAGUAUUUCAAUUAAUUUUUGUGCCAAGUAAGACAUUUGGGAUGAUUUGGAAGUUAGUUGAUUUGAUUCUGUGAAAAAACAGAAACUUUUGCGCCCAGUUCUGGAAUUUUGUAAAUUCACAGAAACGUGUUUUUGCUCUAAAUGUUUAUAACAAGAUUGAUAUAAAAGUUUCCCACGUCGUCCUAACUUUUUAGAAUUUUUAGAGUUAAAGAAGAAUGAAAAAUAUCCAGGUUACUACAGACUGUUCCGUUUUUGAAAGAUUCUGCUUUCAUUGAGUUGUUCUCUUGUUUUGCUGAAUCUAUGGGUAAUAUUGGGGGACGGGGGGUAUGAACCAUGGUGAAGUUAGAAUAUAGUAGAUAUAAUGCUAAUAUGAAGUUGGAAUGAGUUUACAAUAGUACCUAAAGUGGUGAUUUGUUUUAUUAUACUAAUGGAUCUCACGAGUUUUCUGUUGAGUUUUGUGUUGUGAAGUUUUUAUGGUUUGAGUGAAGUUUCGAUGGGAUAAGGAAUAAGGAGUGGAAAGAGCCUAAUCUUGGGGAUGCCCAAGGCGCCUCAAGGUAAUAUUCAAGGACCUCCAAGUGUCUAAGCUUGGGGAUGACCCGGAUGGCAUCCCCUCUUUUGUCUACAAUCCAUCGGUAAAUUACUUGGAGCUAUAUUUUUAUUCACCACAUGAUACGUGUUUUUCUUGGAGCGUCGUGUAUUAUAUUAUUCUUUGGUUUUUAGUUUGCCAAAAUCAUCCUUGAUGGACACACCUUUUGAGAGGGACACACAUUAAUCCUUAAUUUAUUAGAAUACUUUUUGAGCUUCACUUAUAUGUUUUGAGGUAGGCAGUUGCUCUAGUGCUUCAUAUAUCUUUUAGAGCACGGCGGUGGUUAUAUUUUAAAGAAAUGAUGAACUCUCAUGCUUCACUUAUAUUAUUUUGAGAGUCUUAUAAAUAGUAUGGCAUUUUGCUUGGGUUAUGAAUUUAGUCCUAAUAUGAUGGGUAUUCAAGAGGGAUAUAAUAAAAACUUUCGUGAAGAUCAUUGAAUAUAUGAGAAGUUUGAUUCCUUGCAUUUAUUUUGAGACAUAAAGAUGGUGAUAUUAGAGUCAUGCCAGUUAUUAAUUGUGGCUUGCUACUUCUUGAGCUUGCAUUGUUAUUUCCCUUGAAGAGGAAAGGGUGAUACAGGAAAUUAGAGAUAAGCAUUUUCCUCAGUUAAGAACCAAGGUAUCAGUCCAGUAGGAGGAAUUACCAAGUCUCCAGUAGAUGCACCUGCACAAACUAACAAACACUUGCACACAACACGAAAACGGGUUGCCAAUCCCUUCACGGUCACUUGCAAGAGUGAGAACUAAUAGAGAUAGGUAUAAAAGAUAAAUAAAAGGCAAAAUAAAGUAAAGGUAAAUAAAUUGCAACAAGGUAAUUUUGGGUUUUUGGUUUUAUAGAUCUGAAAAUAUAUGAUGGAAAAUAGACCCGAGGGCCAUAGGGUUCACUAGAGGCUUCUCUCUUGAAAGAAAACAUAUGGUGGUGAACAUAUUACUGUUGAGCAAUUGAUAGAAAAGCGCAUAGUUAUGAUGAUAUCCAAGGCAAUGAUCAGAAUAUAGGCAUCAUGUCCGUGACAAGUAGACCGAAAUGAUUAUGCAUCUACUACUAUUAAUCCACACAUAGACCGACUCCUGCCUGCAUCUAGAGUAUUAAGUUCAAAAGAACAGAGUAACACAUUAAGCAAGAUGACAUGAUGUAGAGGGAUAAACUCAAGCAAUAUGAUAUAAACCCCAUAUUUUUUAUCCUUAAUGGCAACAAUACAAUACGUGCCUCACUACCCAUGUUGUCACUGGGUGAGGACACCGCAAGAUUGAACCCAUCAUAAAGCACCUCUCACAUUGCAAGAUAGAUCAAUCUAGUUGGCCAAACCAAAUCAAUAGGUCGGAGAGAAAUACAAAGCUAUCUUAAUCAUGCAUAAAAAGAGUUCAGAGAAGACUCGAAUAAUAUUCAUAGAUAAUUUGAUAAUCACCCACAAUUUAUCGAAUAUCUACAAACACACCGCAAAAGAAGAUUACAUCGGAUAGAACUCCAAGCACAUUGUAUUGAAGAUCAAAGAGAGAGAAGAAGCCAUCUAGCUACUAGCUAUGGACCCGUAGGUCUGUGGUAAACUACUCACACAUCAUCGGAAAUGCAGCAAGGUUGGUGUAGAUGCCCUUCGUGAUCGAAUCCCCAUCCGAUGGAUUGCUAGAAAAGGCCCCAAGAUGGAAACUGACGAGAACAAAAUCUUGCGGCGGUGGAAAAGUAUUCUUGUGGACGCUUCUAAUGUAGAUGAAGUAUUUGGGUAUUUAUAGAGCAAGAAUUAUGGUUAGGGGAGUCUCGAGGGGCCCACAAGCGUGGGGGGCGCCACCACUAGGGCGCGCCCUCAGGGCUUGUGGCCCUCUCGUGGCUCCUCUGGCCUCCUCUCCAAGUCUCCUGAGUUUCUUCUGGUCCAAGAUAAAUCAUUGUAAAGUUUUAUUUUCUGUAAAAGACAAAAACAAGAUUAAUAGGUUAGUGCCCUGCUUGAUAUUUAUGCCCUGCUUGAUAUUUAUUUUCUGUAAAAGACAAAAACAAGGAAAAACAACAACUAACACUGGGCACUAGAUUAAUAGGUUAGUCCCAAAAAUGAUAUAAAAUAGUACUAAAAUGCAUAUAAAACAUCCAAGACGGAUAAUAUAAUAGCAUGGAACGAUACAAAUUAUAGAUACGUUGGAGAGAUAUUAAGCAUCCCAAAGCAUAAUUCCUGCUUGUCCUCGAGUAGGUAAAUGAUAAAAACAUAAUUUUUGAUGUGGAAUGCUACUUAAUAUGUCUAUCAAUGCAAUUUUUCUUUUAUGUGGCAUGAAUAUUCAGAUCCAUAAGAUUCAAAAAAAAAGUUUAAUAUAGACAUAAAAUUAAUAAUACUUCAUGCAUACUAAUGAAGAAAUCAUAGCUUUUCAAAAUAUCAUGGCCAAAGAAAGUUAUCCCAACAAAAUCAUAUAGUCUGGUCAUGCUCUAUCUUCAUCAAACAAAGUAUUUAUCAUGCACAACCCCAAUGACAAGCCAAGCAAUUGAUUCAUACUUUCAAUGUUCUAAAGUCUUUUCAACUUUCACGCAAUACAUGAGCGUGAGUCAUGGAUAUAGCACUUGUAACAUCCCAAAAUUCUAAAUUUUGGAAUGUUAUAUUAAUUCAAUAAAUAUGAUUCUAUGCUUGAUUGUUUGGUUGAAAGUGAGUGGAAUUUGAAAAAUCAAAAAUAAUAAUCAAAUAAGAGGUAAUAAAAGGACUUUCCCAAAAUUUUCCAUUUGAAUCCCUAUCUAAUUUUAAGUUUGCAUCUUGUAAAAAAAAUUCUCCGAUAAACAAGUAAUAUGAGAGGAGGAAAAUGACACUCCGAAAUCGGAGACAAAGUUUUGUUUGACAUUAAAUUUAGAAAACAGAAAAUAUUUGCAAUUUUAUUUGAAAUUCAAUUUCCCUUUCAUUUUGGACUUAUUGCAAAAAUAUUUUUUUAAAUAUUUAAUUUGGUCAUGAAAAUAUGUUCAUGUUUUAGGAAUUUUUUCUAAGAAUUUUGAUUUAUAAUAUACCUCUAUAAUUUUUUUUGUUCCUCGUUGUUUUUGGAAAACAAAACACAAGGGCCCACCCGCUCGCUAGUAGGCUAGCCCAGCGUUGCAGCCUGCUGUGCCAGCGAGCAGCCAGGCGAGCGCCAUGGGGAACUCCUAUGCGCCGCAUUCUGCGGUAGAAUGUCGAGCUAUCGCAUAGGAGUUCCCUCAACUGGGCCGGCCCACAAGGCAACGAGCGGUGCAAAAAUUUGAACGAACAACAACAGCGCUUCAGCUACAAUUCGGACCUGCGACCGCAAGCCUGCAGACAGGGGUUGCGAGCCACUGCGCCCGACUCAUUUUGAUGGUCAAAAGGCAACGCGAACACUUUAGACCUAGUUACACUGGCAGAUCGGAUUAUUUUUCUUUUUUUCCGAUCUUUUAUUGUCAAUUAUGAUUAUAUUUUUUACAAGUAGGAACGUUUUUGAUAGAACCCAUAGGAGUUUUAAAAAAAUGUUAGCAAUUUUUCGAAUUUGCAAGCAAAUUUUGAAAAACAGGAACAAUUUUGAAGUUGUGGACGAAUAUUGAAACAUAGGAACAUUUUUUUAAUUACGAUCAAUUUUCGGUAAACACAAAAAAAGUUUUUCGAAAAUGUGAACAAGUUUUUGAUAGUGACUUUUUCAAAAACAUGAAUAUUUUUUAAAGGAAAACAAAUUUUGAAUUGUGAACAUUUUUUUGUAAACAUGAAUAUUUUCAAAAACAUGAACUUUUUUGUAAAUAGGAUAUUUCAGAAUUUUUGAACAACAUUCUUAAAUGGGAACAAUUUUGAAAAUAACGGACAAGUUUUGGAAUUUUAGAACAAAUUUGGAAAUGGAGAACAAUUUUGAAAAUCCCCAACAAAUUUCAAGUGUGAACAAUUUUUUAAUAUGUGCAUAAAAAAUUGAAAAAUAUGAAUAUUUUUUGAAAUUUGUGAAUGUUUUUAUAUUUGUGAACAUUAUUUCAAAAAAGGAACAUUUUUUGAAAUCCAUGUCAUUAUGUAUAAAUUUCUCAAAAAAGAACAAAAAUAAUUCAAACAGUUUUUGAAAAAACAGAAACAUUUUUGAAAAUUCGAAACAAAAUUUUGGAAACCAGGAACAUUUUUUGAAUUUGUGAAGAAAUUUUGAAAAACAGGAACAUUUUUUGAAUUUGUGAACAAAAUCUGAAAAGCAGGUACAUUUUUUUGAAAGUCAAAAACAAAAUUUUAAAAUAAACUUGAAAAGAAAAAAAGGAAAAUUAAAAAGAAAGAAAUAGAAAGGAGAAAAAAAUAAAAGAAACAAAAAAAGAAAAGAAAAAUGAAAAAGAAGAGAAAUAGAAAAAAGAAAAACCAAAAAGAAACUCAAAAGGAAAAGGCCGGUUCAGGAACCUUCUAGAAGGUUCCCAAAACCGGAAAAAAACCGGCUGGAAUCAUAGAAAGUUCCCAAAAACCAGUGUCUACUGAAACGCUAAAACGGGCCGGCCCACUCGGUCGCUCGCUCGGACCUCCUCCUGUGUUUAGCUUCGACCGCUUGCCGCAACAAGCGGCGAGUAGGAUUUUCCAGCGCCAGGAGCCCUAGGCUCGUCCCAGAGCCGCCGCCGGCUCCCUCCCUCUCACGAUCUAUCUCUUUUUUUCCUGACAUAUAGGACCCACCUUUCUUUCUUCUUCCUCACGAACCCAAACAAAACAGAAACAUACACGUACAAGACACCACUCCGCGUCCGAUCAUCGUGGAAACCCUAUCCCAAGUCAACCCCAGGCCCAAGAAAUAUGUCCUAUAAAUAGUCACGACCCUGCUCAACCGGUUCCCUUCGAAUCCCUCGCCAAAUCCCACCAUAUCGUCCGCUAUCGUCGUUCCAAUCUCGCCGCACAAGCUGCAGGUCAUCGCCGGCUUUGACGCUAGUGAGCCAUACCGAGCGUCCCUCUUUUGUGUUUCAACUUCUCUCGUUCCCUAGACUCUGUUUCACAUGCAUGGUCAUGUAUCCCCGUUCUAUCUACAGACGCCAUCCCACCUCGACGUCUUCACCGAAGCACCGAGCUUCAUCACUUCGUUUCGUCGCAAUUCGUCGUCACCAGCCCUCUUCGACUUCACCACCGGACGAGCCACUCUCCACUACAUCUUCCGAACAUCGCCGCCGCCGCCCAUGAUCGUCGGAGCUGCCGCCCCACCGCACUAGAGCUCCACCCCAAUGCUACCUUCCUCUCUGUAAGCACGAUCAUCUGUUCGUUUCAGUUAAAAAAAGUUUGUUUUUUUUAUUUAUAUCGGUUUUUAUUUAGAUCGGUUUAGUUUACAGUUUAUUUAUGGGUUAGUCGGUCAGAUCGAACCGGUUCGCCGGUCUUCUGUCAAUUAAAUGCACGUGUACAUUUUAGUGAUCUUACGGCUGAGCGUUGUUUAGCAUCGGAUCGCACAUCCCUGUACAGCCCGCUACCUAGCUGGCGGAACAUUUGUUGUUUUUUUCAUUUCUGUUUUUUUUUGUUUUAGAUUCAGUUUUUGUUUUUUUAUAUCUUUAGAUCUACAACUCCAAUUUUGAUGAUUCUUUUUCCUACCGUUUCAAAAGAAUCCCAUUUAUCCUGAGAAAGCAACGGAAAUUAUUUUUUGAACUUUUUAAAUUUCGAAUUCAAACAGAUUUGUUACAAGCACUAGAUUGGUAAUAACUUUUAUUUAAAAAUAGCUUUUUGAUUAAUUCUUUUUGCUAGUGAUCACUUGAUCUUUUGUCUAAACAAUAGGCUUUUGCAAAUUAGUUUUUCUAUAUUUUAAAUUAGGAUUUUAGGCGAAACAGUACUGUUUUACAUAAUUUAGUGUUAUUUUCUUUUCCCUUUGUAUUUAGUUGUUUUUAACUAAAAAAACCUUUUUUAUUAUUGACAAAUUUGGUUUUGUUUAUGUUAUUGAACAGUAGACAGUUUUAUUUUAUUUUAAAAAAUAUUUUCUUUAGUUUUGCAUGAAAACUUGUAUAGGUCAUAGUUAGAGUUUUAUAAAAGCUUCUUAUUUGUUUCCUUUUUCUACUAAAAGUUUAUGGAAAAUUAUUUCUGUUAAUUUAAUGAAAAAUCUAUUUCUUUUUUAUAGACUUAUUAGUUUAGUAUUUUAGUUGCUUUUAAAGACUAAUUAGGUCAAAAAACUACUUUUGUGUUGGUUGUAGUAAAAACUCUAUAGUUCCUUGUAGUUUUCCUUCAAAUUUUCUUUGGAUUUUCUAUUUGGAUUUCUUAUGGAUUUCUUUGUUGUUUAUUUGUUGAAUGAUAAUUUGAGUGUUAGGAUUUUCUUGCUAGAAUGUAUGCUUGUGAAUGCCAUGUUUGUUAUUAUAGAUUUCAACGGAGAGUUGUGUAUAGUACUAUCAAGUUUUGUGAGAGCGAUAUUAUCUUCAUCAAGUAAUACCAAGCAAGUUCACUUUGACCAUGAUAUUCAUACCUAUGCUUUUAUUGCAUCUAGUGUAACCAUUCAUAAUCCCUCCAGUAGUGAUAUUGACUUCUUGUAGUUGAGUAGAAUGCAUGAGGUACGAACCCAUCUCCCUAUUAUCAAGCCCGGGACGUUAUAUAGUUCUAAUGUUACGCUAUAGUAGACGGGGUUUGGUAUGAGUGCUCGGGAGUGGUGUGAGAAUGGAGGACUCUAUGUCAAUGACGACAACUUCAUGACAACAUCUUCAAGGCCUCAAGACUUCAAGACUCGAGACAAGAAUUCAAUAUACCUCUGGGUGGAGAAUGGUUAAGUAGUGUACAUUGGUGCGCCCAGUACUUAGUGAUUCCGGAGAAGCGUCGUGAUAUCAUGCGGAAAGCUCCACCCAGGUUCAAAGAGACGAAAGAAUACUUCAUGCCUAGAAGCUUACUUGUGCGACCGCAAGUCAUGGGCUCUGGCUUGGUUGACCUUAGUGGUGACUCUAGCUGGGACAGUGCCAAUAGAUGUAGAGCUAUGGUAGGAUUGGAUGGAAACCAGACAGUGGACAGAGGAACUCUUUGGAAGACCAUGUUUCAAUCGUCUUGUUCUUAAACGAUCUGAAGUGCGAGGACGAAAAGGGAGGGAUCAAAUCUUGCGGGUAAAGUGUACAAACCUCUGCAGAGGGUUAAAACCUAAUCAAUUAGCCGUGUCCCCGGUUACGGAAAAUUUGAGCAUCUAGACUUGGAUCUAUCUCGGAACUCUCAACACCGGAUCAAAAACUUAAUUGUGGGCAAUUUAUAAUGAUAUGGGCUAUGAGACAUCAGUUGGCGGAACCAUGUCAUGAUAGAAAACUCUGUAGUAUAGACUCUGGUUAUUUCCUUUGUUGUAGGGAAAACGAAAUCAGCUUUUACGCAAAAACCUCAGACACAGAGCCACAAAGCCAUAUUGCAUAUAGUAUAGUUUUAUCAUCUGUUUUUCUUACAGUGAUCUUGCCGGUACAUUCAACGUACUGACCUACACGGCUGCAAUGUCUCAUGUUGCAGAUAUUUCUACGACGAGUAAGCAUUAAGAUAUAGGGUUACGGUCUACACUCAACCUGCCAAUGGCGUUGAUGGGACUCCACACCGGAUUGACUUUUUUUGCUGAGACUUAUGAGGUAUAUAUUAGUUUCACGUUAUGUAUAUAUGUGAUUGCAUUUUGAUAUAUAUGUUGAUGUACUGUGUGUGCCAGCAUACUAAUCCAGGGAUGGCACCGAUACACAAAGGCUUGACCGUUUGAGGUUAGGUCGCUACAACACUAUAGGCGGAAUAGAAUAUGGUAGAGGUUGUGUGUAGAAGACAGAAAAACAGAAAGUCUCACAUCGACUAGGCAAAUUAAUAGGCUAUGGAGAUGCUCAUCAAUUGAUACCGAUGCGAGUGAGUAGGGAUUGCCAUGCAACAGAUGCAGUAGAGCUAUAAGUGUAUGAAAGCUCAAGAGAAAACUAAGUGAGUAUGCAUCCAACUUGCUUACUCAUGAAGACCUAGGGCAAUUUGAGGAAGCCCAUCAAUGAAAUAUACAAGCCAAGUUCUAUAAUAAAAAAAAUUCACUAGUGUGUGAAAGUGACAAAAUAGGAGACUCCCAAAUCUUACCGCCGGCGAAGCCACUUCCAGCCGCGCUUGGAGACACCUAAAGGAUGCGGUUGACCUCUCCACUGCCUCCGUAGAUUUCAUCAUGUCUUCCUCAUGGCUGGCGACUUCUCCAUCAUCGAAACCGGCCAAACCCGAGGCCGCACCGCCCAUCUCCGACGCCAUGGCCAUCAACUCCAUUGAGCGCCCAUCCAUUUCCUUCUCAAACAUGUUCUUAUAUGUAGAGGUAUCAGCCAUUCAAGAAUUGACACGUGGCAUCUCAUGUAAAUCCCGUAGUUGAUUUUCAGAAAAAUGCUCAAUCUUCAGAAAAUCAUACCUUUUAAUCUAUAGAGCCAAUUUUGACAAAUGAGAUAUCCAUGGAUUGUUGAGAACAUCUAGUUUAUUAUAAAAAUAUAUAAUUUCACUUCUGAGCAAAUUAAAAUUUAGUUCUUUGAGUAUUUUUGAUAUAUCUAUUAUUCUGUAAAUCAUAUGAAAGUGUUUUGUAUAUGAAAGUUGGACCUUAGGACCUCACCUUUCUGUUGGAAUCCAUGGAUUAAUUUUUCCAACAUAAUUUAGACACUGUUUUAUCAUCAACACUCGUUGAACAAAAAUUUAAUCCUAGGAUAAAUCUCUUAGAUUGAUCCCUAGGGAACCUCUCUGGUCAUUUGAUAUCACCACAAGAAUUAGGAGUUACAAGAUUAAGAAUUUAAUUCUUUGUCUUAAAACUUAUGCCAUACAUAUUUUUGUUUAAGAAAAUCAAAUAUUCCGAACAAACUCGUUAUGAAAUUGUCGUAGAACCUUGCCUCACAAAUCUCCUUCUAUCAAACCAUGAUCCCACUUAGUAUCAAAUGGAUCUGACCCUAGAAUAUGACCAUGUCAUAUUUUCUUCGAAAACCAAACUCGAUCCUAUACUAACCCUAACCAUGACCUAGGAUUUAUCGUAUGGCAAUCGAAUAACUUGUGUUAUUAUUUGGAUCUUCGUUUUUUUAUUGUGUGUUGAAUUAUUUUAUUUUAUCGUUAGAUAUAUCCUAAGGAUAAGGAGAGACGAUUAAGAGUAGAACAUUUCAUCUUCGAGAGACACAGGCAAGUUGCAACUUGAUCAUAAUUUGUCCUACACUUUUGAAAUAUGCAUGAUCUCUUUAAAAUUUAUACUAUGUAUGUUUUACCAAAAUGUUUUACAAAGUAUUAUUGCUAGGGAAAGCCCUAGGAACUUGUAGCUAUGCUUAGCCUUGCUUACAAGGAAAAGGGGUUGGGAAUCAAACAAGUUUUAAACGAAUAAACUUGCCCUAUUUUGGGGCAAUGUUUUGUGAAAACUUUCGAAAAACAAAAAAACUUAUAUACUAUUUUACUUCUACUCCUUGGGCGGUGGUAUGAUGUGAGCGUCUAAAAGUGACUGCGCCCAUCGGGGUCUUGCAGUGUAUGCGCAUGACUGGGGACUUGCACAUAGGUUUUUCGUGGGGACCGUCGUCCAGGGGAUCAAGAUCUUUCAAGUGUAGUUUGAUGUAGCUUCCAGUAUAGCCACAUGCUAUUAUGGCUCUGGCUUAGCUUUUCCUUAUCGGGAAACCCUUAUUCAGUUAUGGUCAUCGAAGAGGUGUCUUAAUAGCCAAGGGAGCGGGUCGUGCUAGAACUAAAUAAAGGGGGCCAUUUGGAAAAGCUUUGUCACAAAUCUCCUCCCGGCCAAACACCGAAGUGGUGUCAUGACACAAAGGGUUGAUUGUGUCAUGUGGGGAACGUGUACGAACUCUGCAGAGGGUUAAAUCUAAUCAAUUAACCGUGCCCCCGGUUGUGGGAAAUUUGAGCAACUGAAGAGUUGGACUGAAGAAGAAUCUCCCCUAUCUUUUCUAAAAGUCUGGCUUAAGGGUUAAAGUUGAGGAAUGAGCACAGUGAAUGUGUUUCACUUCAACCAUAUUUAUGUUUAACCAAAAGUUGGAGAAUGGGCACUGGUGCAUCCAAGUGUCUCACUCCUACCUUUUAUACUAAAAACUAUAUUUACUUCAAACAACUUUUAUAAAAAAAUUAGUAUAGGGAAAAAUUGGCUUUAUGCAAAGGAAACCUCCACCAAUACUUACCCUGCAUAUAUAUGCAAAGGACAUGAGAGGAAUCUUGUUAUAAGUAAUCAUUUGAAUCUGGUAUUCGUUCAAUAUUCUGAUGAGAUGUAUGUUGUCUUUCCUCUAGUGGUGUUAUGUGAACGUCGACUACAUGACACUUCACCAUGAUUUGGGCCUAGGGGAAGGUUUUGGGAAGUAGCAAGUAGAUGAUGGGUUGCUAGAGUGACAGAAUCUUAAACCCUAGUCUAUGUGUUGCCUCGUAAGGGGCUGAUUUCGAUCCACAUGCUUAAUGCUAAGGUUAGAUUUAUCUUAAUUCUUAUUUCGUAGUUGCGGAUAAUUGCGAGAGGGGUUAAUCAUAAGUGAGAGGAUUGUCCAAGUAAGGACAGCAACCAAGCACCGGUCCACCCACAUAUCAAACUAUCAAAGUAGCGAACGCGAAUCAUAUAAGCAUGAUGAAAACUAACUUGAUGAUAAUUCCCAUGUGUACUCGGGAGCAUUUUGCUUUACAUGAGAGUUUGCCCAGGCUUGUCCUUUGCUAUAAAAAGGAUUGAGCCACCUUGCUACACCUGUGGUACACUUGUUACUUGUUACCCGUUACAAAUUACCUUGCUACCAAACUAUUUGUUACCAACAAUUUCAGUGCUUGCGGUGAAUACCUUGCUGAAAACCGCUUGUCAUUUCCUUCUGCUCCUUGUUGGGUUCAACCCUUUUACUUAUCAAAAGGACUACAAUUGAUCCCCUAUACUUGUGGGCCAUCAAUGCUCUGACGUUCAUGGGCCCUGAUGAGCGCCUCGGCCUUCAACUACUCCUGAUACUCAGCCUUGGAGACUAUGCUCAUGUUAGGAGGCGCUAUCUGACUCGCAUGCCAGACAUCCUUAGGACAGUUGAGCUGGGCCCUUCGCCCUUGGUACUCGAGUGCUAUGACAUCUUAAGCGCACACCGCUUCCUUGGUGAAGUCAAACGUGCCGAGCCAUUAUUUCUUGCCUAUGAUGGGUUUCUGGAUUUGGACUCCCCUCUUCACCCAGGGUCUUUGGAAAACACCACGGUGCAUGCCGUUGUCCGUCAUUUCGGGAAAAAUGACCUAGAACAUGCAGAUAACUAAAUUUGGCGAAAGAACUGAAGAAAUCUACUACAACACAAUAUGAAUUAAAAACAAACAAAAAAUUGGGCAGGACCUCUACAUAAAAAUGGAUAGUAUAGAAAUUUAGCAAAACGGAAAUAAAUCAAUGUUUUGCCAAAAAAUUAGCGCUUAUAGUAUGAAUCCCAGUAAGGAAAUGAAGAUAUCUACUACAUCACAAUAUGAAUAAAAAAUAAACAAAGAAAUUUGGCAUGACCUCUGCAUAAAAAUGGACAUAUUAAGUGAUUGAAAUCUGGCGAAACAGAAAUAAAUCAACGUAUCGCCAAAACUUUAGCACUUAUAGUAAGUAUACCUAUAAUGAACUGAAGACAUCUACUACAACAUAUUAUUUAACUCAGUAUGAACAUAAAUAAUGUACAAAAUAAUACGAUAUAUAUGUGAGACUAUAUAAUUACCUCUGAUAUGAACACAUUGGUAUUCCUUGUUCAUGGUUACGUAUGUGGCUGCUGCAACUAUAAUUGUUUUGAUGUGUGUGCCUUAAAAACUAUAGAACAAGAAACUACAACUAUAAUUGAACUCUAGUAUGAACAAAUUGAACUCAUUAAAGAAUAUGAACACAUUAAUAGCAAUAACCCUAACCCUAGUUGAAUGUUCGUGUGCGUGUGCGUGGCUGCUGCCGCAGUUGUCCGUGUGCGUGGCGGUCGUGGCCGUGGGUGACGAGGAGGAAAGACGGAGAGGGAGGUGCGGACGACAAUGUAUUACUGGCUGGAGCGGAGGGUGACGGGGCAGAUCGUCGGUGAGGGCGACGGGGCGGCGAAUCGAGGGCGAGGGAGAUGUGCGGCGAACGUCUAGGGCGGCGACGAGUAAGGAGAGGCCGAUGGCGGCAGCGGACGGGGACGGCGACUUGGGCAGCAUGGAUGAGCCAACGACGUCCGCGACGAGAUGGGGAAGAGUGAGAGUGAGAGAGUAAAUUGGGGUAGGGGGAGAGGGGGCGCGUGCGUGUAUGUAGGUCGAUUGAGUUCGUCGUAUCCGACGGGUGUGCCAAGCCUCCGAACACGGCUUCUUUGGUGUGGUGGGCGGCAAACCGUUUCGAUUUGGGGCAGACUAGACAGCUAACUUAGUUGUGGGGUUAGGGUCCUAUACCCGCCAGAGCUAAUAUCUGUAUAAAAUUUAUUUUUUUGGCGUCCGUUGCUGGCACUAAACUGUGGCUGGCCCUAUCGAGCGUCCGCCACAAUUGCAUUCAAGAACAAUGGCGGCCGAGGGCCCGAGGCUAACACCCACCACUGAUCGCAUUCAUCACGUGGCCAUACUCAGUGGUGCUUACUUGUGGCAGCCACUGCUACGCGUGUAACUCUGGAGGUCACGUUGUGGGACCUGCCACCGGUACUUUUGCUAACUAGCAGUGGCAGGUGCUAUGUCCCGCCCGCCGAUCUUUCGAAUUCACCUAUAAGCCUUUUCCCAGUAGAGUAAUAAAGGACUUCUUGACAAGUCCGUGUAGAUUAAAGGUAUGUUAGUAGAUGGUGUAAUAAAUACAUGCUUUAGCGAUCUAAGGAUACAAAUAUGCCACUAUUUAUUUUAUAAAUGGUCGAAAUCAUUCUUAGAAAUCUUAGUAACAACAGUUGUCAUGAACAACUUCGACAAAAUGCAUCAAAUGUUACAAAUAAUACAUACAAACUUAGUUCAAUAAAUUAAUCAAUUGAAGUGAGAACAAACCUAAAUGUACUUAGAGUAAAUCCAUUAAGACGUGUAAAGCCAAUACUAAUCCAAUAUUUAUUAAUAAAUUUGCAUAGAAUUACAACCCUUUGACAUAGAAAGGGAAUAUGAUGAGUCAUGUAUUGGUAACUUGCACAACAUUCCUACCCUUGGCAUAAAAGGAGAAAUUGAUGAGUCAUGUAUUGAUAACGUGUACAACAUCACUAUCCUUGACAUAAAAGGAGAAUUUGAUGAGUCAUGUGUUGAUAACGUGUACAACAUUACUAUCAGCAUGUUCAUCUUACCAUCAUAUUAUACAACACUACAAGUUAGUUUUAAAAAGAACAAGAGUCGAGAACGAAGAUCAGAAUACUUGCUUGAUCUAUCUUAACAACAUGCACAAGUUCAGAAAUUUAGUCCCCCGCAAGCUAUGAAGAUUUGUUUUAUGUCUAACUAUUUGUACAACAUGACAAUUUUAGAUCCAAAAGGAAUGCAAUCCAGAUAAUUGUUUGACAUGUAAAGUGAAUAGGAUGAGUCAAUGCCAAUUAUCAAGUUUUCCUCACUCUUAGAUGAUAUGUACAAUAAAAAAGAUAACUUUGAUGAUCACUCUGAAAUUACGUUUGUAUGUAGUGCCACCAAACACAACAUACCAAAUAUUAGUUUGAUAAGCAUAAAAUCACUUUUGAAAAAAGAAAGCAAUAAUGAAAAGAAAUCUAACCACGAUAGCUAUAAAAAGGCCUGCAAUAUGUAGAAUCCAUACCAUCAUCCAUCCUUCACACACCUAGAGCACAAAUCAGCAAAUCCAAGUACGUAGUAGUUAACGCAAAUCGACCAUGAAGACCUUAAUCAUCCUGACGAUCCUUGCGAUGGCAAUAACCAUCAGCACCGCCAAUAUGCAGGUCGACCCUAGCGGCCAAAUACAAUGGUCACAACAACAACUAGUCCCCCAGCCCCAAGAGCCAUUAUCCUAGCAACCACAACAAGCAUUUCCCCAACCCCAACAAACAUUCCCCCAUCAACCACAACAACAAGUUCCCCAGCCUCAGCAACCACAACAACCAUUUCUCCAGCCCCAACAAGCAUUCCCCCAACAACCACAACAACCAUUCCCCCAGACUCAACAACCACAACAACCAUUUUCCCAGCAACCACAACAACCAUUUCCCCAGACUCAACAGCCACAACAACCAUUUCCCCAGCAACCACAACAACUAUUCCCCCAGACUCAACAACCACAACAACCAUUUCCCCAGCAACCACAACAACCAUUCCCCCAGACUCAACAACCACAACAACCAUUUCCCCAGUUCCAGCAACCACAACAACCUUUUCCCCAGCCCCAACAACAAUUCCCGCAGCCCCAACAACCGCAACGAUCAUUCCCCCAGCAACAAAGACCGUCCUUUCAGCCAUCUCUACAACAACGGUUGAACCCAUAAAAGAAUAUCCUCUUGCAACAAUGCAAACCUGCAUCAUUGGUGUCAUCCCUUUGGUCGAUAAUCUGGCCACAAAAUGAUUGCCAAGUGAUGCAGCAACAAUGCUGCCAAGAACUAGCACAAAUUCCUCAGCAGCUCCAGUGUGCAGCCAUCCAUAGCGUCGUGCAUUCCAUCAUCAUGCAGCAACAAGAACAAGAACAAGAACAACAACAACAACAACAACAACAACAACAGCAAGGCAUGCGUAUCUUUUUUCCACUAUCUCGACAACAACAUGUGGGUCAAGGUACUCUCGUCCAAGGCCAGGGCAUCAUCCAACCUCAACAACCAGCUCAAUUGGAGGCGAUCAGGUCAUUGGUGUUGCAAACUCUUCCAACCAUCUGCAAUGUGUAUGUCCCACCUGAGUGCUCCAACAUCAGGGCACCAUUUGCCAGCAUAGUCGCGGGGAUUGGUGGCCAAUGAAAAAAGCAAGAGCUAUACUAAUAGAUAGAUGGAUCCUCGUUGCUUAGCAGAUGCACCAAUCGAUGUAACGAUGACAAAUAAAGUGGCACGUACCAUCAUGUGUGACCCCGACCAGUGCUAGUUCAAGCUUGGGAAUAAAAGACAAACAAAGUUCUUGUUUGCCAGCAUUGAUUGUCAUUGUUCCAUUCACUGUGUAUUUAGUUGUUCAUCCCUAACCGCAGUUCUAGGCUUACACAUCAAUGGCUAUUUGCUCGUGCCGGCAGGUUCCUAUGUAAUCUACCGACUAAUGGUCGGCCUAUUGACCCAGUUUAUAGGCCGAUUGAUAUAUUAAUUGCUGCUCCCAAACUGACCGACCAGCUAUUAGUUACCAUUUUGCUGAACAUUGCACACAAUAAUAACUCAACAUAUUUUAAUGUCUAGAAGUAAAAGGGCCAUUUUAGCAGCAAAACAAGCGCCUGAUUAGGAACCAUCCAGCACUUUAAAUGUUCACCUAGAUAUUUCUACGUUGAUGCAAUUUUGAGAUUGGUGGCACCGAAACAUUCCUCAAAGCAAUUCUUUAUGGGACUCCAAAGAGGUGAAAAUAAAGUAAAGUUGCCACAUGGUAAAAUAUAAAUCAUGCGGCGAGCAAGAGCAAAUAUUGAGUCAUGAUAGCAAGCGCCAAACAUGCCAUUAAACUCUUCAUAUGGUUCCGUGCAGAGAAGGGGGAAAAUUGUUGGGGAACGUAGUCAUUUCAAAAAAAAUCCUACGCACACGCAAGAUCAUGGUGAUGCAUAGCAAUGAGAGGGGAGAGCAUCGUCCACCUACCCUCGUAGACCGUAAGCGGAAGCGUUAUGACAACGCGGUUGAUGUAGUCGUACAUCUAUAUGAUCGACCGAUCCUAGUACCGAACGUACGGCACCUCCGCAAUCUGCACACGUUCAGCUCGGUGACGUCCCAUGAACUCACGAUCGAGUAGAUCUUCAAGGGAGAGUUCCGUCAGCACGACGGCGUGAUGACGGUGUUGAUGAAGCUACCGACGCAGGGCUUCGCUUAUGCACUACUAUGAUAUGACCGAGGUGGAUUAUGGUGGAGGGGGCACCGCACACGGCUAAAGAUCAAUGAUCAACUUGUGUGUCUUGGGGUGCCCCCUGCCCCCGUAUAUAAAGGAGAAAGGGGGGAGGCGGCCGGCCAAGGAGGAGGGCGCGCCAAGGGGGGAGUCCUACUUAGGACUCCUCUUUCCUAUUAGGAGUAGGAGAAGGGGGAAAGGAAGGAGAGGAGGAGAAGGAAGGACGGGGCACCGCCCCUUCCCCUAGUCCAAUUCAGACUAGGCUUGGGGGGGGGGGCGGCCCAGCCCUAGCCAGCCCCUCUCUCUCCCUCUCUCUCCCUGAAGCCCAUUAACGCCCAUAAGAUCCCCGGGGGGUUCCGGUAACCUCUCGGUACUGUGGUAUUUAUCCGGUGUCCGAAUAUAACCUUCCAAUAUAUCAAUCUUUAUGUCUCGACCAUUUUAAGACUCCUCGUCAUGUCCGUGAUCAUAUCUGGGACUCCGAACUACCUUCGGUACAUCAAAACACAUAAACUCAUAAUACCGAUCGUCACCGAACGUUAAGCGUGCGGACCCUAUGGGUCCGAGAACUAUGUAGACAUGACCGAGACACGUCUCCGGGUUUAACCAAUAGCGGAACCUGGAUGCUCAUAUUGGCUCCUACAUAUGUUGGGGAACGUUGCAUAAAAUAAACUUUUUCCUAUGUUCACCAAGAUCAAUCUAUGAGUUCAUCUAGCAACGAGAGAGGGGAGUGCAUCUACAUACCCUUGUAGAUCACGAGCGGAAGCGUUCAAGAGAACGGGGUUGAGGGAGUCGUACUCGUCGUGAUCCAAAUCACCGGAGAUCCUAGCGCCGAACGAAUGGCACCUCCGCGUUCAACACACGUACGGUUAGCGUGACGUCUCCUCCUUCUUGAUCCAGCAAGGGGGAAGGAGAGGUUGAUGAAGAUCCAGCAGCACGACGACGCGGUGGAGGAUGCAGCAGAGUUCCGGCAGGGCUUCGCCAAGCGACUACGGGAGGAGGAGGUGUAGCAAGGGGGGAGGGAGGCGCCAAGACUUCAGGGUGCAGCUGCCCUCCCCUCCCCCUCCUUUAUAUAGGCCCCCUGGAGGGUGGCGCCGGCCCUGGAGAUGGGAUCUCCCAAGGGGGCGGCGGCUAGGGGGGUGGAGUGCCCCCCAAGGCAAGUGGAGGCGCCCCCCCCCCCCACCCUAGGGUUUCCAACCCUAGGCGCAGGGGGGCCCAAGGGGGUCGCACCAGCCCACCAGGGGCUGGUCCCCUCCCCACUUCAGCCCACGGGGCCCUCCGGGAUAGGUGGCCCCACCCGGUGGACCCCCGGGACCCUUCCGGUGGUCCCGGUACAAUACCGGUGACCCCCGAAACUCUCCCGAUCACCGAAACUGCACUUCCUAUAUAUAAUUCUUUAUCUUCGGACCAUUCCGGAACUCCUCGUGACGUCCGGGAUCUCAUCCGGGACUCCGAACAACUUUCGGUUUGCUGCAUACUCAUAUCUCUACAACCCUAGUGUCACCGAACCUUAAGUGUGUAGACCCUACGGGUUCGGGAGACACAUAGACAUGACCUAGAUGGCUCUCCGGUCAAUAACCAACAGCGGGAUCUGGAUACCCAUGUUGGCUCCCACAUGCUCCUCGAUGAUCUCAUCGGAUGAACCAUGAUGUUGAGGAUUCAAGCAACCCCGUAUUCAAUUCCCUUUGUCAAUCGGUAUUUUACUUGCCUGAGAUUCGAUCAUCGGUAUCCCAAUACCUCGUUCAAUCUCGUUACCGGCAAGUCACUUUACUCGUACCGUAAUGCAUGAUCCUGUGACCAGACACUUGGUCACUUUGAGCUCAUUAUGAUGAUGCACUACCGAGUGGGCCCAGAGAUACCUCUCCGUCAUACGGAGUGACAAAUCCCAGUCUCGAUCCGUGUCAACCCAACAGACACUUUCAGAGAUACCUGUAGUGCACCUUUAUAGUCACCCAGUUACGUUGUGACGUUUGGUACACCCAAAGCACUCCUACGGUAUCCGGGAGUUACACGAUCUCAUGGUCUAAGGAGAAGAUACUUGACAUUGGAAAAGCUCUAGCAAACGAACUACACGAUCUUGUGCUAUGCUUAUGAUUGGGUCUUGUCCAUCACAUCAUUCUCCUAAUGAUGUGAUCCCGUUAUCAAUGACAUCUAAUGUCCAUAGUCAGGAAACCAUGACUAUCUAUUGAUCAACGAGCUAGUCAACUAGAUGCUCACUAGGGACAUAUUAUGGUCUAUGUAUUCACACGUGUAUUACGAUUUCCGGAUAAUACAAUUAUAGCAUGAAUAAAGACAAUUAUCAUGAACAAGGAAAUAUAAUAAUGAUCCUUUUAUUAUUGCCUCUAGGGCAUAUUUCCAAAAGUCUCCCACUUGCACUAGAGUCAAUAAUCUACUUACAUUGUGAUGAAUCGAACACCCAUAGAGUUCUGGUGUUCAUCAUGUUUUGCUUGCGGAAGAGGUUUAGUCAACGGAUCUGCGACAUUCAGAUCCAUAUGUACUUUGCAAAUAUCUAUGUCUCCAUCUUGAACAGUUUCACGGAUGGAGUUGAAACGAUGCUUGACGUGCCUGGUCUUCUUGUGAAACCUGGGCUCCUUGGCAAGGGCAAUAGCUCCAGUGUUGUCACAGAAGAGAGUGAUUGGCCCCGACGCAUUGGGUAUGACUCCUAGGUCGGUGAUGAACUCCUUCAUCCAUAUUGAUUCAUGCGCUGCCUCCGAGGCUGCCAUGUACUCCGCUUCACAUGUAGAUCCCGCCACGACGCUCUGCUUGCAACUGCACCAGCUUACUGCUCCACGAUUCACCAUAUACACGUAUCCGGUUUGUGACUUAGAGUCAUCCACAUCUGUGUCGAAGCUAGCAUCGACGUAACCCUUUAUGACGAGCUCUUCGUCACCUCCAUAAACAAGAAACAUGUCCUUUAUCCUUUUCAGGUACUUCAGGAUAUUCUUGACCGCUAUCCAGUGUUCCUUGCCGGGAUUACUUUGGUACCUUCCUACCAAACUUACGGCAAGGUUUACAUCAGGUCUGGUGCACAGCAUGGCAUACAUAAUAGAUCCUAUGGCUGAGGCAUAGGGGAUGACACUCAUCUCUUCUUUAUCUUCUGCCGUGGUCGGGCAUUGAGCCGAGCUCAACUUCACACCUUGCAAUACAGGCAAGAACCCUUUCUUGGACUGAUCCAUUUUGAACUUCUUCAAUAUCUUAUCAAGGUAUGUGCUUUGUGAAAGACCUAUGAGGCGUCUCGAUCUACCCCUAUAGAUCUUGAUGCCUAAUAUGUAAGCAGCUUCUCCAAGGUCCUUCUUUGAAAAACACUUAUUCAAGUAGGCCUUAAUGCUGUCCAAAAGUUCUAUAUCAUUUCCCAUCAAAAGUAUGUCAUCUACAUAUAAUAUGAGAAAUGCUACAAAGCUCCCACUCACUUCCUUGUAAACGCAGGCUUCUCCAUAAGUCUGCAUAAACCCAAACGCUUUGAUCAUCUCAUCAAAGCGAAUGUUCCAACUCCGAGAUGCUUGCACCAGCCCAUAAAUGGAUCGCUGGAGCUUUCAUACCUUGUUAGCAUUCUUAGGAUCGACAAAACCCUCCGGCUGCAUCAUAUACAGUUCUUCCUUAAGAUGUCCGUUAAGGAAUGCCGUUUUGACGUCCAUCUUCCAUAUCUCAUAAUCAUAGUAUGCGGCAAUUGCUAACAUGAUUCGGACGGACUUCAGCUUCGCUACGGGAGAGAAAGUCUCAUCAUAGUCAACCCCUUGAACUUGUCGAUAACCCUUAGCGACAAGUCAAGCUUUAUAGAUGGUAACAUUACCAUCCGCGUCUGUCUUCUUCUUAAAGAUCCAUUUGUUUUCUAUCGCUCACCGAUCAUCGGGCAAGUCUGUCAAAGUCCAUACUUUGUUUUCAUCCAUGGAUUCUAUCUCCGAUUGCAUGGCUUCAAGCCAUUUGUUGGAAUCUGGGCCUGCCAUCGCUUCUUCAUAGUUCGAAGGUUCACCGUUGUCUAACAACAUGAUUUCCAGGACAGGGUUGCCAUACCACUUUGGUGUGGAACAUGUCCUUGUGGACCUAUGAAGUUCAGUAGCAACUUGAUCCGAAGUACUUUGAUCAUCAUCAUUAAUUUCCUCUCCAGUCGGUGUAGGCACCACAGCAACAUUUUCCUGAGCUGCACUACUUUCCGGUUCAAGAGGUAGUACUUCAUCGAGUUCUACUUUCCUCCCACUUACUCCUUUCGAGAGAAACUCUUUUUCCAGAAAGGAUCCGUUCUUGGCAACAAAGAUCUUGCCCUCGGAUCUUAAGUAGAAGGUAUACCCAAUGGUUUCCUUAGGGUAUCCUAUGAAGACGCAUUUUUCCGACUUGGGUUCGAGCUUUUCAGGUUGAAGUUUCUUGACAUAAGCAUCGCAUCCCCAAACUUUUAGAAACGACAGCUUAGGUUUCUUCCCAAACCAUAAUUCAUACGGUGUCGUCUCAACGGAUUAAGACGGAGCCCUGUUUAAAGUGAAUGUAGCUGUCUCUAGAGCGUAUCCCCAAAAUGAUAACAGUAAAUCGGUAAGAGACAUCAUAGAUCGCACCAUAUCCAAUAGAGUGCGAUUACGAUGUUCGGACACACCGUUACGCUGAGGUGUUCCAGGCGGCGUGAGUUGUGGAAUGAUUCCACAUUUCCUUAAGUGCGUACCAAAUUCGUGACUUAAAUAUUCUCCUCCACGAUCUGAUCGUAGGAACUUUAUCUUUCGGUCACGUUGAUUCUCUACCUCAUUCUGAAAUUCCUUAAACUUUUCAAAGGUCUCAGACUUGUGUUUCAUCAAGUAGACAUACCCAUAUCUACUCAAGUCAUCAGUGAGAGUGAAAACAUAAUGAUAUCCUCCGCGAGCCUCAACGCUCAUUGGACCACACACAUCAGUAUGUAUGAUUUCCAAUAAGUUGGUUGCUCGCUCCAUUGUUCUGGAGAACAGAGUCUUGGUCAUUUUGCCCAUGAGGCAUGGUUCGCAUGUGUCAAAUGAUUCAUAAUCGAGAGACUCUAAAAGUCCAUCAUCAUGGAGCUUCUUCAUGCGCUUGACACCAAUGUGACCAAGGUGGCAGUGCCACACGUAUGUGGGACUAUCGUUACCAACUUUACAUCUUUUGGUAUUCACACUAUGAAUAUGUGUAACAUUACGUUCGAGAUUCAUUAAGAAUAAACCAUUGACCAUCGGGGCAUGACCAUAAAAUAUAUCUCUCAUAUAAAUAGAACAACCAUUAUUCUCGGAUUUAAAUGAGUAGCCAUCUCGUAUUAAACGAGAUCCAGAUACAAUGUUCAUGCUCAAACUUGGCACUAAAUAACAAUUAUUGAGGUUUAAAACUAAUCACGUGGGUAAAUGUAGAGGCAGCGUGCCGACGGCGAUCACAUCGACCUUGGAACCAUUCCCGACGCGCAUCGUCACCUCGUCCUUCGCCAGUCUCCGCUUAUUCCACAGCUCCUACUAUGAGUUACAAAUAUGAGCAAUGGCACCGGUAUCAAAUACCCAGGAGUUACUAUGAGUACUGGUAAGGUACACAUCAAUUACAUGUAUAUCACAUAUACCUUUAGUGUUUUCGGCCUUCUUGUCCGCUAAGUAUUUGGGGCAGUUCCGCUUCCAGUGACCCUUCCCUUUGCAAUAAAAGCACUCAGUCUCAGGCUUGGGUCCAUUCUUUGACUUCUUCCCGGCAACUGGCCUACCGGGUGCGGCAACAUCCUUGUCGUCCUUCUUGAAGUUCUUCUUACCCUUCCCUUCUUGAACUUGGUGGUUUUAUUGACCAUCAACACUUGAUGUUCUUUCUUGAUUUCUACUUCUGUUGACUUUAGCAUUGAAAAUACUUCAGGAAUAGUUUUCACCAUCCCCUGCAUAUUGUAGUUCAUCACAAAGCUCUUGUAGCUUGGUGGGAGCGACUGAAGGAUUCUGUCAGUGACCGCCUUGUCCGGGAGGUUGAUGUCCAGCUGGGACAGGCAGUUGUGCAACCCAGACAUUUUGAGUAUGUGCUCACUGACAGAACUAUUUUCCUCCAUCUUACAACUAUAGAACAUGUCGGAGACUUCAUAUCUUUCGACCCGGGCAUGAGCUUGGAAAACCAGUUUCAGCUCCUUGAACAUCUCAUAUGCUCCGUGUUGGUCAAAAUGCUUUUGGAUCCUCGGUUCUAAGCUGUAAAGCAUGCCGCACUGAACGAGGGAGUAAUCAUCAGCACGUGACUGCCAAGCGUUCAUAAUGUCUUGGUUCUCUGGGAUGGGUGCAUCACCUAGUGGUCCUUCUAGGACAUAUGCUUUCUUAGCAGCUAUGAGGAUGAUCCUCAGGUUCUGGACCUAGUCCGUAUAGUUGCUUCCAUCAUCUUUCAGCUUGCUUUCUCUAGGAACGCGUUGAAGUUCAUGUUGACAUGAGCGUUGGCCAUUUGAUCUACAAGACAUUUUUGCAAAGAUUUUAGACUAAGUUCAUGAUAAUUAAGUUCAUCUAAUCAAAUUAUUUAAUGAACUCCCACUCAGAUUUGACAUCCCUCUAGUCAUCUAAGUGUUACACGAUCCGAGUCGACUAGGCCGUGUUCGAUCAUCACGUGAGACAGACUAGUCAUCAUCGGUGAACAUCUCGAUGUUGAUCGUAUCUUCCAUACGACUCAUGUUCGACCUUUCGGUCUCUGUGUUCCGAGGCCAUGUCUGUACAUGCUAGGCUCGUCAAGUUUAACCUAAGUGUUUUGCAUGUGUAAAACUGUCUUACACCCGUUGUAUGUGAACGUAGGAAUCUAUCACACCGGAUCAUCACGUGGUGCUUCGAAAUGACGAACUUUAGCAACGACGCACAGUUAGGGAGAACACUUUCUUGAAAUUAUUAUAAGGGAUCAUCUUAUUUACUACCGUCGUUCUAAGUAAACAAGAUGCAUAAACAUAAUAAACAUCACAUGCAAUUAUAUAGUAGUGACAUGAUAUGGCCAAUAUCAUAUAGCUCCUUUGAUCUCAAUCUUCGGGGCUCCAUGAUCAUCUUUGUCACCGGCAUGACACCAUGAUCUCCAUCAUCAUGAUCUCCAUCAUCGUGUCUCCAUGAAGUUGCUCGCCAACUAUUACUUCUACCACUAUGGCUAACGGUUUAGCAAUAAAGUAAAGUAAUUACAUGGCGUUAAAUCAUUGACACACAGGUCAUACAAUAAUUAAGACAACUCCUAUGGAUCCUGCCGGUUGUCAUAUUCAUCGACAUGCAAGUCGUGAUUCCUAUUACAAGAACAUGAUCUCAUACAUCACAAUAUAUCAUUCAUCAUUCAUCACAACUUUUGGCCAUAUCACAUCACAAGGCAAUUGCUGCAAAAACAAGUUAGACGUCCUCUAAUAGUUGUUGCAUCUUUUACGUCGCUGCAAUAGGGUUCUAGCAAGAACGUUUUCUUACCUACGAAAAAGCCACAACGUGAUUUGUCAACUUCUAUUUACCCUUCAUAAGGACCCUUUUCAUCGAAUCCGCUCCAACUAAAGUGGGAGAAACAGACACCCGCUAGCCACCUUAUGCAAGUAGUGCAUGUCAGUCGGUGAAACCUGUCUCAUGUAAGCGUACGUGUAAGGUCGGUCCGGGCCGCUUCAUCCCACAAUACCCUGAAGCAAAAUAAGACUAGUAGCGGUAAGAAAGUUGACAACAUCUACGCCCACAACAGAUUUGUGUUCUACUCGUGCAAUAGAGAACUACGCAUAGACCUAGCUCAUGAAGCCACUGUUGGGGAACGUUGCAUAAAAUAAAAAAUUUCCAACGUUCACCAAGAUCAAUCUAUGAGUUCAUCUAGCAACAAGAGAGGGAGUGCAUCUACAUACCCUUGUAGAUCGCGAGUGGAAGCGUACAAGAGAAUGGGGUUGAGGGAGUCAUACUCGUCGUGAUCCAAAUCACCGGAGAUUCUAGCGCCGAACGGACGGCACCUCCGCGUUCAACACACGUAUGGUCAGCGUGACGUCUCCUCCUUCUUUAUCCAGCAAGGGGAAAGGAGAGGUUGAUGAAGAUCCGGCAACACGACGGCGUGGUGGUGGAUGCAGCAGAGUUCCGGCAGGGCUUCGCCUAGUGACUACGGGAGGAGGAGGUGUAGAAAGGGGGGAGGGAGGCGCCAAGACUUCAGGGUGCGGCUGCCCUCCCCUCCCCCUCCUUUAUAUAGGCCCCUUGGGGGGGAGCCGGCCCUGGAGAUGGGAUAUCCAAAGGGGGCGGCGGCCAGGGGGGUGGAGUGCCCCCCAAGGCAAGUGGAGGCGCCCCCCCACCCUAGGGUUUCCAACCAUAGGCGCAGAGGGGGGCCAAGGGGGCACACCAGCCCACCAGGGGCUGGUCCCCUCCCCACUUCAGUCCACGGGGCCCUCCAGGAUAGGUGGCCCCACCCGGUGGACCCCCGGGACCCUUCCGGUGGUCCCGAUACAAUACCGGUGACCCCCGAAACUCUCCCGAUGGCCGAAACUGGACUUCCUAUAUAUAAUUUUAUCUUUGGACCAUUCCGGAACUCCUCGUGACGUCCGGGAUCUCAUCCGGGACUCCGAAAAACUUUCGGUUUGCUGCAUACUCAUAUCUCUACAACCCUAGUGUCACCGAACCUUAAGUGUGUAGACCCUACGGGUUCGGGAGACACGUAGACAUGACCGAGACGGCUCUUCGGUCAAUAACCAACAUCGGGAUCUGGAUACCCAUGUUGGCUCCCACAUGCUCCUCGAUGAUCUCAUCGGAUGAACCAUGAUGUCGAGGAUUCAAGCAACCCCGUAUUCAAUUCCCUUUGUCAAUCGAUAUUUUACUUGCCCGAGAUUCGAUCGUCGGUAUCCCAAUACCUCAUUCAAUCUCGUUACCGGCAAGUCACUUUAAUCGUACCAUAAUGCAUGAUCCCGUGACCAGACACUUGGUCACUUUGAGCUCAUUAUGAUGAUGCACUACCGAGUGGGCCCAGAGAUACCUCUCUGUCAUACGGAGUGACAAAUCCCAGUCUCGAUCCGUGUCAACCCAACAGACACUUUCGGAGAUACCUAUAGUGCACCUUUAUAGUCACCCAGUUACGUUAUGACCUUUGGUACACCCAAAGCUAUCAGGACCCCGACUCAAUGCCACAUCGAUCUAGCAUGUAACACCUCAUAUCACUUUGCGGCCUCACGCACGGUAUUCCCACGGGUGUCGUCUUACCUUUGCCCGGGACCGUUUGCACCUUUUGGCACACGUAUAUGAUAGUGUUGCUGGCAUCCAUAUGGUAAGGAGCCCGGGCUGACAUGGCUAGUCGUAAACCCAAAGUGGCACAGACUUACAGGGACAGGCAUCCAUGACCCAGCAUCGAACGUGUCGGUCAUCAGCAAGUGAAUCCGGGCUUUAGCACCGGGCUAGCAGGACUCCGGUAAACCGUGCUGCAGCGGGCUAACAGGACUCCGGUAUUCAUCGCAUGACAUUUCGCCGAAGGGACAGACACAGGAACGAAGAAGGCACAUGCCGGCCAGCCUAAGUGUUCCGGAGCAGUAGCAAGCUACCAUGGCUCAGUGGAAGCACUAGGAGACAUUUCCCGGUAAGAGAGGCUACUAAGGAUAAACAACUAGAUAGUCAGAUCCCACACAUACCAAGCAUUUCAAUCAUACACACAAUAUGCUCGAUAUGUGCAAAUACAACAAGGCAUCACAACAUGACUCUACAACACAAGUACUUUAUUUAAAGGCUCAGAGAGCCAUACAUAGUAUACACACAAGUACGGGUCACAUGACCCACAUUCAAGUAAUACAAGCAUACAAGCCAACAGCGGAAGUAACUUGUCUGAGUAGAGACAACUAGUAAAAUAAAAGAGGCCUGGGUAAGCCUAGCUAUACUACAUGGUCCUUCACAAGCUCAGGAUCACCACCUGGGCCUCAGUCUACUCAUCGAUGUCAACGUCUACGAAGAACCUGUCAGAAGGGGUUGUAGCAUCUUCUGUAAAAUGUAAAUUAGAGCAACAUGAGUACAAAGGUACUCAGCAAGACUUACAUCAGAUCCUACAUACAUGCACAUUAUCAAGAAGGGUUGGUGGGGUUAUUGCAGCAAGCCAGCUUCGACUCUUGGCUAAGCUAUCCUAUGAGACUCCAACUUGAAAUGGUUUUGCACACACGAGUCCACUACUCACCACUUCAAUACACAACCGAGGAUUCACCUCCGUCUUCCUACGGAAGAGCCAUCCUCGGCACUCACAAUUAUCUUGAGGCUUUUAGUAGUUUCCAUUUACUUGUCUAUGAACUGUUAUAGGCAACACAGAAGUCCUUUACCGCGGACACGGCUAUUCGAAUAGAUCAUUUAUAACCCUGCAGGGGUGUACUUCUUCAUACAUGUUUCCACCACUUAGCAUCUGCACACGACAUGUGCUCGGCAGACUUCAAGCGAAAGCGAAAGCCUAAACACUCAAGUCUCUAGUCCAGGUUUAUCGCCUAUUCAGGUUCCAUCCGCAGGGAGUCCGUCCGAGGUUUCCACAUACGGCCCCGAACGAUGUGUAUAGGGUUCCGUGACACCAAACAGGCGCCCGGUAUACCCGGCCACGUGCCUACCGCAUCACAGCCCACCCCUUCGAUCAGCGUUGCGCACGACCUCCAGCAUACUACAAACACCAGAAACUACUUGCAACUCCUGGACAGAGGACAAGGGUGAUUAAGAAGUCGAGCAGGGUCAUAUUUCAGGGCCCAAUGCAUGGUAGUAGCUGAACCAUGGAUCACAAACACAGAACUCAGUUCCUGAGGACGGCUUCAAUGAGACAAUCCACCAUGUACUCCUACAUGGCCUCUCAUAGCUACCUUUACCAAAUCCUGUUCACACACUUAGCUCACACUCAGUAGAAUAUGUUCACGCACCUCUGAUUCAUCCCCGAUGAAUCAGACCUGACUCAACUCUAAGCAAUAGCAGGCAUGACAAACAAACAUGAAUGAGUAGGCACAACAGGGCUCAAACAACUCCUACUCAUGCUAGUGGGUUUCAUCUAUUUACUGUGGCAAUGAUAGGUCCUGCAGAGGAUAAAGGGGUUCAGCUACCGCAGCAAGUAACAGAUGAAUCAUUGCUGUCCUAAUGCAGUAAAAGAGAGCAGGAGCGAGAGAGUAGGAUUGUAUCGAAAUGAACAAGGGGGUUUUGCUUGCCUGGCACUUCUGAAGAUAGUAUACUUCUUCAUCGGUGUCAGCGAUCACAACGUCGGUACAACGUCUACCGAGGGGGAACAACACUGGCAAACAGAGAAGAAACACGAUCAAUGCAAUGCACAAUAUGAUGCCUGCUAUGACAUGGCAAUAUGAAUGUGUUUUGGGCUAAUGCAAGCUAGAACAGAUUGAGAUGAGUCCAUUUGAACCAAAGAUUCAAAUGCAAACCCAUUUUAAGAGGUCAUAAUAGUGUAUUAACUUGUUUCACCUAAACAGCAAGGUUAAUGUGUUCUAACAUGCAUGAAACCAGUGCAGAUGGAUAGAUUGGAUUUUUUUGAUCAUUUUUCAUAUAUAAAUUAUUUCAUUCUAAGUUACGGUUAAAUUUCUAUGAAUUUUAGAAGUUUAGAGCAUUUUCUGGAAUUUCCUGUAUAAAAAUAAAUCUAGAAAAUACUUAUUGCGUCAGCAUUGCGUCACUCUGACGUCAGCAGUCAACGAGGCCGGUCCAGGUCAAACCUGACGUGUGGGGUCCACACAUCAGUGACACGGUUAACCAACAGGGUUAAUUAAAAUUAAACUAAACCUAAUCUAGUUUAGUUAAGGCCUGGGCCCACAUGUCAGAGGCUAACCUAACUAACUAAGUUAAUUACCGCUCAUUAAUCUAUCGCUUAAUUAAGCAGGGGCCUGGCCCACACGUCAAUGAGUCAGGGGGAAGUCAAACCCCGGUCAAACCCGCCGGACCUGGUCCACGGCUCGUCGCCGGCGACGACAGAGACAACGAGGCGGCUCGGGAAUGCUCUACAGGGCACCGUUUUACUCGUGGUUUGCGGCUACGGCUAGCUAGCAAUGCGGCGCAUCUAAUGGAGCGAAUGGGUGGAGCUGGGGUGGCCUGAGCCGACGGCGGCGAGCUCCAAGGCGGCGGCCGGAGUUCGGGCAAUGACGGGUUUGGCGCCACAGUGCAUGGGAGGAGGAGCUGGUGGGCGCUACGGGCUCUUGGGGGUGCACUGGGUGUAGUGACGCGCUCGGUUUGGACGGAGGUGAACUAAAAUGACGACAGCGACAAGUCUGGCACCAGUGAGGUUUCGGUCUCGACGGAAACGAGGGCUACGAUGAGCUAAUGGACAUGUGAGUAGGGGGGUCAGUAAAGGAGCUUACGGCGAGUGCAGAGGUGGCCUCGGCGUGCUCGGGGAAGCACUGGAGCGAGCGGUGCGGCGAGAGGGAUCUCCGGCGGCCGGUGACGAAGAUGAUCAAGAUGGCGUCAAUCCAGGGCCUCCGGCGAUGCGUGGCUAGACGGAGAGGACGAGGGAGGCGUGGCGAUGCUCGUGGACACGUCGGAGAGGCUCGGGGUUGGCUGCGGCUGCGGCUAUGGCGAACGGCGGCGGCGGUGGCGUUCGGUGGUGAGAGGGAGAGAGAGUAGAGGAGGGGGAGGAGCAUGGGGAGAGUGAGAGAGAGCCACAGGGGUUGCGUGUCGACGUCCAUGGCAUCCAGAGGGACGUCGGGAGGCGGUGGAAAGCUGGAGGUGGCCGAGGGGCGUGGGCGUGAAUGGCGGCCACACGCCUCUCAUCCUACUGGCGAGAGGUGGGAGAUGACUGGCAGAUGGGCCUGGUGGGCUGCUACAGUGCCAGGCCGGCCAGGUAAGCGCCAGGUAUUCUCUCUCUCUCUCUCUUUUGUUAAUGUUUUUCUAUUUUUCUGUAACUUCAGGGCUUUAUUAAAAAUGCCAGGGCAUUUCCAAAAAUCAUGAAACUAAUCAUGGCUACUGUUUAGAAUAUAUCCAACAGUAAACAUUUUAGUUUAUGAUUAUUUGAGCAUUUAAAAUAUUUUAUAGCACUUAAAUGCCCAAAUGCAAAUACUAUAGGAUUUAAUUUAGAAAUCCAGAAUGGCCUAGAAAUAUGUGCAUGACAUUUGGCAGAGGUUUUCACCUUUGACCGAAAUCAUGAACUUUUCUAAAGGGCAUUUGGGAUCACUAAAAAUAUUAUUUUUUUGAACCUAGUUGAAUUCAUUUGGUGCUAGGGUUUCAACAAUCCCCAUUUCAAGUUUCAUGAAAUUUAAACAUGAUGCAUGGAUGCAAAGUCACUAGUUACGAGCAAACUCUAGGGCUGUGAUAACUCACCCCCACUAAACAAGAAUCUCGUCUUGAGAUUCAAGACGUGAGGUAAGAAGACAAAGGGGGCACAAAACCAACACAAUCUUCAUGAUCCAGGUUGCACCUCAUAAGGUUGUUGAUUCGUUGCAUACAUUGAUCUUGACAUCCUCGCUUUUGAGAUCUUCAUCCAUGCGAUGACGACGGAAAGGAACUCUACUAGGAUUGAUCUUCUCAAAGACCGAAUUAUACAAUCUCAACUCGCGGAGUGAGAUGUUGAAACACCUUGAGUUGAGACACAAAACACAUCGAGAGGGAUGGAAGAACAAACGACGGGGUUUGAUUUGGUGGGAAACAAUUCCACGCUUAGAAAGAUGGUGGAUGGUGUCAAGGUGGCGAGGAAAUAAUUGCCAUGAUCCCGUAACGGGGCACCUUAGGGAAGGUGACUCGUAGGUUUGUUACCUUAAGUGGCAAAAGGAAUUAUUUUUGAUUCAGAGAUCAUUGAAACUCUUUAUACCAGCCUAAGGCAAUUCACAACAAUCGUUUGGCAGAGUACAAAGGGAUGGCAUACCCGGACUAGAAUGGAUGAUGUGGACUACCUUGUUGAAGACAACGUAAUGAAUGCUUUUUGCUUAUCAUCGGAGGUGGAGGGGACCCAUGGUAGGACCACUUCUAAAGAUGAUCCUGAACAACAAUUGCUGAGAAGGGCAGUCCAAGGAGGAUUGGCACAAGGCGGUGCAAGCUGGGAACGAAAUGCAAAUGUCGGGAAUGUUCCAACCAUCAUAUCUGCCUGAGAUUCAGAUUUGGUUGGUGUUAGGACAUUCCAGACUCAUCAAGUCUAGGAAGAAAAAUGAAAGUUUGCAACACAAAUCGAUGAGAUGACGUCGCGAGAUUCUCGGGAGAUAAACUACGAUAGCAAGCUCCAAAACAUGAGCUGGUUCUGCUAAACAUGUGUGAACACGCUGUCCCAGACAAACAUGACCACAUAGUAGUCUUAAUAUAAAACACUACCGAGUUCAGGUGGGGAACCAUCAUUGCGGAUAACGAAGUCCUUGCAUAAGUCAUGAUUCUUAAGAAGGAGCUUCUUCUCCCUGAACAAAUCAAUCAGUGGCUUGGUGUGCUAGGGAUACGUAAGCAAUGAAGAUGAUCAGUCUAUCAGACCAUAGAAUACUUCGCACAUGCAUGACUGACUUGGGAUGAUCCCGGAGGGAACAAAACUAACUUUCUCAAAUUCACGGCGGCAACUUGCACCUAAUGCGCGUGAACUUGGAGAGAGUCACUUCUUACAUCCAAGCAUAUUCUUCAUGAACGAAACACGAAGAUAAUGCUUAUAUAGUUUCCAAUACUAGCUGAAGGUUCAACACGAAUCAUGGAAGAGAUAAAAAUGUUGCUGAUGGGCUCAACAACAAUUCAUCUAGGUUUCCAUAUAAGUGGAAUUCCACAAUUAUGUGAACAAGGCGAUAGCAUCGGUCAGACCAAAGGAUAUAACGGUGUAUGCCCGAGGAAACAACCACGGGUAAGACAACAUUACGAAUAUCGUUGGUUCUGAUUUGACUUGACAAUAGCCCAUGCUCAAAUCAGAGAUUGGUUACGAUAAUAGAUCCAACAACUGAUCACAGGGACCAAUCGAUGAAGAUAUCAUCUUUCUUCAACAUACAUACAAGAUAUCACUUAACAUGAACUAAGUCGGACAAGCUUUUAUCUUCCAACUCUCCAAGUUGAUGUAUAGCUUAACCAACUAGCUCAGGGGUAUCCAACACGGAUUCUUGGAGAAAGGGUGGUUUACAAGAAUAAACCAACUUGAUCAUGAACUCAACAUAGCGGUCAGGUGACGACCUAGUGAUACUUCCGAGAAGAUAAUCAGAAAAUCAGGAACCACCGGUAUGUUACUAAGCUCGAGAGAAAUCUUGCUUUUCAGGGCAAGACGAUAUGAUCAAAUGAGCAAGGGAUUGACAAAAUCCUAACUCAACGACCGAAGAGUGCACCGGAAAUAGGGACUAGAUAGCACAAUCAACCUUAGGGUGACGAUUCAAUAAUCAACACGCUAAGAAUGAGGUUAGCGUCCAUUUAACUACCAAGCAACGGAGUUGCUAGCAGUAUUGAUUUCACACACCAUGAUUCACUUGUCAGUAUUCCGGUUGCAACAACACGGAACCGAGGAGCGAAUGAUGAUGGCAAGAAGUAUCACUACUUCAAGAAUCCAUAAGGGAAGGUGCAAUUCUCAUGACGUUCCUGACAUAAAGUGGGUAAUACUUCAGGGUAGAACAGAACAAAAGCUGAAUUAGUAUUUGAUCUGCGAUUUACAACUGCUUUGACCCGAUCCUGGAUAUGGAUGAGGUACGGGAGUUUGUUUCUCCUAGUCAUUCUAGAAUAGAAUGGCUUGACAUACCACUAGAGUAAUAGGCAUCAAUGAACGAAUGCACGCAUACUCUUGACUAUCAAUUGAUAGAUGGGGUCGGAAUACAACUAAGGAGGGACAACCCAAACGAACUUACGAUCUUCUGAGUUGUGGAUGCACAUAUUAGUAUGUCGAGCAAAGAUCAACAUUUUUCUUCCGGAUAACCCAUGCGGAGAAGGUAGGACUGGCAGAUUCACAAUAUAGAAUCGAGAACGCAUCAAGAGCACUCUGGUUGUGAUCUUUCGGUUAAACGAGGAACUUCUGCCAUAAGUAGUUCAUGGUAUUUGGAAGAAGGAAAUACCACGGACCUCGAGGACUAAUGCAAAGGUUACUAAUUUCCUAAAGGAACUAGCAAACACUAUCAUCAUGAGUAAGUGGGGUGAAUCUCGGUUCAAGAACCCAGGAAUAGAAUACCUACUACUAAGUGGCAUCACGGGAUGCUUUCGAGAAUAAAGGCCAGAAUUAUCACACCGGGAACAAAUCAUGGCUAGAUUACUAGAUGAUCCCCUAGGACACCUAGGGUCAUAAUAAUAAUUCCAACAUAUAUGUCGAGGCAAUAGAAUACUUCAACUCAGCAAUUAGUGUGAUUAACCUGGCUCAAAGGAACAUCAAAACCAGAGGGAAAUGAUUUGCAAGUGCAUCAGAUUGUUUAGAAACCUGGGAUGACUCGGACAACAUAACGGCUGUAAAUGCUCAAAAGGAAUUUUGAGACAUUUUGCAAAGAGUUGCAUAGACACUCAACAAUAUCAUAUCAAGGUUCUGGGUCCAACUUAGCAACAUAAUAGGGUAGUAGAACUGAACUAGGCUUAUAAUCAUCAAACCAAUAAGGUACUACUGAUUAGUAACACGUGAACCUGAUAGAGAGAAAAGAUCCUAAUCCUUAACCCCCGGUGGAAGAAUGGACUGACUCAGAUCAGAAUGCCAUGAGGUAAAGAAGUAAAAAGAGCCUUACGUACCAUCCCACAAUCAAUUCCCCUACAUAUAACUAAAGCAUUUCUAGACUCAACAUCGACCAGUUUGGCUUGGUAAUCCUACAGGCAGUCAGGCUCUUAUACCAAAGCUGUCAGGUCCUGAACGAUGUGUACAGGGUUCCGUGACACCAAACGGGCGCCCGGUAUACCCGGCCACGUGCCUACCGCAUCACAGCCCACCCCUCCGGUCAGCGUUGCGCACGGCCUCCAGCAUACUACAAACACCAGAAACUACUUGCAACUCCUGGACAGAGGACAAGGGUGAUUAAGAAGUCGAGCGGGGUCAUAUUUCAGGGCCCAAUGCAUGGUAGUAGCUGAAUCAUGGAUCACAAACACAUAACUCAGUUCCUGAGGGCGGCUUCAAUGAGACAACCCACCAUGUACUCCUACAUGGACUCUCACCGCUACCUUUACCAAAUCGUGUUCACACACUUAGCUCACACUCAGUAGAAUAUGUUCACGCACCUCUGAUUCAUCCCCGGUGAAUCCGACUUAACUCAACUCUAAGCAAUAGCAGGCAUGACAAACAAACAUGAAUGAGUAGGCACAACAGGGCUCAAACAACUCCUACUCAUGCUAGUGGGUUUCAUCAAUUUACUAUGGCAAUGACAGGUCAUGCAGAGGAUAAAGGGGUUCAGCUACCGCAGCAAGUAAUAGAUGAAUCGUUGUUGUCCUAAUGCAGUGAAAGAGAACAGGAGCGAUAGAGUAGCAUUGUAUCGGAAUGAACAAGGGGGUUUUGCUUGCCUAGCACUUCUGAAGAUAGUAUACUUCUUCAUCGGUGUCAUCGAUCACAACAUCGGUACAACGUCUACCGAGGGGGAACAACACCGGCAAACAGAGAAGCAACAUGAUCAAUGCAAUGCACAAUAUGAUGCAUGCUAUGACAUGGCAAUAUGAAUGUGUUUUGGGCUAAUGCAAGCUAGAACAGAUUGAGAUGAGUCCAUUUGAACCAAAGAUUCAAAUGCAAACCCAUUUUAAGAGGUCAUAAUAGUGUAUUAACUUGUUUCACCUAAACAGCAAGGUUAAUGUGUUCUAACAUGCAUGAAACCAGUGCAGAUGGAUAGAUUGGAUUUGUUUGAUCAUUUUUCAUAUAUAAAUUAUUUCAUUCUGAGUUACGGUUAAAUUUCUAUGAAUUUUAGAAGUUUAGAGCAUUUUCUGGAAUUUCCUGUAUAAAAAUAAAUCCAGAAAAUACUUAUUGCGUCAGCAUUGCAUCGCUCUGACGUCAACAGUGAACGAGGCCAGUCCAGGUCAAACCUGACGUGUGGGGUCCACACGUCAGUGACACGGUUAACCAACAGGGUUAAUUAAAAUUAAACUAAACCUAAUCUAGUUUAGUUAAGGCCUGGGCCAACAUGUCAGAGGCUAACCUAACUAAGUUAAUUACAGCUAAUUAAUCUAUCGCUUAAUUAAGCAGGGGCCUGGCCCACACGUCAGUGAGUCAGGGGGAAGUCAAACCCCGGUCAAACGGGGUCAAACCCGCCGGACCUGGUCCACGGCUCAUCGCCGGCGACGACAGAGACGAUGGGGCGGCUCGUGAAUGCUCUACAGGGCACCGUUUUACUCAUGGUUUGUGGCUACGGCUAGCUAGCAAUGCGGCGCAUCUAAUUGAGCGAACGGGAGGAGCUAGGGUGUCCUGAGCCGACGGCGGCGAGCUCCAAGGCGGCGGCCGGAGUUCGGGCAACGACGGGUUCGGUGCCAUAGUGCAUGGGAGGAGGAGCCGGUGGGCGCUACGGGCUCCUGGGGGUGCACUGGGUGUAGUGACGCGCUCGGUUUGGACGGAGGCGAACUAAAAUGACGACGGCAACAAGUCCGGCGCCGGUGAGGUUUCGGUCUCGACGGAAACGAGGGCUACGAUGAGCUAAUGGACAUGUGAGUAGGGGGGUUAGUAGAGGAGCUUACGACGAGUGCAUAGGUGGCCUAGGCGUGCUCGGGGAAGCACCGGAGCGAGCGGUGCAGCGAGAGGGAUCUCCGGCAGCCGGCGACGAAGAUGAUGAAGAUGGCGUCGAUCCAGGGCCUCCGGCGAUGCGUUGCUGUGCGGAGAGGACUAGGGAGGCGUGGCGAUGCUCGUGGACACGUCGGAGAGGCUCGGAGUUGGCUGCGGCUGCGGCUAUGGCGAACGGCGGCGGCGGUGGCGUUCGGUGGUGAGAGGGAGAGAGAGUAGAGGAGGGGGAGGAGCAUGGGGAGAGUGAGAGAGAGCCACAGGGGUUGCGUGUCGACGUCCAGGGCAUCCAGAGCGACGUCGGGAGGCGGUGGAAAGCUGGAGGUGGCCGAGGCGCGUGGGCGUGAAUGGCGGCCACACGCCUCUCGUCCUACUGGCGAGAGGUGGGAGAUGACUGGCAGAUGGGCCUGGUGGGCUGCUACAGUGCCAGGCCGGCCAGGUAAGCGCCAGAUAUUCUCUCUCUCUCUUUUGUUAAUGUUUUUUUAUUUUUCUGUAACUUCAGGGCUUUAUUAAGAAUGCCAGGGCAUUUCCAAAAAUCAUGAAACUAAUCAUGGCUACUGUUUAGAAUAUAUCCAACAGUAAACAUUUUAGUUUAUGAUUAUUUGAGCAUUUAAAAUAUUUUAUAGCACUUAAAUGCCCAAAUGCAAAUACUAUAGGAUUUAAUUUAGAAAUCCAGAAUGGCCUAGAAAUAUGUGCAUGACAUUUGGCAGAGGUUUUCACCGUUGACAGAAAUCAUGAAAUUUUCUAAAGGGCAUUUGGGAUCACUGAAAAUAUAUAUUUUUUGAACCUAGUUGAAUUCAUUUGGUGCUAGGGUUUCAACAAUCCCCAUUUCAAGUUUCAUGAAAUUUAAACAUGAUGCAUGGAUGCAAAGCCACUAGUUACAAGCAAACUCUGGGGCUAUGACAAAAGCACUCCUACGGUAUCGGUAUCCGGGAGUUACACGAUCUCAUGGUCUAAGGAGAAGAUACUUGACACUGGAAAAGCUCUAGCAAACGAACUACACGAUCUUGUGCUAUGCUUAGGAUUGGGUCUUGUCCAUCACAUCAUUUUCCUAAUGAUGUGAUCCCGUUAUCAACGACAUCUAAUGUCCAUAGUCAGGAAACCAUGACUAUCUGUUGAUCAACGAGCUAGUCAACUAGAGGCUCACUAGGGACAUAUUAUGGUCUAUGUAUUCACACGUGUAUUACGAUUUCCGGAUAAUACAAUUAUAGCAUGAAUAAAGACAAUUAUCAUGAACAAGGAAAUAUAAUAAUAAUCCUUUUAUUAUUGCCUCUAGGGCAUAUUUCCAACAACAUAUUCUACGAAGAUCUUUAUCGGUCAAACCACAUAACAACAUAGGUUCUUCCCUUUGUCAUCGGUAUGUUACUUGCCUGAGAUUCGAUCGUCGGUAUCUCAAUACCUAGUUCAAUCUCGUUACCGGCAAGUAUGUUUACUCAUUCCAUAAUGCAUGAUCCCGCAACUAACUCAUUAGUCACAUUGCUUGCAAGGCUUAUAGUGAUGUGCAUUACCGAGAGGGCCCAGUGAUACCUCUCCGACAAUCGGAGUGACAAAUCCUAACCUCGAUCUAUGCCAACUCAACAAGUACCAUCGGAGACACCUGUAGAGCACCUUUAUAAUCCCCCAGUUACGUUGUGACGUUUGGUAGCACACAAAGUGUUCCUCUGGUAUUUGGGAGUUGCAUAAUCUCAUAGUCAUAGGAACACGUAUAAGUCAUGAAGAAAGCAAUAGCAACAAACUAAACGAUCAAGUGCUAAGCUAACGAAAUGGGUCAAGUCAAUCACAUCAUUCUCUAAUGAUGUGAUCCCGUUAAUCAAAUGACAACUGUCUAUGGUUAGGAAACACAACCAUCUUUGAUUCAACGAGCUAGUCAAGUAGAGGCAUACUAGUGACACUUUGUUUGUCUAUGUAUUCACACAUGUACUAAGUUUCCGGUUAGUACUAUUCUAGCAUGAAUAAUAAACAUUUAUCAUGAUAUAUGGAAAUAUAAAUAACAACUUUAUUAUUGCCUCUAGGGCAUAUUUCCUUCAAAAUUUAGAGAUGACAAACAAAGCUUAAGUAGCAUCUGUUCUACUUGAUUGUAGAAAUUUCUUUUACCUGUAGAAUAACUCGGUUGUUAUUUCUUUAAACAUGAAGUGUGAUAUUAACUUAUCUCAAUCUAGGAACACAAAGCAAAUAUUACAUGUGCUUCUAUGGACUCCAAGCAGAUGAGAAAUCAUUUUGUCUAGAAGUUCCUUAGAAGGAUAUAAUAGUUUUGACCUAAACAAAUUUACUAUUGUACUCGUGUCUUACAAAGUUAAAGCUGAAAAUCAACAUAACCAUUGGACCCUUUGAAAGACAAGUGUAGGAAAUAAAUAGUAGGAUAUAAAUUUGAGCAGAAUGUUUGAUCAAAUACUGAACAAAUAACCCAGCAAACUACUAAAACUCGUCUAUUCUACCUUAUAUGAACUGUCACGAUGAUAAAGCUAUGAUUUUUUUUGGCAAAUAAGUAUCCUAGAACUAAUACAAGUUCAAACAAAUCAGCCACAGAUCCCCGAGCCCAUCCAACCAGAUAGCUGAAACUGAAAGAAGCAUUAGCUCGAUUAGAGCACCUACAGCGGAACUUGACAAAUUUGACCCCUGAAACGCCCGCGGACACGCGUGUUAGUAGACAUAAACCAAUCUUUAAGCAGAGCACGUCCGGCAGUCGGAUGCUCCCCAAAGUGUUGGUCCAGUCGCCGGCAAGGUAGAGUAGGGCAUGGGAUACAAGGCGGCUCACGGGACUCGAGGCGCCACCGUCCCCCAUUCCCAACUCUUCUCAGUCGGAACCCGGACAGUGCCGGUGGACGUCAGAUCGAUGAUGGAUCCUUCCUGGGACGAGCCAGCAACAUCCACCACCACGUGGUUGUGCAGCCCGAACUAGUGCACAAUAUGGGGAGCCGGAAAAUACGACUCCGCCUCCGCAACGCCCACCACCGCGAGGGCUGUCGCUGCCUCCCGCACCCGCUGCAUUGCAUGGCAGGAGCGCCGAACUAUGUUUUGCAUCGGGCGACGCCCAUGGUGCGUCCAUGGCCUCAGUGCGCCAAUGGAGGGGCUGCGCGUCCGCCACCCAUUCAAACGCCAGAUGGACCGCACCACCUUUGUGUUGGAAAUAUGCCCUAGAGGAAAUAAUAAAAGGAUUAUUAUUGUAUUUCCUUGUUCAUGAUAAUUAUCUUUAUUCAUGCUAUAAUUGUAUUAUCCAGAAAUCGUAAUAGACGUGUGAAUACAUAGACCAUAAUAUGUCCCUAGUGAGCCUCUAGUUGACUAGCUCGUUGAUCAACAGAUAGUCAUGGUUUCCUGACUAUGGACAUUAGAUGUCGUUGAUAAUGGGAUCACAUCAUUAAGAUAAUGAUGUGAUGGACAAGACCCAAUCCUAAGCAUAGCACAAGAUCGUGUAGUUCGUUUGCUAGAGCUUUUCCAAUGUCAAGUAUCUUCUCCUUAGACCAUGAGAUCGUGUAACUCCCGGAUACCGUAGGAGUCCUUUGGGUGUACCAAACGUCACAACGUAACUGGGUGACUAUAAAGGUGCACUACAGGUAUCUCCGAAAGUGUUUGUUGGGUUGACACCGAUCGAGACUGGGAUUUGUCACUCCGUAUGACGGAGAGGUAUCGCUGGGCCCACUCGGUAGUGCAUCAUCAUAAUGAGCUCAAAGUGACCAAGUGUCUGGUCACGGGAUCAUGCAUUACGGUACGAGUAAAGUGAAUUGCCGGUAACGAGAUUGAACGAGGUAUUGGGAUACCGACGAUCGAAUCUCGGGCAAUUAAAAUACCGAUUGACAAAGGGAAUUGAAUACGUGGUUGCUUGAAUCCUCGACAUCGUGGUUCAUCCGAUGAGAUCAUCGAGGAGCAUGUGGGAGCCAACAUGGGUAUCCAGAUCCCGCCGUUGGUUAUUGACUGGAGAGCCGUCUCAGUCAUGUCUACGUGUCUCCCGAAUCCGUAGGGUCUACACACUUAAGGUUCGGUGACGCUAGGGUUGUAGAGAUAUGAGUAUGCAGCAAACCGAAAGUUGUUCGGAGUCCCGGAUGAGAUCCCGGACAUCACGAGGAGUUCCGAAUGGUCCGGAGAUAAAGAAUUAUAUAUAGGAAGUGCAUUUUCAGCGAUCGGGAGAGUUUCGGGGGUCACCGGUAUUGUACCGGGACCACCGGAAGGGUCCCGGGGGUCCACUGGGUGGGGCCACCUAUCCCGGAGGGCCCCGUGGGCUGAAGUGGGGAGGGGACCAGCCCAUAGUGGGCUGGUGCGACCCCCUUGCCCCACCUACGCCUAGGGUUGGAAACCCUAGGGUGGGGGGCGCCUCCACUUGCCUUGGGGGGCACUCCACCCCCCUGGCCGCCGCCCCCUUGGGAGAUCCCAUCUCCAGGGCCGGCGCCCCCCCAGGGGGCCUAUAUAAAGGAGGGGGAGGGGAGGGCAGCCGCACCCUGAAGUCUUGGCGCCUCCCUCCCCCCUUGCUACACCUCCUCCUCCCGUAGUCGCUUGGCGAAGCCCUGCCGGAACUCUGCUGUAUCCACCACCACGCCGUCGUGCUGCUGGAUCUUCAUCAACCUCUCCUUCCCCCUUGCUGGAUCAAGAAGGAGGAGACGUCACGCUGACCGUACGUGCGUUGAACGCGGAGGUGCCGUCCGUUCGACGCUAGGAUCUCUGGUGAUUUGGAUCACGACGAGUACGACUCCCUCAACCCCGUUCUCUUGAACGCUUCCGCUCGCGAUCUACAAGGGUAUGUAGAUGCACUCCCCUCUCUCGUUGCUAGAUGAACUCAUAGAUUGAUCUUGGUGAACGUAGGAAAUUUUUUAUUUUAUGCAACGUUCCCCAACAGUGGCAUCAUGAGCUAGGUCUAUGCGUAGUUCUCUAUUGCACGAGUAGAACACAAAUCUGUUGUGGGCGUAGAUGUUGUCAACUUUCUUGCCACUACUAGUCUUAUUUUGCUUCAGCGGUAUUGUGGGAUGAAGUGGCCCGGACCGACCUUACACGUACGCUUACGUGACACAGGUUCCACCGACUGACAUGCACUAGUUGCAUAAGGUGGCUAGCGGGUGUCUGUCUCUCCCACUUUAGUUGGAGCGGAUUCGAUGAAAAGGGUCCUUAUGAAGGGUAAAUAGAAGUUGACAACUCACGUUGUGGCUUUUUUGUUGGUAAGAAAACAUUCUUGCUAGAACCCUAUUGCAGCCACGUAAAAGAUGCAACAACAAUUAGAGGACGUCUAACUUGUUUUUGAAGCAAUUGCCUUGUGAUGUGAUAUGGCCAAAAGUUGUGAUGAAUGAUGAAUGAUAUAUUGUGAUGUAUGAGAUCAUGUUCUUGUAAUAGGAAUCACGACUUGCAUGUCGAUGAGUAUGAAAACCGGCAGGAGCCAUAGGAGUGGUCUUAAUUAUUGUAUGACCUGCGUGUCAAUGAUUUAACGCCAUGUAAUUACUUUACUUUAUUGCUAAACCGUUAGCCAUAGUAGUAGAAGUAAUAGUUGGCGAGCAACUUCAUGGAGGCACGAUGAUGGAGAUCAUGAUGAUGGAGAUCAUGGUGUCAUGCCGGUGACAAAGAUGAUCAUGGAGCCCCGAAGAUGGAGAUCAAAGGAGCUAUAUGAUAUUGGCCAUAUCAUGUCACUACUAUAUAAUUGCAUGUGAUGUUUAUUAUGUUUAUGCAUCUUCUUUACUUAGAACGACUGUAGUAAAUAAGAUGAUCCCUUAUAAUAAUUUCAAGAAAGUGUUCUCCCUAACUGUGCGUCGUUGCUAAAGUUCGUCGUUUCGAAGCACCACGUGAUGAUCGGGUGUGAUAGAUUCCUACGUUCACAUACAACGGGUGUAAGACAGUUUUACACAUGCAAAACACUUAGGUUAAACUUGACGAGCCUAGCAUGUAUAUACAUGGCCUCAGAACACAGAGACCGAAAGGUCGAACAUGAGUCAUAUGGAAGAUACGAUCAACAUGGAGAUGUUCACCAAUGAUGACUAGUCCGUCUCACGUGAUGAUCGGACACGUCCUAGUCGACUCGGAUCGUGUAACACUUAGAUGACUAGAGGGAUGUCAAAUCUGAGUGGGAGUUCACUAAAUUAGAUGAACUUAAUUAUCAUGAACUUAGUCUAAAAUCUUUGCAAAAAUGUCUUGUAGAUCAAAUGGCCAACGCUCAUGUCAACAUGAACUUCAACGAGUUCCUAGAGAAAACCAAGCUGAAAGAUGAUGGCAGCAACUAUAUGGACUGGGUCCAGAACCUGAGGAUCAUCCUCAUAGCUUCCAAGAAAGCAUAUGUCCUAGAAGGACCACUAGGUGAUGCACCCAUCCCAGAGAACCAAGAUGUUAUGAACGCUUGGCAGUCACGUGCUGAUGAUUACUCCCUCGUUCAGUGCGGCAUGCUUUACAGCUUAGAACCGGGUCUCCAAAAGCGUUUUGAGAAACACGGAGCAUAUGAAAUGUUCGAGGAGCUGAAAAUGGUUUUCCAAGCUCAUGCCCGGGUCGAGAGAUAUGAAGUCUCCGACAUGUUCUAUAGUUGUAAGAUGGAGGAAAAUAGUUCUGUCAGUGAGCACAUACUCAAAAUGUCUGGGUUGCACAACUGCCUAACCCAGCUGGACAUCAACCUCCCGGACGAGGCGGUCAUUGACAGAAUCCUUCAGUCGCUCCCACCAAGCUACAAGAGAUUUGUGAUGAACUACAAUAUGCAGGGGAUGGUGAAAACUAUUCCUGAAGUAUUUUCAAUACUGAAGUCUGCAGAGGUAGAAAUCAAGAAAGAACAUCAAGUGUUGAUGGUCAAUAAAACCACCAAGUUCAAGAAGGGCAAGGGUAAGAAAAACUUCAAGACGGACGGCAAGGAUGUUGCCGCACCCGGUAGGCCAGUUGCCGGGAAGAAGUCAAAGAAUGGACCCAAGCCUGAGACUGAGUGCUUUUAUUGCAAAAGGAAGGGUCACUGGAAGCGGAACUGCCCCAAAUAGUUAGCGGACAAGAAGGCCGGCAACACUAAAGGUAUAUGUGAUAUACAUGUAAUUGAUGUGUACCUUACCAGUACUCGUAGUAACUCCUGGGUAUUUGAUACCGGUGCCGUUGCUCAUAUUUGUAACUCACAGUAGGAGCUGCGGAAUAAGCGGAGACUGGCGAAGGACGAGGUGACGAUGCGCGUCGGGAAUGGUUCCAAGGUCGAUGUGAUUGCCGUCGGCACGCUGCCUCUACAUUUACCCACGGGAUUAGUUUUAAACCUCAAUAAUUGUUAUUUAGUGCCAAGUUUGAGCAUGAACAUUGUAUCUGGAUCUCGUUUAAUACGAGAUGGCUACUCAUUUAAAUCCGAGAAUAAUGGUUGUUCUAUUUAUAUGAGAGAUAUGUUUUAUGGUCAUGCCCCGAUGGUCAAUGGUUUAUUCUUAAUGAAUCUCGAACGUAAUGUUACACAUAUUCAUAGUGUGAAUACCAAAAGAUGUAAAGUUGAUAACGAUAGUCCCACAUACUUGUGGCACUGCCGCCUUGGUCAUAUUGGUGUCAAGCGCAUGAAGAAGCUCCAUGAUGAUGGACUUUUAGAGUCUGUCGAUUAUGAAUCAUUUGACACAUGCGAACCAUGCCUCAUGGGCAAAAUGACCAAGACUCCGUUCUCCGGAACAAUGGAGCGAGCAACCAACUUAUUGGAAAUCAUACAUACUGAUGUGUGUGGUCCAAUGAGCGUUGAGGCUCGCGGAGGAUAUCAUUAUGUUCUCACUCUCACUGAUGACUUGAGUAGAUAUGGGUAUGUCUACUUGAUGAAACACAAGUCUGAGACCUUUGAAAAGUUCAAGGAAUUUCAGAAUGAGGUAGAGAAUCAACAUGACCGAAAGAUAAAGUUCCUACGAUCAGAUCGUGGAGGAGAAUAUUUAAGUCACGAAUUUGGUACGCACUUAAGGAAAUGUGGAAUCAUUCCACAACUCACGCCGCCUGGAACACCUCAGCGUAACGGUGUGUCCGAAUGUCGUAAUCGCACUCUAUUGGAUAUGGUGCGAUCUAUGAUGUCUCCUACCGAUUUACUGCUAUCAUUUUGGGGAUACGCUCUAGAGACAGCUACAUUCACUUUAAACAGGGCUCCGUCUAAAUCCGUUGAGACGACACCGUAUGAAUUAUGGUUUGGGAAGAAACCUAAGCUAUCGUCUCUAAAAGUUUGGGGAUGCGAUGCUUAUGUCAAGAAACUUCAACCUGAAAAGCUCGAACCCAAGUCGGAAAAAUGCGUCUUCAUAGGAUACCCUAAGGAAACCAUUGGGUAUACCUUCUACUUAAGAUCCGAGGGCAAGAUCUUUGUAGCCAAGAACGGAUCCUUUCUGGAAAAAGAGUUUCUCUCGAAAGGAGUAAGUGGGAGGAAAGUAGAACUCGAUGAAGUAGUACCUCUUGAACCGGAAAGUAGUGGAGCUCAGGAAAAUGUUCCUGUGGUGCCUACACCGACUAGAGAGGAAAUUAAUGAUGAUGAUCACAGUACUUUGGAUCAAGUUGCUACUGAACUUCGUAGGUCCACAGGGACACAUUCCAAACCAGAGUGGUAUGGCAACCCUGUCCUGGAAAUCAUGUUUUUAGACAACGGUGAACCUUCGAACUAUGAAGAAGCGAUGGCGGGCCCAGAUUCCAACAAAUGGCUUGAAGGCAUGCAAUCCGAGAUAGAAUCCAUGUAUGAAAACAAAGUAUGGACUUUGACAGACUUGCCCGAUGAUCAGCGAGCGAUAGGAAACAAAUGGAUCUUUAAGAAGAAGACAGACGCGGAUGGUAAUGUUACCAUCUAUAAAGCUCGACUUGUCGCUAAGGGUUAUCGGCAAGUUCAAGGGGUUGACUACGAUGAAACUUUCUCUCCCGUAGCAAAGCUGAAGUCCGUCUGAAUCAUGUUAGCAAUUGUCGCAUACUAUGAUUAUGAGUUAUGGAAGAUGGACGACAAAACGGCAUUCCUUAACGGGCAUCUUAAGGAAGAACUGUAUAUGAUGCAGCCGGAGGGUUUUGUCGAUCCUAAGAAUGAUAAUAAGGUAUGCAAGCUCCAGCAAUCCAUUUAUGGGCUGGUGCAAGCAUCUCGGAGUUGGAACAUUCGCUUUGAUGAGAUUUUCAAAGCGUUUGGGUUUAUGAAGACUUAUGGAGAAGCCUGCGUUUACAAGAAAGUGAGUGGGAGCUCUGUAGCAUUUCUCAUAUUAUAUGUAGAUGACAUACUUUUGAUGGGAAAUGAUAUAAAACUUUUGGACAGCAUUAAGGCCUACUUGAAUAAGUGUUUUUCAAUGAAGGACCUUGGAGAAGCUGCUUACAUAUUAGGCAUCAAGAUCUAUAGGGAUAGAUCGAGACGCCUCAUAGGUCUUUCACAAAGCACAUACCUUAAUAAAAUAUUGAAGAAGUUUAAAAUGGAUCAGUCCAAGAAAGGGUUCUUGCCUGUAUUGCAAGGUGUGAAGUUGAGCUUGGCUCAAUGCCCGACCACGGCAGAAGAUAAAGAAGAGAUGAGUGUCAUCCCCUAUGCCUCAACCAUAGGAUCUAUUAUGUAUGCCAUGUUGUGCACCAGACCUGAUGUAAACCUUGCCGUAAGUUUGGUAGGAAGGUACCAAAGUAAUCCCGGCAAGGAACACUGGACAGCGGUCAAGAAUAUCCCGAAGUACCACAAAAGGACAAAGGACAUGUUUCUCGUUUAUGGAGGUGACAAAGAGCUCGUCGUAAAGGGUUACGUCGAUGCUAGCUUCGACACAGAUCUGGAUGACUCUAAGUCACAAACCGGAUACGUGUAUAUGUUGAAUCGUGGAGCAGUAAGCUGGUGCAGUUGCAAGCAGAGCGUCGUGGCGGGAUCUACAUGUGAAGCGGAGUACAUGGCAGCCUCGGAGGUAGCGCAUGAAGCAAUAUGGAUGAAGGAGUUCAUCACCGACCUAGGAGUCAUACCCAAUGCGUCGGGGCCAAUCACUCUCUUCUGUGACAACACUGGAGCUAUUGCCCUUGCCAAGGAGCCCAGGUUUCACAAGAAGACCAGGCACAUCAAGCGUCGUUUCAACUCCAUUCGUGAAAAUGUUCAAGAUGGAUACAUAGAUAUUUGCAAAGUACAUACGGAUCUGAAUAUCGCAGAUCCGUUGACUAAACCUCUUCUGCGAGCAAAACAUGAUCAACACCAGAACUCUAUGGGUGUUCGAUUCAUCACAAUGUAACUAGAUUAUUGACUAUAGUGCAAGUGGGAGACUGUUGGAAAUAUGCCCUAGAGGCAAUAAUAAAAGGAUUAUUAUUAUAUUUCCUUGUUCAUGAUAAUUGUCUUUAUUCAUGCUAUAAUUGUAUUAUCCGGAAAUCGUAAUACACGUGUGAAUACAUAGACCAUAAUAUGUCCCUAGUGAGCCUCUACUUGACUAGCUCGUUGAUCAACAUAUAGUCAUGGUUUCCUGACUAUGGACAUUAGAUGUCGUUGAUAAUGGGAUCACAUCAUUAGGAGAAUGAUGUGAUGGACAAGACCCAAUCCUAAGCAUAGCACAAGAUCGUGUAGUUCGUUUGCUAGAGCUUUUCCAAUGUCAAGUAUCUUCUCCUUAGACCAUGAGAUCGUGUAACUCCCGGAUACCGUAGGAGUGCUUUGGGUGUACCAAACGUCACAACGUAACUGGGUGACUAUAAAGGUGCACUACAGGUAUCUCCGAAAGUGUAUGUUGGGUUGACACGGAUCGAGACUGGGAUUUGUCACUCCGUAUGACGUAGAGGUAUCUCUGGGUCCACUCGGUAGUGCAUCAUCAUAAUGAGCUCAAAGUGACCAAGUGUCUGGUCACGGGAUCAUGCAUUACGGUACGAGUAAAGCGACUUGCCGGUAAAGAGAUUGAACAAGGAAUUGGGAUACCGAUGAUCGAAUCUCGGGCAAGUAAAAUACCGAUUGACAAAGGGAAUUGAAUACGGGGUUGCCUGAAUCCUCGACAUCGUGGUUCAUCCGAUGAGAUCAUCGAGGAGCAUGUGGGAGCCAACAUGGGUAUCUAGAUCCCGCUGUUGGUUAUUGACCGGAGAGCCAUCUCGGUCAUGUCUACGUGUCUCCCGAACCCGUAGGGUCUACACACUUAAGGUUCGGUGACGCUAGGGUUGUAUAGAUAUGAGUAUGCAGCAAACUGAAAGUUGUUCGGAGUCCCGGAUGAGAUCCCGGACGUCACGAGGGGUUCCGGAAUGGUCCGGAGAUAAAGAAUUAUAUAUAGGAAGUGCAGUUUCGGCCAUCGGGAGAGUUUCGGGGGUCACCGGUAUUGUACCGGGACCACCGGAAGGGUCCCUGGGGUCCACCGGGUGGGGCCACCAAUCCCGGAGGGCCCCGUGGGCUGAAGUGGGGAGGGGACCAGCCCCUGGUGGGCUGGUGCGCCCCCCUUGGGCCCCCCCUCCCGCGCCUAGGGUUGGAAACCCUAGGGUGGGGGGGGCGCCUCCACUUGCCUUGGAGGGCACUCCACCCCCUGGCCGCCGUCCCCUUGGGAGAUCCCAUCUCUAGGGCCGGCUCCCCCCCAGGGGUCCUAUAUAAAGGAGGGGGAGGGGAGGGCAGCCGCACCCUGAAGUCUUGGCGCCUCCCUCCCCCCUUGCUACACCUCCUCCUCCCGUAGUCGCUUGGCGAAGCCCUGCCGGAACUCUGCUGCAUCCACCACCACGUCGUCGUGCUGCUGGAUCUUCAUCAACCUCUCCUCCCCCCUUGCUGGAUCAAGAAGGAGGAGACGUCACACUGACCGUACGUGUGUUGAACGCGGAGGUGCCGUCCGUUCGGCGCUAGGAUCUCCGGUGAUUUGGAUCAUGACGAGUACGACUCCCUCAACCCCAUUCUCUUAAACGCUUCCGCUCGCGAUCUACAAGGGUAUGUAGAUGCACUCCCCUCUCUUGUUGCUAGAUGAACUCAUAGAUUGAUCUUGGUGAACGUAGGAAAUUUUUAUUUUAUGCAACGUUCCCCAACACUUUGGUGAGGCGGUGAUGGUACACCUAGCGCCGGAUCCAUGCAUCAUUUGGGCGGACGCAUUGGAUUCCCCGCGGAAGGAGUUCGAGUGUUGCCGUUGCCAUCGGGCAGCCUCCUCCCGGGAGCGGUGGAGCGCAAGCUGGAUGGCCAGCUCCUCCUAGGAGCCGCGUGGGAUGAGUUCGGGGUUGACGGAUCUGGAGGUGUAACACUGGGAUCCGCCUCCUGCCAUGCCGAAGAAGGCCAUAAGAUCGUCGAACGGGAGCUUGGGUGGCGGCAUAGAGUGGAGUAAAGUGGCUAGGGUUUGGUCCGGCAAGCGGAUGGGGAGGAAUAUAUGUGGGGUCGGGUGGGCCAGCGUGGACCGGGACCGACAUGGCGGACGCGCCUGGGCGCCGCAUAUUCUUCCUAGAUUUGGGCUGGAUAUCAGGGGUGCUGGUUAGCUUGGGCGUUUGAGGCCCAUCUGGAUAGUUUUUCUGUGACCUGACCGUUCGUCCGGGCGUUUGAGGUGGGUUUGGGACGCCCAGGUGUAAAUGCUCUUAGACCAUGUAGUACCUUGAGGAGGAUGGUGGGUCCAUGGAACAACUACAGCCUCUCCAUUUUGUUUGGGCGCAGGGCGAUAACGGAGUUAUCUCUACUCCUAAAGAGGGAGUCGUUAGUCUCCCUUCCACGGUUUUUUUGUCUUACCUCCCAUCUUUGUUUCAUUUUUUCCGUCUCUUUUUCCACCACCGUCUGUUUUUUCUCAUCUCCACCUGGCAUGUAACGAAAAAAAAUCUGUUUCAUAGGUCGAUUGUCAAGGUCCGAGAGCCGCCGCCACCUUCAUUGCGGACCUCUAGGUCGCCGUCCGGACACACCGCCGAGGUCCGCAAUCACCGACGUUGAGGUCCGAGAGGAGCUGCCGCCCCCUUCAUUCUGGGCCUGGACGCUUCAUGGUCCUCCUACCUCUCCCUUUCCUCUCCCCUUCUCUCCCGCUUCCAUCCUCACUCGCCGCCCCUGCCUCUCNNNNNNNNNNNNNNNNNNNNNNNNNNNNNNNNNNNNNNNNNNNNNNNNNNNNNNNNNNNNNNNNNNNNNNNNNNNNNNNNNNNNNNNNNNNNNNNNNNNNNNNNNNNNNNNNNNNNNNNNNNNNNNNNNNNNNNNNNNNNNNNNNNNNNNNNNNNNNNNNNNNNNNNNNNNNNNNNNNNNNNNNNNNNNNNNNNNNNNNNNNNNNNNNNNNNNNNNNNNNNNNNNNNNNNNNNNNNNNNNNNNNNNNNNNNNNNNNNNNNNNNNNNNNNNNNNNNNNNNNNNNNNNNNNNNNNNNNNNNNNNNNNNNNNNNNNNNNNNNNNNNNNNNNUCUCUCUCUCUCUCUCUCUCUCUCUUGUUUCCUACCCCACUGGUUCUACAAUGCUGGUCGUCGCCUUGGGUUGGCGAACCUAGCUACUGUGGGUUGGGAUUCAAAUGCCACAUCAUCUUUGGGACGCGGCCGUGACGGCUUGGCCUGAUGCCUGCGAAGUAGGGCGAGCAGAGACAACAUGAGACUGCGCCGCUGUGCUGUUCGCCGUGACGCGCUGUCACGCUGUGUAGAUGGAGGAUGCGUGCCCAAGCCUUGUUGUGCCUGUCUUCCCGUGCGGUAGUCGGGAUCUGGACUGGAUCGGGGUUGAGUUCGACACCACCGAACCCCGGCUUCCAGGAGACCAGGCGCCUCCUCUCCUCAUCACCCGUCUCACCAGAGGCAUGUGCAGAAUUCCGUACACCAUCUGCGCAAACAUGGUGGUCGACGACGCUCUGGAUGUGGUCUACGUGAGGACUAGGUUCCAUCAUUAACAUGUACCCUGGCAAGGUAUGUGCUAUGGGAUGUAAACUCUCGAUUUUAUCUUCAUUUUAGUUGCCUUCAUCUCAUGCUUUGUUCGUUCCAUAGGCAUUUGUCAUGAAUCUAUUUUCAGGAGGGUGAUGUUAACGAUUUCAAAAACUUGAUAGCAGGGUAUGGCUAUAGUUAUUGGUCAUGCAUUAUCGCGAGGCUUGACAAGCAUACCAUAAAAUGGUUUUUAUUUAUGCUCUCGUAGGUUAAACCAAUCUCUGUCAUUAUGAAAUUGGCAUAGCUGAACAUGAUCAGGACUUCAGCAGGGCAGGGUCAUUACUUUGGAGUUUCAGCACUCAUAGUUGGUGAGUGCUUAUGUCCUAAAAUUUUGGAUGUGACUAAACAUAGGCUGGUAUGGCUAAUCUUUUUUGCUUUUCUGUCCUUGCUCUUCACGGAAUCUUCAGGUUUACGGAUUGAUAAUUGUGAUCUAUGUUUCAACCACUUCCCAAUGUUUUACUUGAUGAGAAGGUUCUAAUUUUAUUUUAUUUUAUUUCACUUGAUGAGAAGGGUCCAUGUUUCACCGACUUUGUACAAGUGUGUUUGCUUAGCUAGAUUUCUGCCCUUAUUUUCUAUUUGACAUCCCUCAAUCAUUUUCUGCAGAUUCACUUCGUUCGUAUUCUAUAUUGUUGUAAGUGCACCUAGGGAUAUUAUAGUAGUUCUUAUCUGCAGUUUACUACAACUGGUGACCACAUCUCCAUAUUAUUAUCUUUAAAAUGUACUUUCAAAAAGUAAACUAAUUAACGUUAACCUUCCGCUCUGUAGAAACCACAUAAUUUCAACUCAUUAAUCAUUUUUUAGCGGAAAGGCAGUAAUCAAUGAUGGCGAUUUAAACUGUACUCCUUAUAGUAUUGAUAUUCCCCAUGCACCGGUAUGUUCUCGUACAUCCGUGAAACUUCUGAGUCAAAAUGUUAUAUCCUUAUGUAUACAGUUCAUCAUUGGUUGUUACAGAAUUUCCCAGUGGGCACAACCUCAACCCACACCUCCCACCAGGAUCUUCUCUCUGCCGGAGCCAUCCUACCUGCAGCCAGCUCCCCCUCGUACGCCCUGAUCUCCACCUUGUGUGCUGGUCCAUUCAUCAUAGCUAGAAGGUAAUGACUAAUGAGCAUGUCAUCUCUGCCCCUCUCAAUUUCAUCCUUGUGUUGUUUAUUUUUCAGAGAAUGUGGUAUUAUGUAGCCCCUCUCUGUUGAUGAAUUGAAUGUAUAGAUUAUAUACUAGCAAAAGAGCCCGUGCGUUGCAACGGGAUAAUAAAACCGACGAAUUGUACUCGUGUGACUUGAGCUUUGGUUGGUUUCACACGCUUAUACUUCUUAGUUUUCUUGUAAAAUAAUAUGGCGGUAUUUAUACUAUUCAGGGUUGGUUAUCCAUCCGUCAGGUUAUUCAGGGCGUAAAUUUACGGAAAGAAGCAUAUUGUGACGGUGAAUGCGACGGAGUCAAUCCGUGCUUUAUUAUUUGGAAAAGAGAAAUAUGCCUAUGCAUUGCUACGGCUCUAGAAUAAACCUAUACAUGGUCAAAAUACAGGACAGCAACAUGUCUUCUUUUAGUUUUUUUCAAACCAUUAGAAAUAUGUUAGAUUUUACUUAAGUUUAGUUCCCUUAUUCCACCAUAAAGCAUUCCGGUUGAAAAGGAGAUGGCGUCUGUCAUUUACUUUCUAGAAAAACAUAGAGUCGAUAAACUUUCCUGUAUCUUCAGCCAUAGGUCCUUUACUCAUAUUUAAAAAAUUGUAAUAUUUAAUCCAAGCAAAAUUAUAUGAAUUACAGGAAAAAUUGUACUCAUGUGACUUGAGCUUUGGUUGGUUUCACACGCUCAUACUUCUUAGUUUUUUUGUAAAAUAAUACGGCGGUAUUUAUACUAUUCAGGGUUGGUUAUCCAUCCGUCAGGUUAUUCUUGAAGCUAGCUAGUAAUCACCAUGAGUUCAGUUGGCGUUCCAAGUAAUCACCAAGCCAAUCGACCGUGAGCAUCCGGACGUUAGCUGCGAAUGACAGACGGCUGGAUGGGCUAAUGAAGAUUAAACCUCAAUUUUGUACGCGGUAGUGCUGCAGACCUUCUGCAGUGAGACUUCGAUCAGAAGGACUUACCAGACAGGGGCACGGAGGAUUUAGAUAUCCUACUGCAGCUGCCGCUGCUCACCAAGGAGUUGCUCCCGUGCCGCUCGAAGGUCGCCAGCUCGGGGCAGAGCAGGAGCUUAAAGGCCAUGGACACGCCAGACCUGAAGGACGGCAGUGGCAAGGGUGGCGCAGGUGGGCGACGUUGCUCGCGCUCGGGGCGGACGCCGGCGGCGCUCGAUCUUGCCUAGAGCACGGAGGGGACAGGGGAGCAGGGGAAGAGGUAGGCAGUAAACCAGAUAGGAAUGGCACAUGUAUCGCAUCUGCCCUCGGCGGAGCUCCGCUCUGUCGUCAACAUCCGCGACGGACCCCACGAAGCCCAUCAUGUCGGCGUCCUUGAGGAACCGCCCCUGCUUGCCGCGGCCGACCGCAAUUUCGGAGAAAUUGGAGAUGGGGGAUCGUCCGCGGUUCGGCAACGGGUACGGGGAGGAGUCCGGGGCAAAGACUGUUCCGCUCGACCGGCCGGAGGAGCGCAGCCGCUCCGGUGGCCAGAGAUCGAGGGGGUGGCGGCGGUGUCCAACCCCCAACAGGCUGUGUUCUUUUUCUGACGGGACGAAAAAGGGGAAUCCCUUCUCUGGAACCGCUGUCGUUGCUCGACUGUGCUCCAAGCCGCCGCCGCCACCGCCGUCGCCUGAUUGCUCUCUCCCCGUCAACCCCCCCUCUCUCUCGAUCCAGCGACGCGUGUUUAGAUCGAAGCCCCCUGAAUUCCACGACCGAUCUGAUUCUAUCGAUCGAGGCAGCUCUGUUUCGAUUUGUAUAUGUACUUUUUAGGAGGAGUGUCCCGUGUUUGUUUCUGAUAGCCAUCUAUUUGUUUUAUGCUCAACAGGCCCAUUAGCCCUUGAUCUGGCCCAGGGAGUCUAGCGACCCAGGGAGUCUAGCGGGGAAGAGAGCGGGUGCGACCGAUUGGAUGCACACGACGUGGUUGGCCAUCUGAAUUAGUACCACCUUGAAUAUAUUUUAAAAUUAAAAUUGAAAACGUAAAAUCACGGAAAGAAGCGCAUUGUGACGGUGAAUCCGGAGACCCAAUCCAUGCUUUAUUAUUAGGGAGAGAUUACUAAAGAAAUCCGCCUUAAAAGGCGUUCCACUAAAAACGCAGUAGGAUCCUAUUUCAAGUUCCUUGCACUUAAACCGCAAAAGGGAAAGGCAAUUUUCCUAACUUUUCCCGUUAACGCAGAGCAGUCAGAUGAAUAACAGUAGGAUUGUUCAGUUUGUAUGCUCGUCCACUACUUCGGUUUAUUCAGGUUGCAUGAUACAGUAAUUUUGCAAAUGUGUCAGACUAUCUAUUUAGAUUAGCUAAUAGAAUUUAUUUCCACUAUGUGUUGUGCGGAGGAUAGAUCAGCAGGACUAAACAAUAUGUGUCUAACACCAUUUGCACAAUUCCCUUAAACUGCCCGCAGUAGCUGACCAAGUACCACCAAUGUUGUCAUCAGUCUUGAAGGGGAUUCAAAACCCGGUAGGAUCGCACACCGUAUGGCUUGGACAUCGGAAGAAGAUGCAAGAUUGGUAAUGAGAUUACUUGCCUCAGUGCUCAAUUUAUGAUCCUAUUCAUUUGAACUGAUUUACUUGUUUGUCUCAGCUAAUCUAUCCUCAAACGCAGACAACCAUUUGGUCGAAAACCUCAAAUGUUUCCAUCGAGAUAAUAACAAGAAGAACAUCAAGUACUGGGAUGACAUUGUUGUUACAACAAUAGUAAUAGGCCAAGUCACCGGAAGGGAGAUGCUCGUCGUGUAUGAUGGACAUGGUGGCUCGGAGGUGAGGUUAUCUUCUCUUGAAAAUCUUGACCUAGACAAAAGAAAUUAACCUUGAGGCCAUGGGAAGCAGGAAAGCGAAGGUCACGAAUGGCCGCACAAUUUGGUGGUGUUUGUGUGUUGUGCGGUCAAGCCUUUCUACGGGCUCCAUGGUGAUGCAGCAGCAUCACCUUCUUACGGAGAUGAGAUGAUGGGAUGAGGCCGCAUGGUGUUACCUAUUGUUGUUGUGUUAGCUUUGCUGUGUAUGUGUGCGUGUGAGAGAGAUCAGCGGCUGAUUGGGGAUGGUUAUGUUGUUGCUAGAUUAUAAAACAUGUCGUUUAAGUGAAUAUCAACUGUCGGAAAGAAAGCAAUGGUACUGUGAUUCUACUGUUUUAUGCUAGACGUUAAAGAAUACUACUUGCAAGCAGUUAGCGACGAACUGAGGGUUUGCAAGUAGUACUUUUUCCCAGUUGUGCUUCUACUUGCCUGAAUUUAAGUAGGAGAAAUUACCAGUUGUGUUUUUUUGAAAUAAUCUUGAUUUAACUAUGAUUUUCAGAAACUGGUACAGCUUUAACACGGUUCCUUGCUCACUGUGGUACAUUAAAACAAUAAAUUGAGGAGUUUAGAGCCUGCCUAGAGACCUCACAUAGCACCGCCUCAUUUGGCAGCGACAUCAUGAUGAUCUUGUCUGGUCUACUCCAAGUCUCCGCUUGUGGUUUGUGUUGGAAAUAUGAGCAAUUUACCGAAUGAUUUUAUUAACAAAAAUACUAGAUAAAGCAUGACUAAAAUAGGAAAUAUAAAGAAAGUCAUGCAGUCUGACAGAGAGAAGGUAAACAUCGUCUGCAUAAAUGAACUUGAGCUAAACACAUCUAGAACAGACAAUAGAUGAAGUUGCUCAUACGAAACAGAACCUAACAUACGUAGGGCAGAAACUAGAGCCAAGAACUGUAGCAGGACUUCUAACAGAAAGGAGAAGAACACGUACGGCAUAGCAGCAGCAGAAGAGCUGGACUUGGGGUCAGUGUCCUCGCCUGCCAUGUCGUCGAGGAGGUCGUGGACGUCGGGGAAGAAGUCGUCGUCGGGGAAGUAGUCGUCGGCGACCGGAUCGUCUGUGAUGAAGCAGCCAGUAGUCGCGCUGAGCGCUUCCCAAAAACCUUAUCACCCUUCUCCCGUACAUGACUCAAAAGGUGCGGUCUCUGAGGCCUACUGUCCCAACAUGCGGUGCACGCCGCAAGUCGGGAUGAGGAAGACAGCAGCAGCUCAGAGAUGGAACCGAUGGCGAGGGAAGGAGCAGUUCUGGUGCGUAUCUCUGAAAGGAGCGACCUCCCUUUUAUAGGCGCAAGAGAAGGAGGCGAGAGGCUGCGCCGGGAGCUGAAGGGAAUGUGGGAGACGAAACGAACAAGCAGCAGCUGAAGGGGCGCGCCGUUCGGAUUCAGUGUCCAGGCACAGAAAAAAACUGUUUCAGCUUCCGAGUGACCUUUCGUAUACACGUAGUGCGUGGCAAAACUUUAGACAUCGGCUCAUUCCCGCAACCCGCGGCGUGACGAGGCGGGCGGCGGAGGAGGAGCGCGCGUGGAUGUCCCUCUUGUUCUCAUGCUCAUACAAGUGGGGAAGGAGUCUCCCUUAUAAAGAGGUCCAACUCCCUCUAAACUAGCAAGGUGGGACUAAACUUUAGUUCCACCUCUUACCUUGCAUGAAUGGGCUGCGUGGGCCUCUAGGAUUUAUUAGGAAUUUCUGAAACUGCUAUUGGGCUAGGCCCAAAUAGACAAAAAUUCCAGCAGUUUGUGUUCUUUAGGUCUAUGGAAAACACCACGGUGCAUGCCAUUGUCCGUCAUUUCGGGAAAAAUGACCUAGAACAUGCAGAUAACUAAAUUUGGUGAAAGAACUGAAGAAAUCUACUACAUCACAAUAUGAAUUAAAAACAAACAAAAAAUUGGGCAGGACCUCUACAUAAAAAUGGACAGUUAUAGAAAUUUAGCGAAACGGAAAUAAAUCAACGGUUUGCCAAAAAUUUAACGCUUAUAGUAUGAAUCCCAAUAAGGAAAUGAAGACAUCUACUACAUCACAAUAUGAAUAAAACAUAAACAAAGAAAUUUGGCAUGACCUCUGCAUAAAAAUGGACAUAUUAAGUGAUUGAGAUCUGGCGAAACAGAAAUAAAUCAACGUAUCGCCAAAACUUUAGCACUUAUAGUAAGUAUACCUAUAAUGAAUUGAAGACAUCUACUACAACAUAUUAUUUAACUCAGUAUGAACAGAAAUAAUGUACGGAAUAAUACAAUAUAUAUGUGAGACUAUAUAAUUACCUCUAAUAUGAACAAAUUGGUAUUCCUUGUUCAUGGUUACGUAUGUGGCUGCUGCAACUAUAAUUGUUUUGAUGUGUGUGCCUUAAAAACUAUAGAACAAGAAACUACAACUAUAAAUGAACUCUAGUAUGAACAAAUCGAACUCAUUAACGAAUAUGAACACAUUAAUAGCAAUAACCCUAACCCUAGUCGAACGUACGUGUGCGUGUGCGUGGCGGCCGUGGCCGUGGGUGACAAGGAGGAAAGCCGGAGAGGGAGGCGCGGACGACAAUGUAUUACUGGAUGGAGCGGAGGGUGACGGGGCGGAUCGUCGGUGAGGGCGACGGGGCGGCGAAUCGAGGGCGAGGGAGACGCGCGGUGAACGGCUAGGGCGGCGACGAGUAAGCGGUGCUGAUGGCGGCAGCGGACAGGGACGACGACUUGGGUAGCAUGGAUGAGCCAACGGCGUCCGCGACGAGAUGGGGAAGAGUGGGAGUGAGAGAGUAAAUUGGGGUAGGAGGAGAGGGGGCACGUGCGUGUACGUAGGUCGAUUGAGUUUGUCGUAUGCGACCGGUGUGCCAAGCCUCCCAACACGGCUUCUUUGGGGUGGUGGGCGGAAAACCGAUUCGAUUUGGGGCAGAAUAGACAGCUAACUUAGUUGUGGCGGGUAGGGGCCCAUACCCGCCAGAGCUAAUAUCUGUAUAAAAUUUAUUUUUCUGGCGUGCAUUGCUGGCACUAAACUGUGGCCGGCCCAAUCGAGCGUCCGCCACUUUUGCAUUCAAGAACAAUGGCGGCCGAGGCUAACACCCGCCACUGAUCGCAUUCAUCAGGUGGCCAUACUCAGUGGUGCUUACUUGUGGCGGGUGGUGUUCUCCACCCGCCACUGCUACGCAUGUAACUCUGGAGGUCAUGUUGUGGCACCUGCCACUGGUACUUUUGCUAACUAGCAGUGGCAGGUGCUAUGUCCCGCCCGCCAAUCUUUCGAAUUCACCUAUAAGCCCUUUCCCAGUAGAGUAAUAAAGGACUUCUUGACAAGUCCGUGUAGAUUAAAGGUAUGUUAGUAGAUGGUGUAAUAAAUACAUGCUUUAGUGAUCUAAGGAUACAAAUAUGCCACUAUUUAUUUUGUAAAAGGUCGAAAUCAUUCUUAGAAAUCUUAGUAACAACAGUUCUCAUGAACAACUUUGACAAAAUGCAUCAAAUGUUACAAAUAAUACAUACAAACUUAGUUCAAUAAAUUAAUCAAUUGAAGUGAGAACAAACCUAAAUGUACUUAGAGUAAAUCAAUUAAUACGUGUAAAGCCAAUACUAAUCCAAUAUUUAUUAAUAAAUUUGCAUAGAAUUACAACCCUUUGACAUAGAAAGGGAAUAUGAUGAGUCAUGUAUAGAUAACUUGCACAACAUUCCUACCCUUGGCAUAAAAGGAGAAAUUGAUGAGUCAUGUAUUGAUAAUGUGCACAACAUCACUACCCUUGACAUAAAAGGAGAAUUUGAUGAGUCAUGUGUUGAUAACGUGUACAACAUUACUAUCAGUAUGUUCAACUUACCAUCAUAUUAUACAACACUACAAGUUAGUUUUAAAAAGAACAAGAGUCCAGAACGAAGAUCAGAAUACUUGCUUGAUCUAUCUUAACAACAUGCACUAGGACAAAAAUUUAGUCCCACGCAAGCUAUGAAGAUUUGUUUUAUGUAUAACUAUUUGUACAACAUGACAAACUUAGAUCCAAAAGGAAUGCAAUCCAGAUAAUUGUUUGACAUGUAAAGUGAAUAAGAUGAGUCAAUGCCAAUUAUCAAGUUUUCCUCACUCUUAGAUGAUAUGUACAAUAAAAAGACAACUUUGAUGAUCACUCUGAAAUUACGUUUGUAUGUAGUGCCACCAAACACAACAUCCCAAAUAUUAGUUUGAUAAGCAUCAAAUCACUUUUGAAAAAAGAAAGCAAUAAUGAAAAGAAACCUAACCAAGAUAGCUAUAAAAAGGCCUGCAAUAUGUAGACUCCAUACCAUCAUCCAUCCUUCACACACCUAGAGCACAAAUCAGCAAAUCCAAGUACGUAGUAGUUAACGCAAAUCGACCAUGAAGACCUUACUCAUCCUGACGAUCCUUGCGAUGGCAAUAACCAUCAGCACCGCCAAUAUGCAGGUCGACCCUAGUGGCCAAGUACAAUGGCCACAACAACAACUAGUCCCCCAACCCCAACAGCCAUUAUCCCAGCAACCGCAACAAGCAUUUCCCCAACCCCAACAAACAUUUCCCCAUCAACCACAACAACAAGUUCCCCAGCCUCAGCAACCACAACAACCAUUUCUCCAGCCCCAACAAGCAUUCCCCCAACAACCACAACAACCAUUCCCUCAGACUCAACAACCACAACAACCAUUUCCCCAGCAACCACAACAACCAUUUCCCCAGCAAUCACAACAACCAUUCCCCCAGACUCAACAACCACAACAACCAUUUCCCCAGCAACCACAACAACCAUUCCCCCAGACUCAACAACCACAACAACCAUUUCCCCAGUUCCAGCAACCACACCAACCUUUUCCCCAGCCCCAACAACAAUUCCCGCAGCCCCAACAACCGCAACAAUCAUUCCCCCAGCAACAACGACCGUUCAUUCAGCCAUCUCUACAACAACGUUUGAACCCAUGCAAGAAUAUCCUCUUGCAACAAUGCAAACCUGCGUCAUUGGUGUCAUCCCUCUGGUCGAUAAUCUGGCCACAAAGCGAUUGCCAAGUGAUGCAGCAACAAUGCUGCCAAGAACUAGCACAGAUUCCUCAGCAGCUCCAGUGCGCAGCCAUCCAUAGCGUCGUGCAUUCCAUCAUCGUGCAGCAGCAGCAACAACAACAACAACAACAACAACAACAACAAGGCAUGCAUAUCCUGCUGCCACUAUCUCAACAACAACAGUUGGGUCAAGGUACUCUCGUCCAAGGCCAGGGCAUCAUCCAACCUCAGCAACUAGCUCAAUUGGAGGCGAUCAGGUCAUUGGUGUUGCAAACUCUUCCAACCAUGUGCAACGUGUAUGUCCCACCUGAGUGCUCCAUCAUCAGGGCACCAUUUGCCAGCAUCAGGGCAUCAUCAGGGCACCAUUUGCCAGCAUAGUCGCGGGGAUUGGUGGCCAAUGAAAAAAGCAAGAUCUAUACUAAUAGAUAGAUGGAUCAUCGUUACUUAGCAGAUGCACCAAUCGAUGUAACGAUGACAAAUAAAGUGGCGUGCACCAUCAUGUGUGACCCCGACCAGUGCUAGUUCAAGCUUGGGAAUAAAAGACAAACAGAGUUCUUGUUUGCCAGCAUUGCUUGUCAUUGUUCCAUUCACCAUGUAUUUAGAUGUUCAUCCCUAACCGCAGUUCUAGGCUUACACAUCAACAGCUAGUUGCUUGUGCCGGCAGGUUCCUAU